UAGUUGUGUAUGCAAUGUGGUCUUUAACACUUAGGGUUUGUUUGGUUCAAGGGUGGAAUUGGAAUGGAUAAUGUAAUGGGAAUGAAUUAGAAUGGUAAUUGGAAUGGUCCACUCCCCCAAGACGUUUGGUUCAUUUGUGGAUUGAAAAUUGGAAUGAGUUAUUCCCAUUCCAUUGUUUGGUUCAUACAAAUUAAAAAAUUAUAGAAUACCAUAAUACUAAUUUAACUCUCAAAUAUAAUUUUAUAUUAUUUAAAAUUUAUGAAAAAUUUAAUACUAUUCUCUAAUGAGUUUUCCAAAAAAAAAUAUCAAAUUUAUUUUUAAAAACUUUUAUGCAAGAAAAAAAUUAUAAAAAUCUAGGAAUACUAAUAAUUUCCCCUUAAAGCAUAAUUUCCCCUUCAAAUUUAGUAGUUUACCCAAAAAAUAAUAAUAAUUAAAAAAAGUGGACAUGGAAAAGUAAAUGGAAAUUACAUAACCAUGCGCACUUCACAACAAGGUCACAAAAAUCUACCAACAAAAGCACGAUCUUUUCGAUUUACAUUAACAAUUCACACUGUAAUCAAACGGAUCCACCACUCGAAACCCUCCUAGAAACGCUAAUCGCACCAAGAAGUAAGUAGAUCGGAGACGAAUCUACAAGCAAUGGCGAGUAAAGAUCCAAUCGGAUCGGGCCUCACCUCGUCGCCACGCCGUUGCACCAACUCGCCGUGCCGCCCCGUCUUGCUGUCGUGCUGCCGAGUCUCGCCGCCACGCUGCCCUAUGCCGCCGCCGUGCCGCGUUCGCAGUACCGCUAAGGUUAGGGAUAGGGUUUUGAGAGGGGUAAGAGGGGUGAGGGAUAGGGUUUUUUUUUUUUGUUUGAUGAGAGGGGUGAGAGAUUGUAUACAGAGAGAGGAGGGUGAGAUGGUCUCAUGGGCUUCAGGACUUGGUGGGCUUCGGGAAUGAAAUCUCAAUUCGGGCUUGGAGUCCGGAAUCAAGUUGAAUGCUGAUGGGCCAUUCCCAUUCCAGUCCGGAAUAGGAAUCCCAAACCGAUUCCUGUGAACCAAACAAAAUUAAUCGGAUUUGAUCAAAUCGAUUCCCAUUCCAUAUCCCAAAUAAAUGAACUAAACAAGCCGUUUGGUUCAAGGGUGGAAUUGGAAUGGAUAAUGGAAUAGGAAUGAAUUGGAAUGGUAAUUGGAAUGGCCCACUCCCUCAAGACGUUUGGUUUAUUUGUGGAUUGGGAAUUGGAAUGAGUUAUUCACAUUUCAUUGUUUGGUUGGUAUAAACUAAAAAUAUUAUAGGAUACUAUAAUACUAAUUUUACUCUCAAAUAUAAAUUUAUAUUAUUUAAAAUUUAUGAAAAAUAUAAUACUAUUCUCUAAUAAGUUUUCCAAAAAAAAUAUCAAAUUUAUUUUUAAAAACUUUUAUUGAUGUGGGUUAGGGAUAGGGUUUUGAGAGAGGAUAGGUUUUUUUUUUUUGAUGAGAAAGGGGUGAAGAGAAGGAGGGUGAGAUGGUCACAUGGGCUUCGAGAACUUAGUGGGCUUCCGGAAUGAAAUCUCAAUCCGGGCUAGAAGACCGGAAUCAAGUUGAAGGCUAAUGGGCCAUUCUCAUUCCAGUCCGGAAUAGGAAUCCUAAACCGAUUCAUGCGAACCAAACAAAAUUAACAGGAUUUGAUCAAACCGAUUCCCAUUCCAUACCCAAAUUGGAUGAACCAAACAAGCCCUUAAAGGCUAGAGGCUCCAAAAGCUAGGUAUAGACCGAUAGAUGUGAUCUAUAGCUUCUAAAGUACACUAUGUCUGAUACAGUAUAAUUAUGUACAAACUUAUUAAUUAGGUAUCAAGUAGUUCUCAAUGCUGUUAAAAGAAAGUCCUUUGUUUGCCGAACGAAAAAAAGUUAUUAAAAAAUUAUAAUUUUACAAAAUAGGCCUUUUAAGAGCUGUAGAUUACAUCCAACAGUUUAGCUGUGGAUUUCAACACGUCUAGCUGUGAGCUUUCGAUAUGCUUGCUAUAUGCAAUAAUUUCGCCAAAAUCAGAGUCGAGGUUGGGACCUCGUUGUAUGUUGAAUUUGCUACCUGAUAUUUCCAAAUUUAUUUGUUCACUACUUUGUCCAAAUUUCUAGAUGGAUAGUUGAAAAUGAUCGGAGUUGAACCGAUAAUGUACACCUAAUUAUAGAUUUAUAGGUACAACCUCAUAGAUGUAUACAGUUGGUUAUUUCCUUUUCAUAGAAUGAUGAUUUGUUACAAACUUCCACGAAGAGAUGAAAAGUCUAUGUAAGGACGUAAGAUUAAGAGCAAAUUUACUUGCACUGCCCCAUUAGAAUCCUUUGGCUUCUCAGAUGAGGCUUAUGAUCCAAUUUAGCAAAUUAUUGAAGUAUUUGGUGUGAAUAAAAGAGGCAUUCUUCUGCAGAUUUUAGACGACAAUAUCCAUUUAGGAAGGUUUUUGGAAGAAUUCUUUAUAGUACGAAGAUUAGUAUGAAUGCUGUGGUGGACGAUCUUCGUUUUGAAUGCGCUUCGGCCUUGGCCUCAUAGAUAUCUAUGAGAUUCAAGCUCCCUUACAUCCAUGCGGGUUAUUUUCCGCCUAGUAUCUCAGAAAUGGAUUAUUUAUGUUGCAUGUUUUCUGAUUAGGUAUAAAUAUGAGCUCUAACUGAGAUUUCGAGGUUAUCAAGAAAAAACUUCAUAUCUGUUUAGAUGAUAUCUUAUAAGAUGGAGUGAUAAUUAUUUGUUGGAUAGAGAACUGCCACUGUAUAGGAAACUUCAUUUUUAACAGUUUGUUGUCAUCUCGUGCCAUCUUGCUAACAUGAGUGAAACGAACACAUACACCCUAGUUUUGGAUUGUCGAGGAUGGUUGUUAUGAAGUUACGAGUAGCUUUCUGAAAGUUUAUGAUCGGUCGCUUGCAUUUUUUUCUCACAUACAUGUAACAAGAAGAGUAUUGGUGCAGAAAUUUUAGCAAUAGAAACAUAGGGAUAGAAUCGUCGCCAUUACGGUGAUGAAUGUAGGAUAGUCAACUGAACUUUAAUCAUGGAGCCGGUGCUUCACGAGGAAUUCGAACCAGCUAAUAGAAACUUAGCAAAAUCAAUAAUGAUGUUUCCUUAAUUGACACAUAUCAUGCAUACUCAAACUAAACACGAUCAUUGAUGAUGUUUCCUUAAUUAACACAUAUUAUGCAUGGUCAAAUAUGCGGGGAUUCUAGUACUUCCUGAAUGUAAUUUUCGUAUUCUUUGCUCGAUGGUUGUUUUAAUACUUGAAUUUAGGUCAGAAUGCUGAAAAGAGAAGUAAAAAUGAUAAAUGUACAGCACGAUUUGAUAUUUUUGGGAAGUGUGUGAGUUUGAAGUAUAAUGGUAUCAUGCCCUUAGACCGCCAUUGGGUCGGCUUGGGCACGAGCCACAGACCAAUCUUGAUGAAUUAUACAUGAUAUAGAUACAUGAAGUAUCAAAAUGUAAUACUACUAAAGCUAAACGAAACCAUUACAACUUUCAUUUUUUAAAGUUUACCACACUUAUUUGUAUCCAAAAUAGUACACUUUUUCUGGGUACACAUUAGACAUCUUGCUUGGUCUAACUUCUUUUCGACACCCUUACCACGGUCUCGUGCCUCUUUGCGGGAAGUGGUAUUCAUUUGGUCCAGGAAGCAUAAGUAGAUAAUGAUAAAUAACGACAUCUAUUGCUACUAUAGAUAUGGAGGAAUUGAAAUACCACUACAAUGCGUCAAUAAGUACAAUAUGCUAUGAUAGUUGUUAUGUCGUUAGCCUACACAUAAAUCGCAUUUCAUUCUCCAACUUUAGCCUAUACAUAAAUCAUAUUUCAUUUUCCAACUUUAACACCUCAUGGAGAGUAGAUUGUUCUCCAACUCCUCUUCAAUCAGUAGGUAAAUGGGGUUGAUUGCUCAUGGAGAAUAAAUUGUUUUCGAACUUCUCUUUAAUCAUUAGGUACAUGGAGGGGUUGAUUGCUCACGAAGAAUAGAUUGUGUUUUUGAACUUCUCUUCAAUCAUUAGGUAAAUGGGGGGUUGAUUGCUCGUGGAGAAUAGAUUGUUUUCGAACUUCUCUUCAAUCAUUAGGUAAAUGGGGUUAAUUUUUCUCGGACUCUUCCAAAUAUCUCAUACCUUGACACUUUUGAAAGGUCGUACAUUUUACACCAUUUCACUCUAAGUUCAUAACUUUUAGGAUUAUCGAUAUUGUCUAACAUACAAAUACUUUCUCUAGUUCAAGUUUAUCGAGAGUUCACUUGCCACUAAGGACAUGUUUGGUUCAUGAUUGAAAUAGAAGUGGGAAAUUAAAUUAGAUUGCUUUGGAAUGGAAAAUGAAAUGACGAAUCAUCCAAAAAUGUUUGGUUCAUUAUUGGAAUGGAAAUCAGAAUGAAAAUUUAAAAUUUUUGAGAGAGGGUUUUGAUUAAGAGAGAGGAAAGUGAUAAAGAAAGAGGAGGUAGGUGUUGAUGAAAGAGGAUUUUGAAUAGUAUACUUUGGAAUGAGCUAUUCCGGAAUUCAAAGCCGGAUUGGAUCAUAAAUGAAUUCAGCCAUUCCCACUCCGGAGUGGAAUGGGAAUCGGAAUCCGAUUCCUAUAAACAAACGGCAACUAUCGGAAUCAAUGAAUUCCAUUCCGAUUCCAUAAUCUAAAAUAGAUGAACCAAACAUGCCUUGAGUUCUUGCCUUAGAAAACCUAGAUAACAUAUCACUCUUGUUUUCUAUGUUCAAGAUUCACAUGCAUGUCACCCAUUUUACUCUUUUGUCGUACAUACGGAUUUCAGUUAGAAAUCUUUGUUUUUUUUUAGGUCAAAUGCUAAGAUGACAUCUUGACACAUAUGAUCUACUAGUAUGCAAUUAGAAUAUAUUUACCUUACAUUGUACAUAUGAUACAUGUAUAAAAUUAAAGAAAUGUUAGACUAAGGAGUGAUCAAAUUGUUAGAACAAAUACCGUAACGAAAAUUUGAUUGUGAUUAAAAUCUAACUAAUUUAUAAUAAAGAUAAAUAAAUCAACAUACAGAUGACGCAAAUAUUCCAAUAAAGAUUUGAUCUUAUCCGGAAGCGUGCGAGGCACUGCCCUAAGACGUAUUUCCGUCCUUACAUGCGGAAUUAAUCGAAAAUAACACCCCAAGGUACGAUCGAAAUUCCUCCUCCUGCGAGCACGAUCAUAAAGAAAGUUGACGAAGAUUCUCAAAGUGGAUAAAAAAUGGAAUAUUCAAAAAUAAAGAUUAAUCAAUUAUCUAAUAUCUUUUGUACCUAUUGUUUUAUUCUAUCUGAAAACAGAGGAGGAAAAGAGAGGAUCUUCUGUACCUACUGUUUUAUUCUAUCUGAAAACAGAGAGAGGAAAAGAGAAACGGGAUUUAACGCCCUUUUUCGUUACGAGAAAAAGGCGUAUUCCGCGCAACGGAAUGAGAUUCCGUUGAGGCAAGAAACGGACCAAGAAACUGAACGAGAAAAAUAUCCCGUUAAUUUCUUUCUCAUUAAAAAACAUAAUAAAAUAAUUAAAUAAAAUAAAAUAAAUAAAAUAAUAAAUAAUAAAACAUCAAAGUUCAAAUAAAAUAAAUUCAAACUCAAAAUUUUGAGUUUUCACCAACACAAAUAUAUUUCGGUGAUAUUUUCAAUCUUUGCUUGAUUCUUUGCAAAUUCACCAAGGAAAUCCUAUCAUCUUCUAGCAAGCAAAGUGUAGAUGAGAAGGGCUUCUUCUCUUUUCUAGAGCUUUUUCUUGAAGCUCCCGACUUUCCCUAAUCCAAAUACGGAUCUGUAAGUUCCAACAAAGAGGGAAUCAGACGCUUGAUUGUUUAAUCCAUCGCACGAGGGAUGCUCUCGGGUUGAGCGCCCGACUGGUGUAUCAGACAUCUCCAAUUUUCUAAUUUAGUUUUAAAAAUUUUAGAUUUUUAGUUUAAAAUUAAAAUAAUUGCACGAUUAGUUUCCACACUUCUCACUUUUUUCACUUUGGCUCUUUAAAAAAUCAGAUAGGUGCUUGUCUCGUGCUCAUCUUGCGCUAAUGUGGUGAAUUUUGUGAAUUUAAUGGCCCUUUUAACGGCGGGGAUUUAACUGCAAAGAAAUAAAAAGGUGGGGGGCUUGAUUGCAAGAAUAAAAAAGUGUAGGACUUAAGUAAAAAAAAGUGAGACGGUGUGAGACUAGUAAUACAAUUAAUUCAAAAUUUUUUUUACAUAAAAAGCACUUUUUCUUCUAAAUUAUGUUUUCUAUAUUUUUACAUCCAACUACACUUCCAAAUAGUGAUAUUUAGACUUACUAGCAUUUAAUAUCAGCAUGUCAAUCAUGCUUGGAGAAACAUUUAGUUAAAAUAAAAUUUCCUAAAUUGUUUGUUUUUUAUUAUAUAUUAACUCUCAAAGAUCUCUUAUAAUUAAAUAACUUAAAUUGCACUUGCAUAUUAUUUUGAUAUAAAAUAUUUGUUCUACUAUAAAACUUGUAAGUAUAAAAAUUUAACAUGUUUGAGAACAAUAUAAACUUAAAAAGGGAAAUUUGUAAAAAUAUGUAAAUAUAUAUAAAGACUCAUUCAACUAUAAAUUAUUUUGAAAUAAGAAUUGAACUUUUCUUUUUCAGUUGACCUCUAUCAAAUUUUAUUUAUUUUUAUUUAAUUUAAUUUUAUUUAAUUAUAUUGAUAAAUUUGUUAAAAGUUAAUAUCUCUAUUAGCUGUCGGUCAUUAUUAUUAUUAUUUUUUUUGCUAAAAUUUACUUAGAGAAAUGAAACUUUAAAAAAUUACUUGAUUAAUUUAGCAAAAUCUCUAAUAUAUUUAGGUAAAAUAUAGAAAACAAACUAAUUUAGAUAAAGUUUAAUUAAAAUGCUAUUUCAAAAAGAUGAAGUUGAGAGGUAUCCAUAUUAUUUUAUUUUUAUUUAUUAUUAGACUUAAAAUUUCUCGUUUUCAACAAAUGAAAUAAAUGUAAGUACACCAAUAAUACAAGUAGGUUGACAACUGAUUGAAUAAGAAUAAUGAUAAUAUUUAUAUUAUAUAUAAUACUAGUUAAUGGACCCGUGCGAUGCUGUGGGUAGUUAUUUUAAAAUUUAAUCUUUAAAAUUAGUUAUAAAAAUUAAUUUAGAAUGAUUAUGGAAUAUUACGGAUAAAUUAUGGAACAAUUUUAAAUAAAUGCAGCUAUCUUCUCCAACAUAGAAAAUAUAAGGAGCUCUCUCAACAAUAAGCUAUUUUAAAAUAAUUCUUCAAUUUUAUUAAAUAUUUUCUUAUCUUAUUCUCUUUUGUUUGCUUUUAUAUUACUAAUUUUGUAAUGUUAUUUAUGUUAUUUCUAAUCUUUUGAGGAAUACAAAUGAAAUUAUCUUAUGCUAAUUAUUCCAAACAUGGCCACUUGUCUAAGGAAUAAAUAGUGCAAUGAGCACAUUCAAAAUUUUUAGUAGUCAUGAUAGUCUUCCAUUCGUUAGUGAAAUGAGAAGAGAAAUCUUUUCUUGCAUUGUGUACUAAUGUUUUAGUUAGUAUAUUUCAUAUGCUUCUCGCAACUAUUUAAAAUUAAUAUCAACAGUCUAAACUAUUUAAUAAUUAUUUAUAUAUUUUUAAUUUUAUAAUAAAAAAAGACUAAAGUAGAUUGGAAAUUAAAAAAAAAUUUUAAUUUAAUGUUAAAUAGAAAAAUUUAAUGCUCAAAAGAAAAAAAAGAUCCACAUGCCUGCUUUCAAUUGUUUAGGUCGAGAGAUUAUUUUGGUAUAAAUCUUGAUAAUACUUUAGUAUUACAAAAAUAUUCCAGAGAUUUUUUUAUGCUUUUUUUUUGACUCAUUUAAUGUCAUAUGAAAAAUAAAGAAAAAGGCUUUUCUGUAUUAGCGAAUCCCUCUCCCAUGGCUGGACCCCACUCGCACCGCUGCAACGGGGCCCACCAUGCGNGCCCGCCCCUGCUGUAGUGUUCCUGAGUUUUGGAUAGGAUUGGCUUCAGUAUUAGUGACUGGUCGACAUCUCUGGAGAGUGUCGGACUGAGUCGGAGUCAAUUCUGCACGAAUUGGAUGCAGAAUUGGACUCGGCGCACUCAAAUAAGCAAAACUGGAGUUUUGCCAGAUUCGGGCGCCCAGAAUAUGGUUUAGGUCGCCCAGAACUGAGUGUUAAAUUUAACUGAAACUGGAGCCAAUUCGGAUCCUAUGUUCCGGGCGCCCAGAAGUAGGUCCGGAAAUUUUACAUCGUGAAUAUCGUUUGCUUCGACGCGUGGCAGGGUGGUAGGUGAGGUCCACCGGAGCCGUUUACGGGCGCAGCACACCGCGAGCGGAGAAUCCGAGGAGGAUGAUUUGUGCAUCCUGGAUGUUUCGGUCGCCCAGAACAUGGUUCCGGGCGCCCAGAAACGCCCGUUUCUGCAGGGACACUAGAUUGCAGCUGCUUUUCUUAGGACUUAUUUUAUCCUUCCAGCAGCCUAUAAAUAGAUGGAGGGUGACCCUGGUGAGCUCUUUUCAGUCCAUCUUCACAGUGAACCCUUGGAUUUCAUCUUCUACCCUCGAAUUUUCAUAAAUUGCUUCAAAAUCCACAACUCCAAGCUUGAUAGGUGAUGAUUCUGCAGUUCUUCAACGACGACCUUCAGUGUUUUGGCUCGUACGCGACGUAGGAAGGUCGGAUCGCGGCGAAACUUGGUUUGCUGGAUUCUAGACUUCCUGAGGAAUCCACGAAGUCCUAAAUUGCAUAAUUUGGUUGAGGUUAGCUUGGUCGAACAUAAGUUUUACUCUGCUGCUAUUGUAUUUGGACAGAAUUGUGGGUUUUUGAAUUGUUCUUGAUGCUAUCUUUGGAAGCAAUGGGGUGUUGGACCUAAGGCACAUCCUCCAUCAUCAUCCACUGGAUUUGGGACUGUCCUCACCUAAAUUGGAGACCUUUAGGUGAGUUUUGAUAUUGGAGUUAAGAUAAUUAAGCUUAAGUGCUGAAAUUUUGGUGAAUUGAUGAAUUUUGAUGGAUUUUGGGUGUAGAUCUUUCGAGUAACUUGGUUGCUGGUUGUGGGUGAUUGCAGCUGAGACUUCCUGCAAUUGUGGCAUUCUUGCUGCCAGGGAAUUGCUCUUGAGGUGGGUUUGCAUCGGAUUACUUCUAAGUAAUAAGUAGAUGUAUAGUCGACAUGUAUGUUUUGUUGUUUGGUCUACAAUGUAAUUAGAUUAAAUUCAGUGAUAAGCUGUGGCUGUAACCUAAAUUUAAGCAUGCUAAAUAAGUGACAUUUACACAUGUUGGACUUGAAAAAUUGACUUAGGAGAAAACCUGCGUUUUGACCCGUCAUAUGGUUAAACUACCAGAUUUAGUUCUAGGAGCCGUGGUUUGACUGUAUCGUUGCAGUAUUAGUGCGAUGGAUAUCUGGGGUAGUUUAGAAGGCAUUUACGCUCGUGCUGGGGUGCCGAGCUUAUUUUUCAGCAGAGUCUAGGCUGUUUCGGGUCGUUGGGUGCCGUCCGGGUUGGCGGUGGACCCAGAUUCUUGUUUUGGUUCCAGAUUGUGCUGAGGGCACGUGGGUUUGGUUUGUAGACCUGUUUUGACCCUGUUUACAUGACUUUGGCUAGUUGGAGCCUGUUUGAGCUCGACAGAAAUACGCUGCAUACUCGGUUGGGUAGCUCCCACAAGUGCCACUCCGGAGGCGGGCGCUGUGCUUUUGCAUUGGUGUCGUGCAUGCCAGUUAGACUUGCUCUCCACAGACUGAUUAGUGUGGAGGUAGCUGGAUAGUCUCAACUGGGCGGAGCAGGUGUGUUCACAGUCCCUGGGACUGGUAUGUUUACAGUCCCUAGAUAGAUUGGGUCAGGUUUGACACUGCUACAGUAGGUCGGCAUAGAACAUGAUGGUAUAAUAAAUGGUAGCUGUAGAUUUUUAUUCCAGCAUUUAUUACUACCUUUGUUCCCUUCUGUAGACUUAGUGGGUGGACCGAUGUUGUUGAAGGCGGCACCCACUGAGGACUACUUGUUUUACAGUAGUUCUCACGCCCUGUUGUUACCCCUUUCUUGCAGAGCCAUUGUCUUCGGCUGCUGCUGUUACUGAUCAGAAUCGAGGCAAGGGCGUCGCAAGUUAGAGCCCUACCUGACGAGCCGAGCUAGAGGUGCCCCUACAGCAGGUAAUUGUUUUUGUUGGAGUUCAUGUACAUACAUAUAUUUAACUCGCCAGUGCGAGUAGUUUUGUAUCUUGGAUUUGGCGUAUGUAUAUGGAACUCGGUUUGUUUUAUUUUUACUAAUUCUUCUAGCAGCUCUAUACUACUGUUUGUAGUAUUGUAUGAUUUACAGGUACAGCUAUCACUUCGUAUACAGAAAAAAUUUCUUUGUAUACGGCGGAUUAGUCGGCGCGCCCGGGGAACGAGUAACCCGGGGCGUGACACCUGAGACGGCGCCCGCCCUCGCACGCUCGCGUCUGCGCCAGCGCUGGAGCUUGCCCCCGCGCCCGCGCCCGGGCCUCCUCCCUUGGCCGGCGCUAGUGUCUGCGGCCACUCGCCCCUCGCGCCCUCGCCCGCGCCUCCGCCUCCCGCUGCCACAUGUGCAGUUAUUGAGGAAUAAUAAGUCUAUAUAGAAAUAGAUAGUCUCCAAAUACUUCAAAGCAUUUUUGGUUCUCUCCAAUAUCUCAUACUUCAAAGCAUUUUUGGGUGGAGAGUUUUUUUUUUUUUUUUUUUUUUUUUGCUCACUUCUCACGCAUACUUUUUUCACACUACUGAUUUUCUAGGUAAAGUUAUAUAUGCCAUAAAAUUUUACAAACUACCUUAGGUCACAUCAGAUGGAUGCUAAGUAUGUUUCACCUAACCAAACUUUAUACAUGUGAUAUUGGAGAAAUCAUGCUAAAUGUUUCUCAUCCUAAAUGAUCGAAUGCUAAGUAUGUUUUACCUGACCAAACUUCAUACCUUAGUUAGUUAAUUCGCAAAUUAUUCAUAAAUUAUUAAAAAUCUAAAUAAAACAAUCUGUAUGCAAUUUAUUUUCAAAAAAUCGGAAUAAAACGUGACUUUUUUUGUUAGAUUUAUUAUUCGCGAAUAAUUUGCGUAUGCCGAACUAUUCGGCCAAACAAAACGAGCAAAAUUUUUGGAUAAAAUUAAUUUCCGAAUUAUUUCCAAAUUAUUGCCGAUUUAUUUGCGAAUUAUUUGUGAAUUGUUGAAAAAUUUUAUGAACAUUCGGAAUAUAUGGAUUAUGAAAAAAAUAAAGAUAAAGACGACAAUAAACUGUGCUAUUUUUUUUUUACUUAAUUUAUUUUAUUUUAUAGCUUUUUAUUUUUAUAUUUUUAAGAAUUUAUAACUAUAUAUGCUAGUAACAUAAAUCUAGAGAAAAAAGUUUAGUUUAAUAGCCGAAUUUUUUAUUCCGAAUUUUUACUUAGUGAAAGCAUAGUUUCCGUAUAAAUCAUGUAUCCGAAUAAUUGGCGAACCCAUUUUUUAAACUGUAUUUUUCAACAAAUUUAAAAAUUGAGAUGCAAAUUUUAUUCUAAUUAUAUCCGUACCGAAUUUUUGCCGGAUUCAAAUUAACUAACUAUGCUUCAUAAGUGUGAUGUUGGAGAAAUCAAGCUUAAAUGAAUAGCUUCGUAGUACCUCAAUCCUCAAUUCCUUUUCAUUUCUAAAGCAAGUGGUUAGGACUUUGGUGGCUGAUAACUAAGGUUUUAAGUUCGAAGCCAAAUUGUUUCACAUUUUCAACCAAAUUUUUUUCAUAAAAAUAUUAAUGAAUCAGGUAGCAUGCUAUCAUUGCUUUAAUUUUAGCUAUUCCUGUCAAUUAACCUAGACGUUUUCUUCAGUUAAAAAUAUUUAUUAAUUAUAUGCUAUCUAUCUUAAAAAAAAAACCAAUCUAUUGUUUCUUUAGUUUAAUUAUUUGUAACUCACUGUACCUAGUGUAAAUGGCAAAGGCCCUGAUGGUUGGUAUUCGAGAUCCCAAGUUCGAAGCCUAGUUGUUUCACAUUUCCAGCCAAGUUUAUUUCGACCUCAAAAAGCAUCUUCAUAUAUUUUUUACCUUUAAAAAAUAUAAAAUAAACCUUAAACUAAGAGAACGAUUUUUUUUGAAUAUUUACAUUAAACAACUUUUGUAUGAUGCGAGUAAAUACGUAAAUUUGUGUGUAUACUUCUCAUAAUCUAUAAUUUAUAUUUGUUCUUUUAGAAAUACCUUAUAUUAUUUCCAUCUCUCAAGCUGUAUUUUAUAUCACAUAGCUUUUUUUUAAUGGCAUUUUUUCACACUGAAAAGGUGAAAAAAGAUAGAGACUCCUCAUCAUAAAUACAAGUCAAAAUAAUCGAAGUGGUAUAAACAAAAAUAUGAACUACUUACUAUAGGUACAGAGACAAAUUAUAACUUAAAACCCCAUCCAAUACAUAAUCCACCUNUACGCAUCCAAAUAUGAACUACUUACUAUAGGUACAGAGACAAAUUAUAACUUAAAACCCCAUCCAAUACAUAAUCCACCUAUAUAUACUAGUCUGAAUGAAUUGAUUUAUCAAACAUGUUGUGUACUUUAGUUUCUUACAUAAGAAAUAAAAAUCGCUAUUUCUAUAUUAAGUUCCUAUUUGGAUGCGUAAACAUCUUAUUUAGGAUAUUUAUUUGAUUUACUCGAUAAGCAUAUAGUAUUUAAUAGAUAGGUAGGUUGAUCAAAUGUCUACAAUAAAUAUCAUAUUCAAUAUUCAAAUAAUUUUAUUAAGAUGAAAUAUGUUUUUCUACUAAAUUAUGAGUAAAAAUGAUAAAUGUACAGCAGGAUUUGAUAUUUCUGGGAAGAGUGCAAGUUUGAAGUAUAAUGGUAUCACACCCUUAGACCGCCAUUGGGUCCGCUUGGGCACAAGCAACAGACCAAUACGUAGAAAUUAUGCAUGAUAUAGAUACAUAAAGUAUCAAAAUGUAAUACUAUUAAAACUAAAUGAAACCAUUACAACUUCAAUAUUUUAAAGUUUACAACACUUAUUUUUAUUCAAAAUACUACACUGUUCUUUUGGGUACACACUAGACAUCUUACUCGGUCUAACUGUUUUUCGACGCCCUUGCCACGGUCCCUGCCUCUCUGCCGAAAGUGAUAUUCAUUUGGUCCAAGAAGCAUUCGUAGAUAAUGAUAAAUAAGGACAUCUAUUGGUACUAUAGAAAUGCAGGAAUUAAAAUACCACUACGAUGCGGUAUGUCAUUAUCCUAUACAUAAAUCGAAUUUCAUUUUUCAGCUUUAACACCUCAUGGAGAGUAGAUUGUUCUCGAACUCCUCUUCAAUUAGUAGGUAAAUGGGGUUGAUUGCUCAUGGAGAAUAGAUUGUUUUCAAAUUUCUCUUCAAUCAUUUAGUAAAUGGGACUGAUUGUUCUCGGACUCUUCCAAGUAUCUCAUACCUUGACACUUCCGGAAGGUUGUACGUUUUAUACUAUUUCAUCCUAAAUUCACGACUUUUAGGAUUAUCGAUAUUGCCCAACAUACAAACACUUUCUUUAGUUCAAAUUUACCGAGAGUUUACUUGCCACUAUAUUCUUGCCUUAGGUUUUCAACCUAGAUUACAUACAUAUCUCUCUUGUUUUCUAUGUUCAAGAUUCGCAUGCAUGUCACCCAUCUUACUCUUUUGUCGUACACACGGUUAGAAAUCUUAUCUUUUCGUAGGUCAAAUGCUAAGAUGACAUCUUGACCCGUAUAAUCUAUUAGUAUGCAACUAGAAUACAUUUACCUACAUUAUACAUAUGAAUAUAUAUGAAAUUGAAAAAAUUUUAGACAAAUGAGUGAUUAAAUAUAUUUGGGUGAUAUUUUCAAUCUUUGUUUUGAUUCUUUGCAAAGAGAUAUUUUUGAUCUUCUUUAAUUCACCAACGAAAUCCUAUUCUCUUCUAACAAGCAAAGCGUAGAUAAGAAGAUGAUCUUCUCCUUUCUAGAAUUUUCUCUUGAAGCUCCCGACCAUGGCGUGAGGGAUGCUCUCGGGUUGAGCGCCUGACCGGUGUAUUGGACAUCUGAAUGGGUUCAAUCCAAUUUUCUAAUUUAGUUUUAAAAAUAAAUUGUAACUUUAAGUUCAAAUUUAAGAUUUUGAAUUUUAGAAUUAAAAUAAUUGCAUAAUUGGUUUCCAUACUUUUCACUUUUUUCACUUUGGUUCUUUAAAAAGCCGGAUAGGUGCUCGUCUUGCACUGAUGUGGCAUAUCCUGUAAAUUUAAUGGUCAUUUUAAUGGCUGGGAUUUAAUUGUAAACAAAUAAAAAGGUCGGGGAAUUGAUUGCAAAAAUAAAAAAAGUGUAGGACUUUAUUAAAAGAAAAGUGAAAUGGUGCCAGACCGGUAAUACAAUUAACUCAAAAAAAAAUUCACAUAAAAACACUUUUUUCUUUUAAAUUAUGUUUUCUAUAUUUUUACAUCCAACAAAAUACCUUCUUCGCUAAAAAUACAUAAAAUAAAUCUUUAAUUGCCAUGUUUUCAAGAUAAAACUACUGGACAAUCAAGAACUACACUUACAAAUAGUGAUAUUUAGACUUAUCAGCAUUUAAUGUCAGCUUGUCAAUCUAGUUUGGAGAAGCAUUCGGUUAAAAUAAAAUUUCUUAAUUUGUUUGUUUUUUAUUAUAUCUUAACUCUCAGAGANUCUUUAUAUAUUUUAAUAAAUUUCUCUUUUUAAGUAUAUAUAUUUUUUAAACAUGUUAAAUUUUUAUAAUUACAAGUUUUAUAGUAGAAAAUAAAAUUUCUUAAUUUGUUUGUUUUUUAUUAUAUCUUAACUCUCAGAGAUCUCUUAUAAUUAAACAACUUAAAUUGCUCUUGCAUAUUAUUUAUUUUCUACUAUAAAACUUGUAAUUAUAAAAAUUUAACAUGUUUAAAAAAUAUAUAUACUUAAAAAGAGAAAUUUAUUAAAAUAUAUAAAGACCCAUUCAACUAUAAAUAUGAACUUUUCUGUUUCAGUUGACCUCUAUCAAUUUUUAUUUAUUUUUAUUUAAUUUUAUUUUAUUUAAUUGUAUUGGUAAAUUUGAAAUUUUUGAGAACUAAAUUCCAUAUCGCAUAUGAAUAAAAUAAAAAAUAAAUCAAUCCGGUGCCAGCAGAUCAUUCUCAUAUUACAAUGUAAAAUAAUAAUCUAAUCUAAACAGAUCUAAAGUUCAGACUACAUCAUCUUGGACCAGUUAAAAUUUCUUAAUCUACUAUUUGAAAUUGAAUAUGAUGAACUGAGGACUACAUCACCUUGACCAGUUAAAAUCUCUUAAUUUGUUUGAAAUUGAAUAUGAUGAACUGAGGCUCUGAUUAGCCGCGAACAUAUCCGGCCUCUACGCGUAUCCGCAUAGAAUUGAUGUAGAUCCAACAUCUUCCGUCGCACGGAAGAGAUGAAUCGCAUAUUACAAAGACGGUGCAAGUCUUUUUACGUUCUCUUUUUGAUGAAAUAGUGUGAACAAGAUAGAAAGAGAAUAAUGUGAGAUCCUGCUUCCUCCUCUUAAUAGAGCCGAGCCGUACAAAUCGGCACACCCUUUGUUGUAACUAAUCAAUCAUCUCCAUUAGCUGUUGGUCAUUAUUAUUAAUUUCUUUUGCUAAAAAUUACUUAGAGAAAUGAAAUUUUAAAAAUUUAUUUGAUUAAUUUACCAAAAUCUCUAAUAUAUUUAAAUAAAAUAUAGAAAACAAAACAAUUUAGAUAAAGCUUAAUUAGAAUGCUAUUUCAAAAUGGCGAAGUUGAGAGAUAUCCAUAUUAUUUUAUUUUUAUUUAUUAUUAGACUUAAAAUUUCUCGUUUCAGCAAGUAAAAUAAAUAUAAGUACACCAAUAAGACAAUUAUAUUUGAAUAAGCAUAAUGAUAAUAUUUAUAUUAUAUACAGCGUAAACUCCAAAUACUUAAGAUUUUAGUUCUCUCCAAUAUCUCAUAUUAAAGAUCUUUUGGUGGAGAUUAUUUUUUUUUAUUUUGCUCCCUUCUCACGCAUACUUUUUCACAGUAUUGAUUUUCUGGGUACAGCUAUAUAUAUGCCAUAAAAUUUUUGCAAACUACCUUAGGUCACAUAAGAUGGAUGCUAAGUAUGUUUCACCUAACCAAACUUUAUACAUGUAAUAUUAGAGAAAUCAUGCUAAAUGAUCGAGUGCUAAGUAUGUUUCACCUAACUAAACUUCAUACAUGUGAUAUUGGAGAAAUCAUGCUAAAUGAAUAGCUUCAUAAUCCUUAAUUCCUUCUCAUCAACGGUCUCUAAAACUACCGACCAUCCGUAGGACCCUAGCGCAAGUGAUUAGGAGCUUGGUGGUUGAUAACCGAGAUUCUAAAUUUUAAGGCUAGUUGCUCUCCAUUUUCAGCUGAAUUUUUUUUAUAAAAAAAUAAACAAAAUAGGUAGCAUUUUAUCUUUGCUUUAAUUUUAGCUAUUUUUGUCAAUUAACCUAGACGUUUUUCUAAAUUAAAAAUAUUUAUUAAUUAUAUGCUACAAGUAUUCUACUAACAGUCUAUUGUUUCGUCAGUUUAAUUAUUUGUAACUCACUAAUUGUUUCUGGCGUAAGUGGUAAAAAACUUGAUAGUUAGUACUCGAGGCCCCAAGUUCGAAGUCUGCUUCAUAUUUUCAAUCUACUUUGAGUCCCGAGUUCAAAUUCGCUUCAUAUUUUUAAAGAAAAACUUCAAAAACCCCCCUGUGGUUUCGUAGUUUCUCACUUUUCCCCCCUGUGGUUUAAAAUGUAUCAAUUUGCUCCGCUGUGAUUUCUUUUUUCUCUUUUUCUUAUCAAUUUCAUUAUUUUUUUUCUUAAAUCAGUGAUAAAGUUAAAAUUAAAGGGUACUAAAGUGAAUAUUUGAUAAAUCUAGAUGGAUAUCUGAAAUUUUUUGUAUAUAAUUUAAUGAAAUAUUAACGAAAAAACUACCGAAAAGAUAAAAACGAAACCAGAGGAGGACAAAUUAAUAUAUUUUAAAUCACAUUGGGGUAAAAUGAGUAACUACGAAACCACUGGGGUUUCUUAAAGUUUUCCCUAUUUUCAACCUACUUUGGUCGAAUGCCCGAUCCCCAAGUUUCAUGUAAAAUAAUAUAAAAUAAUUUACUUGACCUGAAAGACCAUUUUUGUCCACUCCGAACAGAGAUGCACGAUCCAAUACAUGGCUGAAUGAAUUGAUUUAUCAAGAAAUAAAACUCGCUAUUUUUACAUAUUAGGCUCCUAUUUGGAUGCGUAAACAUCUUAUUUAGGAUAUUUAGCAUGUAAUAUUUAAUAGAUAAAUAGUAUGAUCGAAUAUCUAUAAUGAAUAUCAUAUUCAACAUCCAACUAAUUUUAUUAAGAUGAAAUAUGUUAUCCUACUAAAUUAGAAAUAAUAAAAUAUUUCAAGAGACAAAAAUUAAGCUCCUAGAAAAAGAAAAUUAUACGAAAUAAGUUAUCAUUGAAUAUCUUAAUCCAAAAUCCAAAGAAGCCUAAUAAAGGUUUUGUAUUAGAAUAGCUAAAGAUUCCCAAAUUUUCCAAGCACAAGUCUUGGUGUUUUAUUACCCAAUACCAACUCUACCUGUAUUAUUUUUUAAAAUUUAAUUCCAUGUUAUAAAAUUUAAUUAAAUUGUAAUCAAGGGAAGCUGAAAAAGAUUUAAACUAAAGAGUCCGACUGGUAUACUACCGGUAGUACGGAGGCCUCCGUACUACUAAAUUGUUUUCAAUGAUGCAGCUUUCAAAUCAACAAUCAGCUCCAUUAGACUUAAUCUACAUUAUUGAAAAUAUUUGAAAACUAAAUUUCAUAAUUUUUCGACAUCAUUUACCUGUCAAAGAAGUAGUAUAAAAAUAAACAGUUAAAAAUAAAAAUCUCAUAAAAAUGAUGAUAAAAAACUUAAAUUUAAAAUCAGAGAUAUUGAUCUUAUUCUAAAUAGUAAAAAAUGAAAAUAAAAAUUUCAUCAGAUUUGAAUUGUUUUACACCGUUAAAUUUACAAACGCAUCACAUCGACCAUUAUAAUUGUCAAUUUUGAAACAUUUUGAUCGCUAUCUAAAUAAUGUCAAAAAAUCAAAAAAUUUAGUUUUCAAAUACUUUUAAUAGUGUAGAUCAAGUCUAAUGAAACCGAUCAUUGAUUUAGAAGCCGCAUCAUUGAAAACAACUAGAUAGCACGAAGGCCUCCGUGCUAUUUGAUAGUAUAUCAGCCCUAGCUCUAAAGUGAGUUCAUAAAUACAGUGGGUCAUUUUGAUAGAUAACACCAUUCAAUUCAAACUUUCCACUUUGUAAAGGGUGUGGUUACAGUGCAGAUCACAGCAUCCAACAACCUCCAAUUCAAACAACAAAGAAGCAGAGCUUCUUCAAGUGUUUCAAGCUUUUGCAAUCACAGAACUUCAGAAAAUCAACUACAGGAUUAAAAGGGUGCUAGUUUAUUUCAUCAACUUUCCAUGGUUUGCCUACAAAGGGACAAACAUAAGUGAAAAAAUAAUAAUAAUAAUAAUAAUAAUAAUAAUAAAUAUAUAUAUAUAUAUAUAUAUAUAUAUAUANAUAUAUAUAUAUAUAUAUAGAUAUAUAUAUAGAGCUAGACUCCUGCGCUUUCGAAAGUACGGAGGCUUUCAUACUUGUAAAUUGUUUUCAUUGAUAGGGCAUCCGAUUCGGCGAUCGGUUCCGUUAGAGAUGAUUUACAGUAUUGGAACUCUCUAAAAACCAAAUUUCAUAAGUUUUUUACUUUUUUUGCCUCGUGAACUAUUAGCCUUAAAAUGAACGGCUGAAAUUAAAAAUUUCAUAAAAAAGAGUGAUAAAAGACUUAAGUUUCAAAUCGAAAGUAUUGAUCUUGCUUUUCAUGAUAAAUACAAUUUUCUUUUAAAGUUUUACGUAAUUUCGAUUGUUCUACACGUCGAACUUGUAAACAUGCCACAUCGGCUAUUAAAAUAGUCAUUUUUGAAACCUUUCAUCACUUGGUAAAUAAAAUUGAAAAAUUAUGAAAUUUAGUUUACAAUAGCAUAGAUCAUGCCUAACGAAAUCAAUCGUUGAAUUGGAUCUUCCAUCAUUAGAAGUAGCUUACAAGCACGGAAGCCUCCAUACUUUCAAAACCGUAGGAGAUGUACUCUAUAUAUAUAUAUAUAUAUAUGUAUAUAUAUAUAUAUAUAUAUAUAUUCAACUACACAUAGCAUAAACACGUUCUUUAUAAACAAAAGUUUAAGCCCCUGAAAUUCUACUAUGCGCAAAGAUCUUACCCAAAUGCUUAAGGUACCACAAUGCCCAAAUGCUCAAGAUACCAUAAUGCCCCUUCUGCAGCAUGUUCUCUCGCAGCUUUCUUUUUCCGCUUUGGUUCACUAAAGCACUCCAAGAUUGUGGUGGUGAUUGUAUCCACUUCCACUGUGACUUUGCAGGUGAACCUGCCACAAUUUAAUGCCUACAACAUAAGAUGGUGGAUCAUGCUGAUGUAUAUAAAUAACUAAGCAUAAGUACCAUAGCAAGGCUACCUUCAGAAAUUAAUAAUGCUAUUCUGUAAGUGCAUAAAUGAAGAUGCUUUUGUUCAGAUUAUUCUAUCGGCGGGGGCAAUUUUGAUCCUUUUGAAACUUUCAGAAAUUGCUAUUUGAGUUAAACUAUUAGAAGAAGCACAGGAAGUUUUUCACUCCUUGAAACUUUCAGCACAACAAAGCAGAAGCUUCAAACCUGAGCUUCUACUUUGCAGCCCACACGCACAUUAUAACUUCCUGCAGCAAUAAAAGCUUCAAAUAGUUUGUCUAACAAACGCGUUGCCGAUGCUUCUUUGAGCAGAAAAACUGUUCUAGAUGCCAAGCCAAAUAGGUACAUAAUAGCAAAUGCACCUUCUCUAACAUCAGCUUACAUGAAUAUGAUAUAUCUCCAAGGAGGAGGUAGCUAAGGAUAUAAGCUCCCUCUCUUUUACUUUUUCCAUCUCAAUUUUAGCAUCUGAGAGCUGUGCAUUUCUUGUUGUCUGAUGCAAGUUUGUUCGAACUUUUAGAUCUUAUUGUAACAGGCUAUGCCUUGUUGCUUUAAAUUUUGAAUGAGCCCAAAAAAUUUUGGGCAUGUUAUCAACAUAAUACCUGUCAAAGUAUAUAACUUUUCAACUUUAAAUAUGCUUUAAGUUAUUGCUAUUUCAGACUUUUUCUUGGAAAGCAAUUAAGAUAGCACUUAUUACUAAUCAUCAGUAGUUACAAAAUCACAAGGUAUACCAAAAAUGAAGCUAAAAAUUCCUGAAGCUAAAAAAUCCUGUGGUUAUUACAUUUUACGUAUCUGAAAAGGCAUGGCCGAAAAUGCAAUGAUUCCUUUAGACACAUCAGCAAGAAAUAUAUAAACUGUCAUACAUCCCAAGAAUUGUGAAUAUCAUUAAACUUGAAAAGUCGCACAGCUACUCACAUCAACAGUUGCAAGAACGGAGAAUUUUGUCAGCAAAAUUUAAGUAAUGGUCCCUCCAUAUGACAACGGUAUAUCACUAAAAUCAUGUGCAUAUGAAUUCUCACAUCCCUGUAUAGCUUGUUGUUUCUUCAUACUUUUAAAUAUACAUAUACUGCAGCAUAAAGUUUCCGUGCAUUUAACAUGCUCCAUGGGCGUCAAUCUAGUAUUAGAAAUUUCUACACAUAACAGUGAAAAAUGUACAAAAUUCUAGUAAAUCUAUUGUCAUCAGUAAGCUGUUCCUUUAUACACUUAAACUCAUCCAUAGUGCGCCACAAAUUUUCCAUAUUUAUAACAUGCUUCAUAGGCGUCAAUCAAAUGUAUGAAUUCUUGAACUGAUGUUCUCAUAAAUUUGCAGAAUGUGUAUAACGUCUUCGUUCAUUUUUUUUUAUGAGAAAAUUCAUUGCAUUUAUUUUUGCAAACUUACAUCCUUCCAUGGACGGGUCCUUCUUGGCACAAUUCAAACAAAGGCGCUUUCCAAUAGUUAGAGGCACAGAUCUCGAACAGCUUCGUCCUCGCUGUUUUGAUUCUGGGAAUGCCUAUGGAUCCAAAGCAUAAUGAAAACAAUUUAAUAAAUUCUAAAUUCAUUUACAUGAUAAUUCUUCAUUACAGAAGCUUAAAAUUGGCACCUUUUUGACCGCCAGGAUUGGCUUGUUGUCCUUCAUUCGCUGCUUGAUGACCCACGACUGUUUUAUCCUUAUCCUUUGUCUUAUGGAGAUGCGACUCGCAAUGGGUCUCCUUCGAGUCGACGAAUAACUUGGCCAAUUUAUCUACACCAACGCCCGCUGCUAACGGCUGUUGGCCCUUUACAACGAAUUGCGGCUCCUUCUUCCUAGCGGGCCGCAUUAUCUCCUUCAACGACUCACUCUUCCGCUUAAAACCAAGGGCCUGGACUGAAAAUGAAGUAAAUGAAAAGUACAUAUAUAUGCAUGAUGUUUCUGCAAACUCAGUUUUUCGAAAGUAGAACAGAAAAACAACUGUUAAGCCCAAAAUAGGCAAAUCAGAGUCAUUCAAUCUGAUUGAAUAGUGACCAAAUUCAAUGAAUCUGUCUGUCAAUAGUAAAACCAGCUCUGUUGAUAAAACUAGCAAUCCCAGAAGGUAGAUUAGCUGCCGACCUGAGGUUGAGCUACCAUAUUUAGUACUCAAAUUUACAGCGACGAGAUCUGAACAACAACGCAGAAUAAACAAAUGAUCCAGUUAAAAUCGAACCAAUGGAUCGCAGAUAUCCAAGAAAAGGUAAGUUAUGGCCUAUGGGAGACUCUGGACUGACGCAGUUUAGUGAGAGCAGAAAUAUUAGUUCUGUCGUCGACCACGAUGGCGACGAGGAAGGAUUGUAGAAUGUUGCGAAACUGUAUCCAAUUCUGAUAUCUAAAAUUGGAAGUGGAGAGCAUGAUAGAAUGGCAAGUACCCAGCACUCCAUUUGUGGCAAACAAUAGGCAUGGUUGGAGAAGAUCAAAGUACCAGCUAAUGCUGAAGAGAGUGUGCCCUACCUCCUGCUGCUGCUGCUGCUGCUGCUCCGCUUCCGUGAAGCUAACCAUUCGGAGGGGGUGAAGAAGAGGAAAUGAGAUCCCCUUGAAACCCUAGAAAGGGAUCCGCAUCUCUGAACACAUCGCAAGUUUCAAUCGAGCCCCCUAAACUUUCGUUGCAAUUGGGUUCUCACAUUAGGAUAAUUGCCUAUAUACCCCUCAAAACUUCAGAAAUUUCUCAUUUACCCUUUUUUUUUCUUUCUAAUACACCCCUCAUACAUUCCUCCGUUUUUCCAAAAUAUUCCUAGGGCGUGUUUGGUGCGCUUCUUUUUCACCCUGGAAUCGAAAUCGGAAUGGAUAAAUCCGUUUAUGGGUGUUUGGUACGGGGUUGUUCCAUUUCAAUUCCGAUUCCCGAGUGAAAUGGGAAUCCCCCAAUCACCUCUUUUUUCAAUCCGGCCUAGGAGGUCGGAUUGAAAGUUGAAUCCGGACGGAAUGGAUAUUUAUUCGGAUUAAAUUUAUUUUUUAACUUUUUUAAUUAAAAUAUGAGUUAAAAUUUUAAAAUUAAAUAUAUAAUUUUAAAUUUUAAUUUAAACUUAAAUUAAAAAUUAAAAUUUAAUCAAGUAUUUCGAAUCUAACUUAUGAAUUUGAAUUUAAAUUAAAUUUUAAUUUAUAUAAAAUGUUAUUCAAAUUUUAUUUCAAACUUAAAUUAAAUUUAUGGAUUCAAAUUAAAAUUUAAAUUGUAAUUUUAAAUUUGAAUUUGAAUAAAUCAAAAUUUAGUUUCAUAUUUUGAAUUAUCCACUCAACUUCAAAGUUUAAUUUUUUUUAAAAAAAAUAGAUUUAAAAUUUUGACAUUAUUUCAAAAUUUUGAUGUAAAUUUUUAAUAUUUAAUUUUUAAUUUGAAUUUAAAUUAAUAUAUUAUAAAGAUAAUGUUAGUAUAUUAAUUUGAUUACAUUUUUUAUAUCCACCUGAACCAAACACCGACAAUGGGAAUGAUUUACUCCGAUUCCGAUUCAGGUGAUGAACCAAACAGAAUCAGAUAAUGAGUCAUUCCGAUUCCAAUUCCAGCUUAUUUUGAUUCCGAUUCCGAUUUCGAUUCCGACUUCGAACCAAACGCGCCCCUACAGUUAUCACCCGUUAAAUUAACUUGGAUUAAACGUGAGUUAAAUAUCUACCACAGUUAAAAAAAUUAAAAUACCACUUUUGUCCUUAACUUAAGGGCAAAUAAGAAAUUUGGUGGUGGUAGAAUGGUAUAUUUGAAAAAACUAAAAAACAAAAUACUUUUUUGUGCCCUUAACUUAAGGGCAAAUAAGAAAAGUCGGUGAUGGUAGAAUGGCAUAUUUGAAAUGGCAAAAUAAUAAUUUCAUAUAGAUAAUUGAGUUCAUUAACAGAUUUUAACUCUAGAGAUAUAUUAGAAAUAGGUUGGAACGUAAAAAAAGUAUUUUUAAUAUUAGCCUUUUAAAAAGGCUAAAUCAGAAAGUCAAAAACUUUUCAGAGGUAUGUAAGCAAUUACCCCCUUACAUUUCACACCCAAGCAUCAAAUUACUAGGGAUGAAAGUGGUCACGGUAAACUCUCAUCAGAUCCGAUACCGAAUUCCAUAAAAUACGAAGGCUGCGUUUGAUUUGGGUAUAAGUAAGAACUGCUUAUUCUAAGAAUAGGUAUAAGCUUAGGUAUAAGUAGGAACAAGACCAAUUUUACGUUUGGAUGAAAUUAGGUUGUUCCUAGAAAUAAGGUAAAUAGUAUUUUGAUGGUUAUAUUGGAGCGAAGAGAAUAAGAGUUAUAAUUGUAUAUAUUAAAAUUACUUUAUAUAAUUAAUUAACAUCAAAACAUUACUUAAAAUAAUAAAUUAAUAUUAAUAAUUAUAAAUAAUAAAUUAAUUAAAUAAUAAUAAAUUAUUAUUAAUUAAUAUUUAUUAUUUUUAAUUUUUUAGUAUUAAAUAAUUAAUAAUUAUAAAUUAUAAAUUAAUUAAUUAAUAAUAAAUAAUUAUAAAUAAAUUAUUAAUAAUAAAUUAAUUAGAUAAUAUAGUAUAAAUAAUUUAUUAUUUAUAAUUUAUUAAUAAAAAUUUAUUAUUAAUUAAUAAUUUAUAAUUUACAAUUAUUCAUAAUUUACUAUUUAUUUUAUUAUUAAUUAAUUAAUUUAUUAUUUAUAAUUAUUAUUAAUUUAUUAUUUAUACUAUAUUAUCUAAUUAAUUUAUUAUUAUAAUUUAUUAUUUAUAAUUAUUUAUUAUUAAUUAAUUAAUUAAUAAAUAAUUAUAAUUAUAAAUAAUAAUGAUUUAAUUAAUAAUUAUAAAUAAUAAAUUAAUAAAUUAUUUUAUUAUUUAAGCAAUAAAUAAUGAUUUAAAUAUAUUAAUUAGAUUAAUUAAUUAUUUAAUAUCAUAAUUAUAAUUAUUUUUAAACUUUAGUUAACUUUAUUCUCAUAUGGGAACAAGCUUGCUCCAGGGAAAAGCUGAACAGCCGUUCCAGCUUUAUUCCGGCUUAUUUCAGAAAUUCGAGAAUUGUUGUUUUCGGAUACUAAACGUAGCGUUUGGUAACAAAGGGGGGAACAAGGGCUUAUUCCCCCUAGUUCCCAAACCAAACGCUACCAAAGAGUCCAGCUGGGUUAUUUCUAAUAGCAUCAAAUAUUUGAUUCUAUCAAAUUUUUCACUAUUUAAUUUAUUUAUUUGAUCAUUUUUUUUCUAUUAAAUCAUACUAUUCAACCUACUAGCUACUCAACACUACAGGAUUAUUAUCAUCCUAACCGCACAUCUCUUCCUCCAAGGACCGAAAACCUAAUAGCACUAUUGACUUGGUACUAUUAGAAAAUUUUCGGUCUAAUUUGAAUACAAAUAUGGAUAUUAAAAUUUAGUAUUAGAUACAUAUUUGUAUCUAAAUUCUCAUUAUAUAUAUAUAUAUACAUAUAUAUAAUUGAGCUAGAAUACUUUUAGGAGUAUUACUCCCUUGGUGCUUUUAAGAUUUUUAGCCCUUGGAUCUACUACUUGAUUACUAAUAGUCAUUGGAUCAAACACUAUUCCACCUACCACCACCUACCACCAUCAUCCCAACCUUACAUUUCUCCAUUCAAGAGUUGAAAACUCAAAAGCACCAAUCUCUUGGUGCUUUUGAAAGUAUUCUAGCUCAACUCUCUCUCUCUCUAUAUAUAUAUAUAUAUGUGUGUGUGUGUGUGUGUGUGUCACGCCCCGGAUUACCACGUUUCUCCGGGUACGCCAACAGACCCGCGGUAUAUAAAAGAAUUUUCUUUGUAUACGAAGCGAUAGCUGUAUCUGUACCUAUAAUCAUACAAAACUACAACUAGUAGUAUAAAGCUCCUAACAGAACUAUAAACAUAUGUAAAUAAACAUCAGGUUCGCUAUACAUACAUAGUCUUCAGGAUACAGACAUCACUCGCUCAAGCGAGUACCAGUAUAAGUAUGUACAUGAACCAAAAACUCAAAACUACCUUUAGAUGGUACUCCACUAGUACUGCAACCCAGGAAAGGAUCUAACUCGCGACUCCCUUUUCACGAUCAGUAUCGGCGACAGCAGCAGCCGCAGAAUAAGGCUCUACAAAAAAGGGUCAAUAACUGGGUGUGAGAACUACUGCAAAAAGAAGUAAUUCUCAGUGGGUACCGCUACCGACCUCAACGGCUCAUCCACUAAGUCUACAGAAAGUAUGCAAAAAGAUAGUAAAAGAAGCUGGUAAAACUCUACAGCUAUAUACCACUAUACUAUCGCUAAACAACACUAGCUAUCUGUAAAUGUAAACAAGAUGCAAUCUCUGACCCAAUCUCACUAGGGACUGUGAACACACCCGUUUCGCCCGUCGAAACUACACCAACCACCACCACACUGGGUUGUUGGUGGAAAGCAAGUCCAACCAGAACACUACGACAACAACGCAAAAGCAUUAAACCCGACUCCGGAGUGGCACUCGUGGACGCUACCCAACCGAGAAUGCAAACGUGUCUUUGCCGAGCUCAAUCAGACUCUCACAGGCUAAAAUGAAAACAAUCGGGUCUAACUGGUCUAACAACCAAAACUCACGUGCCCUUGACACAAUUUGAUGCAAAUACAGAAAUCUGGAUCUACCGUCAACCGCGACGGCACCCGACAGUCUGAAAUAGUCUACACACUACUGUAAAAAUAAACUCGGCAUCUCAGCACGAGUAUAAACUAAUCCUACACUAAUCUGAGUAUCCAUCGCAUACUAACAGCGACGAUACAAACAAACCACAGCUCCUAAAGCUAAAUCUGGUAAUUUUUAGAAAGUGACAGUAUAGAAUCUAUAUAUUUUCUCCUAAGCCAAUUUCAAGUUCAACAUGUAAAAUUAAACUACUAACUUAACUCCAAAUUUAGAUUUAAACACUAAUCCAUGAAUUCGAGUACUAGUAAGGAAAAUACACAGAUAAUACAUAUCAAGGAUACUAAAACUUAGAAUAUAUUCCGACGAUUUCGGUAAACUUCAACCUACCUCAAAAAGCUAGUCCAACUACGGCGAGAAGUCGAGAGGAGAGAAAACACGCGCUCGCCCGGCCUCCCAAUGAUGCAACCGCGACGCUCCCACGCUCGAACGGCCCUCCGGAUCAAUGUCAAAAUCAGCCGAACUCGAGCCGCGAUCACCACCACGAGCAUGUUCAAAACUAGAGAGAGAGCAUCAACAAUAAAAAAAACUCUCCCCUCAACUCUCUCUGCAAGUCUAAAGAGGUGGGGAUAAGGAUAACAUUGGUGAUAAUGACAAUCCAAAAGACCAACGUACCCUUCACCUACUCAAAAUUACAGCUAGAGUACCGGUACCCGAUUUGGUUACCGGUACUCAGCCUCUCAGCCCGCAAGCUCUCACACAAGGUACCGGUACCAACCCGAUGCCGUACCGGUACUCAGCAUCAAACUGGCGCAACCCGAGAGCAGUCUGUUUGAAAAUACACUGGGGAACCGGUAUUUCCCUAUAUAGUACCGGUACUCAAUACUAAAAACCUAUACUUUGCAGAUUUUAUUGUCAAAACUCUGCUCUCGCGUCGCACUGAGUCCGUUUUGCGUCCAUUUCGCGCCAAAACAACUUUGACUUGUCCCGACAUUCUCCAAAUAUGUCGACAAGCCUCAGAUGCUAAAAUCCCACAGGCAACCAAACACCAGGGAUACUAUAGUGUGCGCGCGCGCGUGUGUGCGUGCGCGCGCGCGUGUGUGUGUGUGAAUAUUGUUUUUUAAAAUUCCAACUAUAUAUAACUGUCUCUACUUGUAGAAGAUAAGAGGGAUGUUAAUGUAUAUUAUAUUAUAUGGGGGAUAAAAUGGUUUUCUGUCGCAUUUUUUAUUUAUUUAAUUAUAAAUUUAAUAGUAAAAUUAAAAUUAUGUUAUAUUUUUAAAAUAUUAAACUUCAUUGAAUAAAAUAUAGGGAUGCGAAGUUCAAACAUAAGUGUGAAACUUUAGUUACAUUCUAUGUUUUAUCUGUACUAAUUCUAGUUCAUAUUUAUAUAUAAACUAUUGGUAUAAAUUAAUAUCCGAAUAAUAUAUGAAUGCAAAUUCGAUAUUCGUCUUUAGCAGAUAGAUAUAACAAAAAUUUAACGUCCGAUACAAAUCAGCAUACGAAUUCACUUCUGAGGAAAAAUACGAAAACGAAUAUUGUUUUGUCAAAACUUCAAUCAUAUUCGGCUGGUUUUACCCCUACAAAGAAGGCCCUAACCUUCUACUUAUUAUAAUUAGAUUCUUAAUAUUUUAAUUAAGUUUUCAAGUAAACCCAUAAUGCAUUUCUAGUCGAUUCAAUUAGAUUUUAAUUUGUUUUGAAUAUUUUAUUAUUAUUUGUUUGUUUCUCACCAGAUUUGGAAUGUAUAAGAUCUACGCAAAAUUGGCCCGAUGCACCCAACAAAAGUUGUUAACAAAUUGACUUAUGUUUGGCUCAAAAGUAAAAUAACCUUAAGAUAAUUCGGCUUAUUUUCAGCUGAAAAUUAAUUUGAGCUAGUUCGAAAUUAUUUCAAACGGGCUUAAAUUUAAACUGUAACAAAAUAUUAAUGUAUUAUUAUUAUUAGUUUAUUAUUAUUGAUGCUUAAUUUAAAAAUAUGUCUUACCUAAAAUAAUUGUAUCUGACUGUUUAAUGGGUCAAACUUAGGCGCCAGCCUCACUGGCUCAGAAACUUUCCCCCGUCCUUCAUUUGACCUGGUCCGAUCCAAAGUUCUGUUCAAACCCCACCACAAUAGUAAAAUAAAAAAAAAAGGAAAAAAAAGAGGCCAAUUUGCAUAAAAAAUUCACUUAUUUUGGACUUUUGCAAAAUCGGGCCACAUUUUUCGUUUUUGCAGAUUCGGUCCGCUUUUUCGUCCGCCUAACCAAAAUACCCUUAUUACUUUUUCUCUUUCCUCUUUCUCUCUCCUCUCUGUUUCUAUCGUUCUGUUUUUUUUUCUCGCCGCGCUCGCCGUUCUCCCUCGAAUCCUCCUGCGUCGUCCCCAUCACCGUCGCGUUCCCGAACCGCACCCUCCUCGCUCCCCUCCCGCAACCCAGCAACCCCCUUGACCGCCGCCGCACGGGCCGCUCCUCCGCCGCCGCGCGUCGAUUCUGUUUUUUUUUUCUCGCUGCGCCUAGCAGUCCCCUCGAAUUCACUGCGGGCCGUCACUCACCGUCGCGUUCCCCGAACCCCCUCCUCGUCCCACCGGCGACUCCGCCAAGUUCCUCGACGGCCCCCCGCCGCUGCUCCCGCCGGCCGCGGAUUCGAAGGAGAAAAGGCAGCGCGGCGAGAAAAAAAAAAGAGCGAUAGAAUUACACCAUUACACCAUUACCAUUACACCUACCAUUACAUCAUUACACCAUUACCAUUACACUAUUACACCAUUACUAUUACAUCAUUACACCAUUACCAUUACAUCAUUACCAUUACAUCAUUACACCAUUACACCAUUUACGCCACUACAUCAUUACACCAUUUGCCGAUGGAGAAGAACACGCGUGGGUCUUUUUCAUUUUCUUCUUCUUUUUCAUUUUCUUCUUCUUCCUCCUGCGGAGGACCUCGACUCCCUCAAUCUCCGCUGACGGGGGUGCCUCUUCCGCCGCCGCCUCGGCGGGGCGCGGCGGCGCCGAUGGCGUCAUCGGACGAGGAGACGUUUUACACGCCGCAGCGCUCGGCGGAGUCGGUGUACAGCGACAGCCCCAGCAGCCCCAUCUCGCGGCGGUGGUGUCGAAAGCUCGUCGGCGAUGGUGAGGGAGCUGCUCGAGGUGGUGCUCGCUCUGUUGAGCUCGGGCUUGGCGGCCGCCGACCUGCGCUGGUCGACGAGGCCGCGCAGGCCGCGGACUGCGACGAGCGGAGAAGCCGCGAAGCUCGGGGCCAGCUCCGCCACCACCACCGCGUUGCUUCGCCGCAACCGCUCAUUCUCCUCCACCAACGCCGUCGCUCCUCCUACGUUGGCGGCGGCGGCGGCGGCGGAGGCGGUAGGGGUGGGGCCGAGGACGAGGAGGCGAGGAGGAGAGGGGGAGUCGGUCUAUGGCUGGGGGUCCGCGGCGACGGGAUCGAAGAAAGGAGAGAGAAAAAAAAGAGGAGAGAGAAAAAUAUAUAAAGGUAUUUUGGUCAGUUUGCUGAAAAAGUGGACCGAAUCUGCAAAAACGAAAAAGGUGGCCGGGUUUUGCAAAAACCCAAAAUAAGUGGAUUUUUUAUGCAAAAAGGCCAAAAAAAUGUGUCAAUGUAUGGAAAAAAAAAAUCCAUAUUUCUAAAAAUUCCUAUCCAAAUCAAACUUAUACGACAAAAAAAGAAAAAAAAAAUAGCAUAUGAGAUGCAAAACACACAAAACUUGCAAAACACUAAAAAUUAAAGGGAAAACUUCAAACACCAACCUGUGAUUUCACAAUUUUUCACUUUAGUACCCUGUGGUUUAAAGUGUAUCAAUUUAGUAACAUAUGAUUUCACACUUUCUCACUUUAGUACUCUGUGGUUUAAAGUGCAUCAAUUUAGUACCCUGUGGUUUCAUUUUUUUUCUUUUCGUCAACUCCUCUGUUAAUAUUUCGUUAAAUUAUGUAUAAAAAACUUCAGAUACCUUACUUAAGUUUUUCAAAUAUUUACCUAGCACCUUUUAGUUUUAAUUUUGUCACUGAUUUUUUUUUCCUCCAUUAAUAUUUCGUUAAAUUUUAUACAAAAAACUUCAGAUAUGCUACCUAGGUUUAUCGAAUAUUCACUUUAGUACUCUUUAAUUUUAACUUUGUCACUGAUUUAACGAAAAAAAUUAGUGAAAUGGAUAAUAAAAAGAGAAAAAUAAAACCACAGUGUCCUAAUUUGAUACACUUUAAACCACAGGGUACUAAAGUGAGAAAGUGUGAAACCACAUAGGCUAACUUGGUACACUUUAAACUACAGGGUACUUAAGUAAGAAAGUGUGAAACCACGGAGGGUAUUUGAAGUUUGCCCAAAAUUAAAUUAUAUGUUUGUAUAUAAAGUCCAACCGGUGUGCUUUCAAAUGAAGGCUUCAGUACUUUCAAAUUAUUUUCAAUAAUAAGACAUUCGAUUCGAUGAUCUGCGCAAUUAGAUAUAAUCUACAGUAUUAGAACUAUCUCAAAAUCAAAUCUUAUAAUUUUCCAUCAUUAUUUGUCAAGUGAUCAAAAGGUUUGAAAAUUGAUAAUUUUAAAGGCUGAUGUGGUACGUCUGUAAAUUCAACAGUAUAAAACAAUCUAAAUUAUAUGAAAUUUUAAUAAAAAAACUCUUUUUACCAUCAAUAGCAAAAUUUUUAUUUUCGAUCUAAAAUUUAAGUUUUCUAUCACAAUUUUUUAUGAGAUAUUUAUUUCAAUAAUUAUUUUGGGACUACUUGUUUACUAGUCAAAUGAUGUCAAAAAUUAUAAAUUUUGGUUUCCAAAUAGUUUUAAUAAUAUAGAUUAUGUUUACAAUAACGUAGAUUACAUUUAACAAGUUGAUUGUCGAAUUGAAUGUCCGAUCAUAAAAAUAACUUUAAAAUAUGGUGGGUUUCGUACUUCAAAGCAUACUAACCUAGUUCUCUCUCUUUCUAUCUCUCUCUCAUUAUAUAAUAUACUCCCCCCCGGGUGCCCGCUCGCGCCCAUCGCAGCGCCCGCCCGCGCUCACGCCCGCUCGCCGCCGCACGUCAGCGUUGUGGCCACCGAAGCCCGAUCACGGAGAGGGUUGUUUACUACUUUUGUUUUCACAAUUCAAAAAUAGAUAUUGAUGUGUGUGGGGAGGUGGUGUUGGUGGUGAAGGUGUGCUGGGUGGAGGUGAUGGUGAUGAAAAAUGUGAGAGAAAGAAGAGAAAUUAGGUAGAAAUUGAAAGAGAGAAGAAAUUGAAGAAAUAAAAUAAAAAAAUAAUCUAGCCACCCAUCAAUUCUGAUUAAUGGCUGAAAACUGGGAACGUAAGGAAUGUUUGUGCUCAAUAAUUAUACAGUAUCUGCUAUAUUAGAGUAGGGGUUACUGUGUAUUAGAAGCAUAGUAGCUCUUAUACUUCUAACUUUCAUCUAUCCAUCAAUUUUGAUUGAUGUUAGAUGAGAAAAAGAAAAAAAAAUUGGUGAAAAUUUAAGUGCCUCAAUUUCUCUCACUUUUUGAAUUUCUUGACCGUCUUCUAAACGCACAGUAGCCUCAUAUAUAUAUAUAUAUAAUAUAUAUAUAUAAUAGAUGCGGCUAGGAUGUUUAUGGAAGCACGAGAGCUCCGCGCUUCCACUUUGUUUUCGAUGUUUGGACUUUCAAUCGACGAUCGGCUCCGUUAGACUUGAUCUAGAGUAUUUGAAGUACCUAGAAAAUAAAUUUUGUGAUUUUUCGAUAUCAUUUGCCAAGUGAUCGAAGGGCUCAAAAUCAACGGCUGAAAAUAAAAAUCUUACAAAAUAUGAUGAUAAUGACAUUAAAAUUUUAGAUCUAAAGCUAUUGAUCUUGUUUUAUAUGGUAUAAAGAAUUUUCUAUCAAAUUUCAUGUGAUUUGAAUAUUUCUACACCGUUAAAUUGCAACCGGCUCACCACGACCGUUAAAAUUAUUGAUUUUGAGCCCCUUCGAUCACUAGGCAAAUGAUAUCGAAAAAUCGCAAAAUUUAUUUCUAGUUACUUCAAUACUCUAGAAUCAACUCUAACGGAGCGAUCGUUCGAUUCGAAAGUCCGAAACAUCGAAAACGACUUGGAAAGCACGGAGGCCUCCGUUACUUCCUAUAAGCAUAACCAGCACAACUCCCUCGUCGCUCUCUCCUCCAUCUCUCUCCUCUCGUUCUCGUCUCUCCUCUCCUCUCUCUCUCUCUCUAUAUAUAUAUAUAUAUAUAUAUAUAUAUUACUAUACUAUUAAUAGCACCACGUCAUUGUUGCUGUUAAAUUUUCGGUCCUUCAAUGAAGUGAUGUGCAGUUAAGAUAAUAGUUGUUCCCUAGGAUUCAAUGGGUGAUUGGUUGAAUAGUAUAAUCUAACGGAUGAAAAUGGUUAAAGGGGUAGAUUUAACAUCAAAAAACUAGGUACAAUACGUGCAAAUGCACAUCACAACUAUCUUAAUAGUUAAUCUCAAAGCAACAUAUAAAUUUGUAUAUUAUAUUUGCGCAAAAAAUUAUAAUUAAAAUUUAAAAUUUUAAAAAGUAAAUUUAUAAUAAAUUAUAAAAUUUAUUUUCUAGAUACUUCAAAUACGGUAGAUCAAAUCUAACGGAGUCAAUCGUUGAUUCAAAAAUUCAAUCAUCGAAAGUAAUUUAGGAGCACAAAGGCCUCCGUACUGCUAAGAGCAUAGCAGCUCUUGUGCUUCUAAGUUCUUAACCGCUCAUCAAAUUUAAUGGGUGGUUAGGGUGAAAGAGAGAAGAGUAAUUAGAGAGAAAUUGAGUUUCUUAAUUUCUCUUCUUUUUGAAUUUCUCUCUAAUUUCUUUUCUCCCAUUCACUCUAGCCACUUACCAAAUUUGAUGGGCGGUUAAAAACUUAGGAGCACAAGAGCUGCUGUGCUCCUAAUAGCACAGUAGCCCUACUAUAUAUAUAUAUAUAUAUAUAGUUCGGCUACUAUAUUUUUAUGAGUAUAGAGUCUAUUAUACUCAUAAGUUUUUGGCUAUUAGAUCUACCCUUUAAUCAUUUUCACUUGUUAGAUUAUACUAUUCAACCAACCACCCACUAUCAACCUAACCGUAACUACUUUCAUCCUAACGACACAUUUUUUCACCUGAACGGUUGAAAACUUAUGAGUACAAAAGGCUCUAUACUCAUAUGAGUAUAGUAACCCCAGCCAUAUAUAUAUAUAUAUAUAUAUAUAUAUUGAAGUAUUGCUAAUAUUUUUCAAAUUAUGAUGAAACCAAAUUUAAAUACUAUUUUAAACUAAAAGUAUUGAAAUUAAAAUUCCCCUUAAUUCAAAUUUAAAGUUAAUUGAUUUGCUUUAAUUAACAUUUAUAAUUAUGAAUUCAAAUUGAUAUCCAAAAUUAAAUUGAAGUCACGAGUUAAACUCACAUUUAAUUUAAAUUUAAUAAUUCAUAAAUUUAGAUUUAAAUUGCAUAAUUAAAUUUAAUUAUGAUUUAAGAUGAAAUAAAAUUUUAAAUUUAAGAAGAUUAAAUUUAAUAUGUAUUUAAAAUUAAAUAAAAUUUAAUUGUAUUUCAGUCAAUAAAAGUUAAUAUAACAAUAAUAUUAGUUAAUAGUAUAUGAUAUAAUUUGAAAAUUAUCAUUUUUAAAAAUAAUAUAUAAAAAAAUUUAAUAAAAAAUAAAGUUAUUCGUUAGAAAAAAAGGAAUUUAAAUUUUUUCGUUUAUCCUAUUUCUUUUGGUGUAAGAAAAAGAAAAGCACUACAAUUUUUUCUGCUAAAAUGGAUUAGUUGAUGGGAUCUAAAUUAAAAAAAUACAUGAUUUUAUAUAUAAUUGAUAUAGAUAUGCAUUUUAAAACGAAUAGAGGGUACGGAAUCUUUAAUAACGUAAGUUCUUAUGAAUAUUAUAUUGAAAUAUAUUAAGAUUUAAUUUUUACUUUCUGUGCUUAAUUAUUUUUAUUUUUAUUUUUAUUGUGUAAAAUAUUAUUUAGUUUCGCUUUUGUAUUCUAAAUUUAUAUAAGAAAAAACUACAAAUAUUAUCCAUAUUUUCUCACUUUACUAUCAUGUGGUUUAAAUUAUAUCAGUUUAGUGCCCCUUGGUUUUAUCUUUAUUUUUUUAUUAUCGAUUUUACUAAUUUUUUUUAUUAAAUCAGUGACAAAAUUAAAACUAAAAAAUAAAGUAAAUAUUCGAUAAACUUAGAUGGGUUAUCUAAAGUUUUUUUAUAUAUAGUUUAACGAAAUAUUAACAGAAAAGUUGACGAAAAGAUAAAAAUGAAACCAUAUGACAUUAACUUGGUAAACUUUAGAUCACAGAAUACUGAAUUGAGAAAGUGUGAAAAUAUAACGGUGAUAUUGAAAGUUUACCCUUUGUAUAAAUAUCAUCGUUGGGUCCACAGUUUAUAUCGCCGGACCUGGCGCACGCAACGUUCCUCACGGGUUAGGCAAUCGACCGGGUCCACAGUUCAACAUCUUCAUGUGUAGGUCGGUUUGGUCGGUCCCAAUGAAACGCAAUAAUUACGCGAACAACACGGUAGACCGGGUCCAACAUUAAAUACUCUUAUUAUUCAAUGCUCAACCGCUCAAAGAGUCGGCGUUUGUUUUUAGGGUUUCGUCCGAAGCGCGUCUCGGAAAAGCUGUAACGUGGCCAUCACGUAGCGUCCUUAUCGGGAAGCGUUACGGGCGAUGGUAACCGACGAUCGCCCGUACCCCCCCCUCACCAAACAAAAAAAUUAGAGGCGGUUGUCACCGGUGAUCACCCGUAGCCCUCAACCUAAUCAGGAAAAAAAAUAUGGUGCAAUUACUUUAUAUAUAUAUUCCUAAAAUAUUUUUUACUUUUUAAUUUACUCUUUUUAAAAAGAAAUAUUAAAAAUAUUUUUUUAAUAUUUCAAAUUAUUUUAAAUAUAACUUCGGAGUUAAAUCUUAUUACUAAACUAUUAGCAACGUUAUCUCUAUAAAAUUUUUAUUUUACCUUUUCAAAUAUAUCUUUCCAUGGUCACCAAUUUUUUAAAUAUACCUUUAGAGUUAAAUUUUAUUACUAAACUAUUAUUUCUAUAAAAUUACUAUUUUACUUUUUUUAAAUAUAUUUUUUCACAAUCACCAAUUUUUUUAUUUAACUUUUCAAAUAUAUCAUUCUGUUUUUACUAAAUUUUUUAAUUUAUUAUUAAAUUAAGGUCAACCUGUUUAAUUAUAAAAAACUAAGUCUUGUGGGCAUGUACUAUAAUAUAAUUUUAUAUAUUUUUAUAAAUUUUGUAUAUAUUUAUACGCACAAAUACUAAUUUAUCUUUAUCGAGUGGGUAAAGUAGGUCAAUACAUAUAUUAAUUGUUUAAUAAAUACAGGAUAAACUUCAAAUAUCAUUUCUUAUCGUUUAGUAUUUUCUCAUUUUUAAUAUUCUAUGAUUUAAACUGCAUCAAUUUAGCAUUCUGUAAUUUUAUUUUUUUCUUUUGGUAAGUCCUCCGUUAACUUUUCGUUAAACCAUAUACAAUAAUUUUCAGAUGCUCCACCUAUAAUUUAUUAAAAUUUUAUUUUAAUAUAUUUUAUUUUAAACUUUGUAAUUAAUUUAAUAAAAUAAAAAAAUUAAUAUAGAGAAUAGUAAAAAAAAAUUACGGAGUAUAAAAUUAAUAUAUUUUAAAUCUUAAAAUACUAAAAUAAAAAAAAAGUAAGAAACACAUAAAUGAUAUUUAUUAGGAAAAACUUCAAAAACCCCCCUGUAGUUUCGUAGUUUUUCACUUUGCUUCCCUGUGAUUUAAAAUGUAUCAAAUUGCCCCUGUGUGGUUUCGUUUUUAUUUUUUCGGUAGCUUUUUCGUUAAUAUUUUAUUAAAUUAUAUACAAAAAACUUCAGAUACCCAUCUAGAUUUAUCAAAUAUUUAUUUUAGUACCUUUUAAUUUUAACUUUAUCAUUGAUUUAAGAAAAAAAAUUAAUAAAAUUAAUAAAAAAAGAGAAAAAAAAAAAUUAUCGGGAGCAAAUUGAUACAUUUUAAAUCACAGGACGAUAAUUGAGAAACUACGAAAUCAAUAGAGGUUUUUGAAGUUUCCCUAUUUAUUAAGCGGAUCAACCAAUUUCUUCCCCACGUCUCACGUUUGAGCGGGUAACCGGAAACGGACAGCUGUCGGUCGCCACGUUCCAUCUCAGCACCCACUACCGACGCCGACUCGUCUCCCGCGUUUCGCCCACCGGCGAAGAUCUUUUUUUAUUCGGUCGCAACUCGCACGAUACUUGAGGCGGCUAACUAGGUCCACACGACUUUGCCCUCCAUCUGCAUUAUUAUUACACCAAUGCCCUUCCAUCCCAUCAUACAGCUGUACAAGUCACCUUUAUAUUAUUUUAUUAAAAACUUGACGGAAUAAGUCCUUUUCCUCCUUUUAUUUUUAAUUUAAUUCGAUGGGAGGGGGAGGACAGCGUCUCCUCAAAGUGGCAUUACCGUAAUUUCUUGCAACGACAAGGGCAUACGCUUGGCUCCGUCGCCUAAUCGCCAUCAUUCACCGUCCAUUCAUCGUUUCCCGAAUCCAACGGCGCUCGAUCUCUCCUCCUCUCUAUAUAAUUCUAUUCCCCUCCUCCCCGCUGUAUCUCACAUUUCUCUCCCAUCUCUCGUUCGUGCGGUAACCUCACCUGCGUGCGUCCAUGUCCACGGUGGUGCUCCGAUCUGAGGACGCUCUCAAAUCCCGCUUCCACGCCAACGCCUUCGGAUACCGUCCUCAGCCUCCGAUGAACCCUCACCGGCGAAAGCCUCCGCCACCAGCGCGCCCCGCCGCCGCCGCCGCGGCUGCGCCGCCCUCUCCUCCGUCCCACAAACCGAGCCGCGCCGCCCCGGCGCGAAUCGGCCGGAAACCUAGACCCGCCGCCGGAGUCGGCAAGGAGAACGACGGCGGCCCCGCCGACGAGCUCCGCCACCACCGCCGGCGCCUCGUCAUGGAGGAGGUCACGAUCCUCAAGCGCGGCGAGGCGAUGAAACCCUCGGCCCCCGUUCCCCCCGGAUCCAACGUCGGAGACGUUCCGAUCGACCUCAAUCGGAGAAAGCUAGGGUUUCCAGCCGUAGACCCGGUCUUCGCCGGGCCCGGGUACUCCGUCUCCUCCCCCGCGCCGAGCUCCCUCCCCUACCCCGGCCUCUUGCUGAGGCCCCUCGCCGCGAGCGAGGAGGCGACGAGGAGCCUUCUCCGCCUCCUCCGGCUCAAUCAAUUCGCCCCGUGACGGUGCUCGUAGUUUCGAAUCGAUUCGCCGCGAAUUCGAGCCGAAGAAAAUUGGGAUUUUGAUGGCAGUUUGAAGAAGAUACGCCGUGGGCUGCGGAGAUCCGCGGCGGUUUCCGCUAGGGUUUCUCCGAUCACAUCACCUUCCUCUAUUUUUUCAAAAGGAAGGCGUGAUCCGGAGAAGCCCCGAUCUGUUUGUCUUUGUCGGCCACAUCUGAUUCGGUAUGUUGUGGUGUACUCUGCAUCUUGUCCUUUGUUCUUGUUCGGAUGGAAAAUUCUAGCGGAAAUUAGAUUCCAUUGUAGUAUGCGUAUUGGUAACCUAAAUUUAAGGGGAUUAGAUAGAUAUAGUAAUUGUGUGAGUUGUGUCUAAGUAUCAAGGAGAGUGAUGUUCCUAGUAGUUUGGGGUUUAGAUCACAAAUUGUUUUGCUUUAUCUAGUUGUGGAAAAAGUGGUGAUAAUUUUAGAGUGGGUGUGUGUACUUGUCAUGGAAUGAGGUCUAGUAAUUUUAGGUAUUUGAUGUUAGUGUUGGUGUACUAGUCAUGAAUCGAAGUUUAUUAUAUUACAUUGCUCUUUUUAGCGUCCGAGAAUGAGUGUGCAAUUCAAAUUGUCAACUUUUCAGUUAGAUUUAUCAUUGUUCAAUGUGUCUAUGCUCGAUUUUGUCGUGCAAUUAGAAUGUGUGAUCUGUUGUGUGUUAUAGUUGUGCUUGCGAAACGAAAAGAAAAAAAAUAACGGACUUGUUUUUUUGCCUUGGGUUCUUGCCUUGGGUUCUGUCACGCUUCGGCACCGCUACUGCCACUUUGGUCGGUUCGGGCAUGAGCAAAGAUCGCCGAACGGACAGAGUUUUUCUUGUCCGCUAACAUGGUGAAUGCUUGUAUUAGUGUAGUUGUUUUAUAUUUUGAUGUUUUAUGCAAUCUGUGUGUGAAUUCUGUUUCUAGUUAGAACCAUUUGAAUUGUACUGAUUGUGGCGCCUUGAGCGGAUAGGAAAAUUCUAUUCGUUCGGCGGUCUGUCUACGUGCCCGAACUGACCAAAGUGGCGGUCUUGGGACUUGACAGGUUCGCCUAUGGGACUUGGCCUGGUUCGUGCCAAACUUAAAUGGUCGGAAUUCGGUAAAUCUUCAACUAGGAACUGAUGAACUCCAACAAUAUGAGAUUUUGGCCUAAAACUCUGAAUGACCAAAACGUCGUCAUUAAGAUGAACUGCAGGCUGCUAUUCUCAACUGAUCUAAACUAUUUUACUUUUGGUAAAAAGAUGACAAUGUCUGUACUUUAGAAUCGGCUGUACUUUAGAAUCGUCUGAACAAUUGAUGUGCUGUUGCUGUCGUGUUGAAGAGAGUUUCUAAUUGAUGUGUUGUUGUUGUUGUGUUGAAGAGAGUUCUUUUCUCAGGUCCCUGCGGCAUUUAAUAGUCUGCAUGAUUUGAAUCAGACUCCUAUUAUUUUUGUUAACUCGAUAAUUUUGGCCGAAGCUUAUCUUGUAACUGAAUCUCGAUAACUUAGGCCAAAUUCAAUAACUUAGAGACCCCUAUCUCUUCCUAAACAGGUAAUGGGUUGGAUUGCCUUCUGCUCUCUCUGUCCAACGACUGAAUUUGGCUUCAACAAGUUGUGAAUAAGAAAAAAUAUACAAGUUGUGUUAUAUAAUGGUUUAAUAAAUCAAAAGAGUAAUUACGAGAAUUGCAAUUAGAUGAGUCAAUGAUUUGGUUAGUAGUUAUGAUAAUAAUGAUAAUAAUAAUUAUGAGGAUACUGUCGCCGUAUAAUUGAGAUUGGUACCAAAGGUUUUGCAGAUUGGUUUGUAAGUUUCGAACUUGAACACCUAGAUAUUUAAUCCUUUUAUGAUGAGAUAUGAUGAUUAUUUAAGUAUGCUGAAGUGAUUGUCUUAAAAUAUGAUUAAAUGUGAAUAUUUCUAUUUGAAUGAUGGUUAGUUUCACAAUUGAAAUGAUCAGUAACCGGGGUUAGUAUCCUAUUUCCCCUGCACAGUUGCACAGUAGAGUUCAAUGUUAUAUUGGUUCUGAAUAUUCUGCACUUUGGUAUUUAAACAGAAAUGCAUUGUCUUAAAAGUAUCACAAAUGAAAUUAGGAGUGUUUGUAACUUUUUGAUUUGAAAUUAAAGAAUUUCAACACUUCUUUGAGUGAAAAAUAGAAUCGGGAGCUCGAGUAUGUUUAGUUUAAUUUUAAUCUGUGAAAUUCUGAAGUUUGGGGGCGCAAGAUACAUAAACUGUGUUUAGCAUAGCUUCUCCUCUUUAUUCAGAGUCUGCAUUGAUAUGAUAAAUUUUGUGGUAAUGUAAUUGAGAAGUUCAUUUAGAAGGCCAUAGUGUGGCUAUUCCAAUCCAAGGAGCCUCAUCAGUUGAACAGCUAAGCUAUUUAGGGGUCAUUCGUUUUACAGAUUUAUAAUAUUCUAGAAAUGUUAGCAUAUUUGUUAUUAACUUAUCAUAUUAUUUGAGUGAGGAGGUUGUUAAAAACUUAUCAUAUCAUGAGUGAGGAGGUUGUUAAAAUAAAAACUUAUAUAUUCUUGUUAAUGGACAUUCCUUCCAAGUAUAAAAAUGACAGAGGCUCUGUUUGCACAUCGGAAUAGUAUACUCAGUAAUAACUGAUUUGGUAUGAGGAUGUUUUGUGUGAUUAGAAGUUAGGUUGAAGAAAAUUCUUGUGUGAUUUGAGAAAAUAAUGACAUUUAUGACUCGGUAGAAUAGUAUAUUUUACUUGCGAGGUAAUUAAUCUUAGGUGAAAUCACAUAUAACUUAUCCAAAUUAUAGAUCGUUUGUUUUGGCUUCCAAAUCUUUUAAAAUUUUGAUUUCACUAUUCUACAUUCAAUUUUUUUUUAUUUAAGUUAGUUAACGACAUUUUGACUUCAAAAUUAGAAUAUAUUAUUCAUGUGUUGAAGAUUCAAUUAGUAUUGAAUAAUUAAUUUGCUUAAUUUUAAAGUCAAAGUGCCGUUGAUUGAUUGGUAGUAGAGUUGGGAGUGUCAACAAUGUAAUUAUCAAAUCGUAAUAAUGACCGGAAUACUGAAAUUGGGUCUUUUUGGCCUAAUUAUCGGGUUGGGUGUGCUUGGCCGUGCUUGUUGCUGGCCAUAGAUUCGUUAUGGUCGCAUUCCAAGUGGAAAUGACUCGGGAGUGAUCUUGUGGUUGUCGACUAUCCGGAUGCUGAAAUUGGCAUCCUUGGAACUUCUUGGGGCGGAAACUUUGUCGUUUUGGCACAUUGGUUGUGCUCUUGGACUAUGAAACUUGUGGAAUGUUUUUCGGAGGUUCCUCGCUAAUUGAAACUAGCAGUAUGGGUGUUUCUAUCUUUUGUUGGUUCAUGCGCCAAGAUUGGCACACGUUGGAAACCAUUGCGGCUUAGUUUUGGAGUUGAGGCCUCUAUGGUUGCACACCCUAUGUGCAGUUGUCUCAACACCUAAAUUGGAGUAUCUGGGGACAACGAGUUAUCUAAAUUGGAGUAUCUGGGGACAACGACUUAUCUAAAGAGACCUACGACUAUGCUCGAGACCUUUAAUGGGUUGAUUGGAGGUCUUGGCGAGGUUCGAAAAUUGAUUAAAGAAAUCAAUGUUCUAAUCGCACUGGUUCUUGUUAUUGGCUACUUAGUAAUGUGGAUUGUUGUUGACUUGAUGUUUGGGAUUUGUUUGGACUCUAGUAGAGUCGGCUCAUGGGGUUGUUCUAGUUUCAGAAGUUGAAUUUUGAAACCAAUGCUUCGAAUAUGUUGUUGUGCACUUUGUUGUGGUUUGUGUGUGUCAGUUUAUGUCACGGACGCGUAAUGGCUUGUAUUGAUGCUCUGGUGAUUAUGUUUAGGUUCACGAGACACCUAGAGGCAUUGGAGUCGCGAACUCAGAUAUACCUGGUAUAUAGAUGGGUUUUUAGAUCCAUAGUCGGUGUAGUAGUAUUGUACUCGAUUAUUCUAUUAUGCUUCUAAUAUGUAUCCUAUUGAGUAGAUCGAUUUUAUUUUGCUUCAUUAUUAUUCCUGUGUUUUGCUCUACCUUUUAGCUAUGGGCAUCGUUAUAUCAUGUUGUGGGUGAUAACCGGUUGGUAGAGUGGUUUAUAUAGAUCAUUAUGAUAUUAUACGUGUGUGUUUACUCUACAUAUCGACUUACUAUUAUAUUUAUCUUUACAUGCUACAUGGCUAUCAUGUAUGUGUCCCUUAUCAUGUUGGAUGUAUGACGCGUAGAUUAUAGUGUAAGAAUGUUUUAAUCACGUCUGUCUAUCAAGUACGUGUUCAGAUGCAUUUUAUCUAUUGGAUCGACCUGUAUCCUUAGGAAUUGUCUUGAAUAAAUGUAAUGGCUGGGGUGUAGAGAAGAUUAGGGCAAGCAUGAGAGUAACCAGAGUAGAAAGAGGAAAAGGGUAUAGAGGGGAAGAGAGGUAGAUUCGGUGAGAUCCAGAGGAAUAAAGGUGUAGUAGUGGUCUUGGUAUUGGGUCGGCUGGGUGAAUACCCGGUCGAAUUGUACUUGUUGGACGUCCAUGGCAGAGGGCGCUAGGCUCAAAUUGCUCAGCAAGCAUGUCCAUGCCUUGGAGCAAAGGCUGCAGGGGCUGGCAGUGGGGAACAAUCGAAAGUUCGAGGAGCUGAAUUGAAAGAUUAAGGCUAUGCAAGCAGAGGACUAGAACCAUUAUGAAUCCCUGCGAUGCGAAACUGCAAAUUCAUCGAAGAGGCCGGAGCAACUUAUGGAUCUAUUAUCGAAUCAGCAGCAAUUAUCAUCAUCGAAGGAACUCGCAAGCUGGACAAUGGCACCAAGAGUAUCUAAAAGGCCAAUGUUGUGCAGUGGCUCAGUUGAUUAGCCUAGAAGAAGAGAAGCAGGAAGAGAUACCCGACCAAAUACGAAAUAUGUUGCAGAAAUUGGAGGAUGUGUCUCAUGAGCCGCAGGGGUUGCCUCCUAUUAGGCCACAAGACCAUAAAAUAUCCUUGCAGAAAGGAGCACAAGCAGUCAAUAUCAGAUCAUAUAGUUAUACAGAGAAGUAGAAGUACGAAAUGGACAAGAUUAGAGAGAUGCUAGAUACCGGAGUGAUCCAACGUAGUAACAGUCCAUACGCCUCUCUGGUCCUAUUAGUUAAGAAAAAGAAGAAAAAGGAUGGGAAUUGGAGGUUUUGCAUUGAUUAUCGUCAACUGAACAAGCUCACAAUUGAGAGUAAGUAUCCGAUACCCAUAAUCGAUGACUUGCUAGAUGAGUUAGGAGGUUCGAGAUAUUUUUUCAAGAUAGACUAGAGGUUUGGGUAUUAUCAAAUACGAAUGUGCACCGAUGACAUACCAAAGACGACCUUUAGAACUCAUAUGGGCUAUUAUGAGUUCAGAGUCAUGCCUUUCGAACUCGCGAAAGCCCCAGUGACCUUCCAAUCUGUAUUUGCUAUUCUACUUUGUAGGUAUGUUUUGAUUUUUUUUCAACGAUAUAAUGGUAUACAGUAGGACAUUAGAAGAUCACGUUGCCCAUUUGGAAGAAGUGUUAAGAAUACUUGAGGGAAAUUGAUUGUUCACAAAAAGUCCAAACGCUUCCUUGGCCAGGAGCAAGUUGAGAACCUAGGACACAUUAUCACUCAGCAGGGGGUGGCUACGGACCCAAGUAAGGUGGCAGCUAUGCUGCAAUGGGUAGCACCUAUGUCAAUUAAAGGGGUUGAGAGGAUUCCUGGCCUCACAGUAUACUACCGCAAGUUUGUUCAAGGGGUAUGGAGCUAUAAGUAAAUCCCAUGCUAAACUUUUGAAGAAGAAUAGUUUCCAUUGGACAAUAGAAGCGCAGGAAGCUUUCAACAAAUUGAAGAAGUUAAUGAUCGAGGUCCUCGUGCUCGCCAUGCUCGACUACUUCAAGCCAUUUGUGGUGGAGGUAGAUGCUUGCGACUAGGGAAUAAGGGUUGUAUUGACAUAAGAAGAUAAACCCUUAGCUUACCUUAGUGGCCAUUAGCAAGAAAUCCGGGGUUGUCCACAUAUGAAAAGGAAUUUCUUGCUAUACUAUUAGCAGUCUCUAAGUGGCGGCGUUUUCUUAAGUAUGAAGCAGUUUAUCAUCAGAACGGAUCACGAGAGUUUAAAGCACUUUAUAGAGCAAAAGAUCAACACUGCUACCCAACAGGAAAGGAUGCUUAAGUUGAUGGGACUCAACUAUAUAAUACAAUACAAGAAAGGAAGAGAGAAUAGGAUGGCGGAUGCCUUAUCACGCAAAGAAAUUGAGGAGAGCAGUAGUCAAGCCAUUUCGGGAGCCAUUCCAGCUCGGGUAGUUGAGAUAACCAACAGCUAUCAGGGAGAUGAAGAGUGUCAGAGACUGAUAGCCCAGUUAACAGUACAGCUAGACACUUAAGGAGCCUACAAUUAUACACAGGAGCUGCUACAAUACAACGAAAGGCUGUAUGUGGGAUCAGGAGAGGGGAUCAGCAGAAGUUACCCAGUCAAAUGCAUGACUCAACCCUAGGAGGCCACUCUGGACAACAAUAUACCUAUACAAGGAGCAAGAAGAUAUUUUACUGGCCAAGGCUCAAAAGUGAUGCGGAGAGGAUAGUAGGGAACUGCACGGUAUGCAUACAGAACAAGUUCGACAAUCAGCCUUACAUCAGUAAGAAAAGUGUCAAAGAUUGAUAGCCUAAUUAACAGUACAGCCAGGCACCCAAGGAGCGUACACUUAUACACAGGAGCUACUGCGAUACAACAAAAGGCUGUAUGUGGGAUCAGGAGAGAAGAUCAACAGAAGUUACUCGGUCAAAUGCAUGACUCAACACUAGGAAGCCAUUAUGGAUAGCAGUAUACCUAUAGAAGGAUCAAGAAGAUAUAUUUUACUAGCUAGGGCUCAAGAGUGAUGUGGAUAGUGAGGAACUGCAUGAUAUGCAUACAGAACAAAUUCGACAAUCAGCCUAAUGCUGAGUUGCUACAACCGAUACCAGUUCCCCACCAAGUAUGGAGUGAAGUAAGUAUGGACUUCAUUGAAGGACUACCAAGGUUGGAAGGAAAGGAUUCUAUAAUGGUGGUAGUUGACAGAUCCACGAAGUAUGCCUAUUCUAUUCCUCUUACUCCUAUACGGCUUCAGUGGUGGCCAAAGCAUUCUUCGACACGGUGUACAGACUACAUGGACUGUCGGAAAAGAUCAUUUUUGAUGAGGAUAGAAUCUUUACAAGCGAAAUAUGGUAAGGACUAUUCAAGAUAUUUGGGACCAAGCUAUACAUGAGUUUGCCCUAUCACUCCCAGACUGACGGGCAAGUAAAGAGGCUUAACCGAUGUCUGGAGAUCUACCUCUGAUGUAUGUGUUUACAACACCCCAAAAAAUGGCAUAAGUGGAUCACACACGCGGAAUGGUGGUACAACUCGAACUAUCACACUUUAUUUGGGAUGACUCCCUACGAGGCCUUGUAUGGGAAGCCACCGCUGAGUUAUAUAAUGGCUAAUUUUACACAGAACUCAACGAGUGAGGCAACCGGAUGGGGCUAAGUAGAGAAAAAAGAUGGCUAAGGGGUUAAUAAACAACCUCUUAAGGGUGCAAAACAGGAUGAAGCAGUUUGUCGACCGCCGUAGGGUGGAUCGAGAGCUUAAUGUUGGCGACUUGGUUUACUUGAAGCUGCAAUCUUACCGUCAACAAAUGGUGGCAGUGCGAAGGAAUCUCAAACUGUCGUCUUGCUAAUUUGGAUCCUUCAAGAUUUUAGAAAAGAUCGGACUCGCAGCCUACCAGCUGCACAUGCCGGAGAGGUUGAAGGUACAAUCAAUUUUCUAUUUCUCUCUGCUGAAAAGAAGUCCACCUGAAGAAAGACCCGUCUCAAUUAUCGUGCCUUUUGCUGGAGAUGACGGCCAGUUGCUGGCGGAACCUGUAGAAAUCCUCAACCGGAAUAUGGUACGGCGCGGAAACAUAGUAACCCAAAUUCUGGUAAGGCGGAGCAACUUGUCCUCUAACCAAGCAACCUGGGAGUAUUACUUGUUCCUCAAGUCACAAUUCCUGACUUUCUAUUCUUGAGGACAAGGAUUAUUUUGAAGAGGGAAGGAUUGUAAUGGCUGGGGGCUGAGGAGAUUCGAGCAAGCAUGACAGUUACCAGAAUAGAAAAAGGAAAAGGAUAUAAAGGGAGGGAGAGGUAGAUUCGGUGAGAUCUGGAAGAAUAAAGUAGUAGUUGUGUUGGUAUUGGGUUGGGUGAUCCGAUAUCGGGUCGAAUUGUACUUGCUGGACUGAGGGUUGCUCAUCGAGCUAGGCCCAACAGGAAAGUCCAGCCUGAUAGAGGAUUGGGAGCUCAGAUGAUCUAUUUGGAUAUUCCAUUUCUCUUAUUGUCCUUAGUUUUAUGAAAUUGCAUGUUACUCCUUAUGUAAUAGAUAUAAAUAGUAAAAAGGGUAUAAAGUGUAAAGGAUAAUGAUGAACAAAAUUACUUUCUUCUUCGUCAAUCUCUUUCCGCUCCUUUUUCUUUGAUCUUCUCCUCUUUCUCACUCACCUUCGACUUAAUUUGAGGAUUCUAUCAUCUCCAUCCUGAGAUCCUCAGAGCGAGAUCAUCAUCUAAUCCCAUGAUAGAUCAGGGUAUUACAAUAAAAUCACGUAGGGCGCAUCCAACAAAUUAUACUCUUACAUUAUGCAUUUAUAGAAGAGAUUCUGUCUGUUUGUACAAAGGAGAUUCUAUUCAUAUAGUGGGUUUGUGCAUGCGGGGUAUAUUUUUUACUUUGGAAAGAAAAUUGCUGUGUCUGUACUAAAUUCUGUUUUUAAUAUAGAAAGGUUAAACAAAAAAAGUCUCAUAGCAUGACAACUGCGAUUUUAUGUUUUAACAGAUUUCUUAAUUUUUGUUCUCCAUUUUUACAAUAUUGUUUAUUAGAGAUGGAUUUUUUUUUUUGAGAAAUAGGUAGCAUGCUACCCGCUUCGUUUAUUUUAUUUAGAAAUAAAAUUAGCUGAAAAUAUGAAUCAAUUAGGAUUCGAACUUGGAAUCUCGGAUACCAACCACCAAGCUCUUUGCCACUUGCACUAGGGAUAGUUGGUAUCUGAGAUGGAAAAUUGACAAGAAAAAGGGGAUGGUGAGUGUGUUGGAUGUGGCUCACGUGAUAUAUUCAAGUCGAUCCAUAGAGAUACGGUCAAUCUAUUUAAGUCGAUCUAUAAAGAUACUGUAGAUCUUACGGUUAGGAUGUAUUUGGACACGUCAUUGAUGGACGGACGUGAUUUAACAUUCUUAUAUUAAGUUAUAUAUAAAUAUAUAAUAUUCGGGAGUCUCGGUCUAACCCUAAUCCAAUUAUCUGUGACUGCUCCAUCUCCGGAGAUAAGGGAAUUAAACUCUAAACGUCUCGUCUUUUUGCAGAUCGCGAACGAGAACGAACCACUAGCAAAAGUCGCCGCCUACAAAUCGGGUACAGAAAUCGAAAUCAUGACAGAAGGUACGAUCUUAGUUUUUUAUAAAGUUUCAACAUGUGGUAUCAGAGCCGCAUCUUUUGCCGGAUUUUUGUUUCUUUCCGAAUUUCGUUUAAUUUUUUGUUUCCAUUAAAUAAAUAAAUAAGUUUGUUGAUGGUUUGCGUCAAUGAUGAUGUCGGCCGGCCUCAAUCGAGACCGGCGUUCGGAAGAACGGCGUCAUCGGCCCGGCCGAAUUAUGCGAUAACACAAAAAAAAAAAAUGUGGUCUGCGGUCGGUCGGUUGGUAAACCUGCAUCGCCACAUCAGUCGUGCUAGGAGCGGCCAAGAAGGGGUUGCGCUAUGCAUUCCCAUUAGGGCCGCAAGGAGGCAGCCCGUGAUGGGGCUGCCUAGCUGGCGAUCAAAGUAGUCAAGCACAAAAAAAAAAAAGAAAAAAAGGAAAAGAAAAAGUAAAGGGUUGCAGGUCGCAAGCCACGUGGCUGCCAUGUGUAGCCCCAUGCGGGGCCCACCGCAAAAGAAAAAAUUUUUUAUUUAUUUAUUUAUUUAUUUUUAACGAAAAAUAAAAAAAAUAUAGUUUUGCUUAAUAAUUUUCUUUGCAAUGUGACUUAUUUAGAGGAAGUCUAUAUAUUAAAGUUAUGUAUAACUUUUGGUAUUUGUUAUAUAUAAUUUCUGUUCUACUCGCUUGUUUAUUUAUGAUAUAAAAUAAUAUGUUUAGUUUAAUAUUUUACGGUAUAUUUUUUGCAUUAUUAUUCUAAACACACAUAAGGUGAUUAUGAAAAUUUAGAGUAGCGUAUAUAGACUUCACACAAUUUAUAAAUUUUAAAUCACAUAAGGUUUUUAAGAAAAUUAUUCAAGACUUUUAUUCUUUUUCUGCUGCGUUUUGGAAUAAUAUGAAAUUUUCGGUCAUUCAUAUCAUAUACGGACUUGUGAGAUCAACUAUGUCUAGGAGUAGCCACAGCAUCCUAGUCUUGGUAUAUGAUCACUUACGGUAUUUUUAUAAAAUGAUAUUGAAUUAAAGUUAACCCGAAAAUUCAUAUGGAUUUCCAAUUUAUUUUUAAAUAGUCAUUCAAUAUCAAUAAGGUUAUUUGUAUUUUUCGUUAUGCUCAAGAGUAACCACAGCAUCCUAUAGAUAAUGAAAAAUAUAUAAGGUAUUAUUGAUAUUCAAUUAAAGUUUGACUAUUUAUUGCAGCCAAACUAAAUAAUUUUCUGAAUUUUGACUGGAAUAAGAUAGUGGAUUGAAUUUCUAGAUAGCGAGCUUUUCUAUGCCCACAGGUACAGGAAUCUUGUUGCUUAGAAAUUAGUUUUAUAUUAGUCUUAUUAUUAAAAUAGAUAAAUUCUAUGCGUGUAGCGGCUCUGGCUACAGGAAGGUAGAAUUUAUCUAAUCUAAAAAUUAUUAUCUUAUAGUAGGCGAUAAAGUUCAAUAUUUUCUUUGUUUUUGCAGCUUCUUCCUCUACUGCAUUUCUUAAUAAUAUUUCUCGUAUCCCUAUGCUUAUUGGGGAUAAUUAUUCUGAUUGGAAAGAAAUUAUUUCUUUUACUUUGGGCUAUAUGGAUUUAGACUUGGCUCUGCGCGUUGAGCAACCGCCUAAGGUAGUGGGGCAACUGACUCCACAGCAGGAAUUCGAGCAGGAAAAGUGGGAGCGAUCCAACCACUUAAGUUUGAUGCUCAUAAAGUCUAGAGUAUCAAAAAAUAUAAGGGGAUCGAUUCCAGAAUGUGAUAAAGCCAAGGAUUACCUAAAGGCUAUUGAGGAGCAGUUUGUCAGCUUCUAUAAAGCUUGGCUCGAAAAGAAAGGUAUUGAAACUAUUUAUAUUUAUUAUGAAUUUCAUUUAGUUAAUAUUUCUAAAAACACAUGGUGGAUUGACUCUGAAACUACUGUACAUAUCUCAAAUACCAUGCAGGAUUUUCACAACCUAGCAAUAUUGAAGCCAAAUGAAAGAAUUUUAAUUAGCGGAGAAGGAAAUAAAUCUGAAGUUGAAGCCGUAGGAAAGUUUAUUUUAGAAUUUAGUACUAGUUUUGUACUUGAACUUGAGGAUACUUUUUAUAUUUCUAAAUUUUCUGGAAAUUUAGUUUCUGUUUCUAAAUUGAGAAAUAAAUGCUUCAAAUUUUUAUUUGAAAAUAAAUCUUUUACUAUGUUCUUCGAUAAUAUUAUUGUUGGCAAUGGUUAUUUGAUAGAUGAUUUGUACAAAUUUAAUUUGAGUCAAUCUUUUGAAAAUAAUUUUAAUGUUAAUAAUGGUAUUGGUGUUAAAAGAAACAUUCUUAAAGAAAACUCCUCUUAUUUAUGGCAUAAGUGUUUAGCUCAUAUCUCUUUAGAGAGAAUAAAGAGAUUGGUAAAAGAAAAGAUCUUACAAGGUCUCGACUUUACUAAUUUUGGUACUUGUGUGGAAUAUAUAAAGAGAAAGCAUACUAAUACAAAUAUCACUAAAGGUGCCAGAAGGAGUUUUGAAAUUUUUGAGAUCAUACAUACAAAUAUGUGGACGUUUUCCUACUCCUUAUUUCAAUAGUCAGAGCUAUUAUAUCUCAUUUAUUGAUGACCAUUCAAGAUAUAUGUAUCUCUAUCUUUUAUUUGAAAAAGCUGAGGCUUUUGAUGCUUUUAAAGUUUAUAUAAGGUUGAGAUAGAGAAACAAUUGGAUAGGAAAAUCAAGAUUGUAAGAUCCGACAGAGGGGAUGAGUAUUAUGAAAGACAUACGGAUAAAGGUCAAAUGACCGGUCCAUUUGCUCAAUUCCUCGAAGGUGAAGGUAUUAUUGCAUAGUAUACGAUGCCUGGCAUGCCCCAACAAAAUGGCGUUGCCGAAAAGAGGAAUAGAACACUCAUGGACAUGGUAAGGAGCAUGAUUAGCAACUUUUGUUUUCCAUCUUCUCUUUGGAGUGAGGCACUAAAAACAGCGGUGUAUAUUUUAAAUAGAAUUCCAUCGAAGGUUAUUUCCAAAACUUCUUUUGAGUUUGGAAAGGAUGGAAACUAGUUUAAAUCACCUGCAUGUAUGGGGAUGUCCAGCUGAGGUGAGGGUUUAUAAUUCACAUAUAAAGAAGUUGGAUUCCCGAACGGACAGUGAAUAUUUCAUUGGCUAUGCGGUAAACUCCAAAGGAUUCAGGUUUUAUUGUCCAAAUCACUCAUCCAAGAUAGUUGAGGCCAGAAAUGCCAAAUUCCUUGAGGAUUUUGAAGCUGGUGGGAGUGUUAUUUCUCAAAAGAUGAAUUUUGAGGAAAUAAGGGAUUCAAUUGGUUAUCCAUCAACAGAUAAUAAUCUAGUUGCUCUUCCAGGAGGUCAAUUUGACCGUAAUGGAGAUCAACUAAUCUUAGAACAUGAAAAUGCUGAAUCAGUUGAACCUCUCCAUGAAGAUCUGUCUCAAGAGGAACAAAUAAUUAUAGAGCCAGCUGCACAGAAUAAUAAAAAUCUGCAGGAAGAGGUUGGCUUAAGAAGAUCCUCAAGACAAAGGAGAUCGGCAAUUCCUGAUGAUUAUAAAAUCUAUUUUCAUGUGUCUGACUUUGAUGUCGGACACCAUAAAGACCCAUGAACGUUUUCAGAAGCCGGCAUGGAGAUAAAUCCUCCCUAUGGUAUGAUGCCAUAAAGGAAGAGAUGAAAUCUAUGGUGCAUAACAAAGUUUAGGAUCUCGUUGAGUUACCACAGGGAGUCAAAGCUAUUGGCUGUAAAUGGGUCUUUAAGACCAAAAGGAACUCUCUAGGUAAUAUAGAACGAUAUAAGGCCAGACUUGUUGCUAAAAGUUUCACUCAAAAUGAAUGCAUUGAUUAUCAUGAAACCUUCUUUCCAAUAUCAAAGAAAGAUUCAUUAAGAAUUAUUAUGACUUUGGUAACUCAUUUCGAUUUAGAGCUACAUCAGAUGGAUGUAAAAACGACAUUUCUAAAUGAGGAUAUAGAGAAGAUAGUCUAUAUGCAACAACCCGAAGGUUUUAGCACAGAUGAAAAUAAUCACCUUAUUUGCAGACUAAAGAAAUCUAUAUACGAACUUAAACAGGCUUCCCGUCAGUGAUAUAUUAAGUUCCAUAAUGUAAUUACUACAUUCGGUUUCGUAGAAAAUAUUGUAAAUCAGUGCAUAUACCUUAAGGCUAGUGGGAGUAAGUAUAUUUUUUUAGUCCUGUAUGUAGAUGACAUUUUGUUUGCAAGAAAUGAUUUGAGUUUGCUUAAAGAAACUAAAGAUUUUCUUUCUAAGAAUUUUGAGAUGAAGGAUAUGGGUGAGGCUUCUUACGUCAUUGGCAUAAAGAUUCACAGAAAUAGAUCUCAAAGAAUUUUCGGUCUAUCUCAGAAAGCCUAUAUUGAAAGAGUUCUAUAAAGGUUUAAUAUGGCGAACUAUGCACCUACAGCUGCGCCUAUUAUAAAAGAUGACGGGUUCAAUCAGAAAUAGUGUCCUCAGAAUGAUUUAGAACGAGUGCAUAUGAAGAGCAUACCCUAUGUCUCUGCAGUAGGGAGUUUGAUGUAUGCGCAGAUCUGUACCAGACCUGAUAUAGCUCAUGCAGUGGGGAUGUUGGGUAGAUACCAAAGCAACCCUGGCCUUGAUUAUUGGAAAGCUGCAAAGAAAGUUAUAAGAUAUUUACAGGGAACAAAGAAUUAUAUGCUCACCUACAGACAUUCUGAACAUCUUGAGGUGGUUGGAUAUUCAGACUCUGAUUUUGCUGGAUGCGUGGAUUCUAGAAAAUCUACAUCAGGAUAUAUUUUCUUAUUUGCUCAAGGUGCUAUAUCUUGGAGGAGCACUAAGCAGGAUACAGUUGCUACAUCCACUAUGGAAGCAGAGUUCAUCGCUUGUUAUGAGGCUUCGUCAUAAGUUUUAUGGCUGAGAAAUUUUAUCUCAGGUUUUAGAGUUGUCGACUCUAUCUCAAGGCUAAUUAAGAUUUAUUGCGACAACUCUGCUGCAAUGUUCUUUGCAAAAAAUAGUCGAAUUACAGAUCGCAGCAAACAUAUAUCGAUAUAAAGUAUCUUGCUGUGAAAGAAUACGACAAGAAGAAGGUCGAUAUCCAACACAUUAGGACUGAGAUGAUGAUUGCUGAUUCUAUAAGUAAAGCAUUGCCGGCAAACAAAUUCAAGGAUCAUAUUCAUCAUGUGGGUAUCUUGAGCCCAUUUACAGUUUAAGUGUUUUCUUUUUGUAUAAAGACUUUAAAAACUAUUUUUAUUUGAAUAAGAACACAUUUUGAUUUUUGCACAUAUGCGCAUAAAGUUAUCUUUUGUACAUAAAGUAUUAUUGUGCACUAAAGUAGGACUCUGAGUUGAACUUAUAAUAAGUUCAUAUGGUUGUAACUCAUAAAGUUAUUUGAUUAAGGAAUACGUGCUUUUGUUACAUGGAAGGGAGCGUUCAUCUUUUGGGGCAUAACCGCUAUGAUCAAAGUAUUGUGAUUUUUUGGUCGAGUGGGAGAUUUUGACUGUGUAAUUUAGUUGGUACCUAAUAAAGUUUCUGUUUCAUCUAUACAGUAAUAAAUAUAUCACAAGGCCAAGUGGGAGAAUGUGGAUGUGGCCCACGUGAUAUAUUCAAGGCGAUACAUACAGAUACGGUUAAUCUAUUUAAGUCGAUCUAUAAAAAUACUGUAGAUUUUACGAUUAUGAUGUAUCUGAACACGUCCUUGAUGGACGGACGUGAUUUAACAUCCUUACAUUAAAUUAUAUAUAAAUAUGUAACAUACGGAAGUCCCAGUUUAACCCUAAUCCAAUUAUCCGUGACGGCUCCAUCUCCGGAAAUAAGAGAAUUAGACUCGAAACGUCCCUUCUUUUUGCAGAUCACGAACGAGAACAAACCACGAGCAAAAGUCACCGCCUAUAAAUCGGGUACAGAAAUCGAAAUCAUGACAAAAGAUACGAUCUUAGUUUCUUAUAAAGUUUCAACAGAGUGUCCUUUGAUGCUUUGUGCCUAACAUAAACUGUUUCCACGGUGACGGGAAAAAAAAAUGUAUGGGUUAGUUUCUAGGCUCCUUCCAAUUUUCAUUAGAGUAGAACUCUUGCUUUUAUCCUAGGCUAAAAUUUUAGAGCAAUGCUUCUUGUAUACUUAUUAUAGACUAAGUAUGAUAUUUAUAUUUUAUUCAUUUAAAUUUCAUUAUUUUUCUACAAAUUUUUUAAAUAUUAGAAACCUAUAUAUAUUGUUUUAAUGCUGGGAUGAGAGGCAUAUAAGUUAAAAUCUAUAUAAAGAUGCAUAGAUAGGAUUUUUCCCCAACUUUAAAGCUCAUCAAAAGGAGACAUUUUAGCCCUCCACUUUUUCUUUUUUCAAAAAGAAAAGAACCAAUUGACAAUUGACAAUAUAUCACUACAAGUUUAGAAUAUUAAAUAUAAAAUAUUUUAUGUAUUUCUACGAACUUUGUAAAUUAGCAAAUAUAGUUAAUCGCAAAUAUAUUUAUUAACUAGUUAAAUGGCAUCAUAUUUUAGUUAAAAAAAAUUUAUUUAUUUAUCUGCUUCAUCGUUUUUAUUGACUCCGCAAUCGAAAAUAUUAUAGAAGAAAAAGAAAAUAGAUCAAACCGUCAUAAUUUAUCGAUAAAAAGCAACAAAGCUUGAUCUCGCUAGUCAUUAUAUUAGUUAGUAUACGAUGAGUUUUAACUAGCUCUAUAAAUUUUUAAGAUUUACAUGAUUAUAUAAAAUAUUUUAAAAAGUAGACAAAUUAAUAUACAAUAUCCUUAUUUUGCAGGGAUAUGCAUGCAAUUAUUAAUGUAGUGUCAUUGAUUAACAGCUGUCCUUUUUUUUGGCUUUAAAGAAAACAAAAAUUUAUUGUCAUAUAAAGCAAAUAGAUAAAGUAGCUUUUUAUGCCCUAGCCUAUUUUCUUCUUUCUUUUCUUUUCUUUUCUUUUUUUUUGACAGAUAAAUAGCAUGUUACCUGCUUUGCUUAUUUUAUUUAGAAAUAAACUUAGCUGGAAAUGUGAAUCAAUCAGGAUUCGAACUUAGAACCUCGGGUACCAACCAUCACGUCCUUUGCCAUUUACGCUAGGGACGAUCGGUUGCCCUAGCCUAUUUUCAUCUUCCAUUAGUGCAUUAUAAGUAUUUGUUUGACUAAAGUUGACACAAUACUUUUUUCUAAAAAUAUUUGUUCAUUAUGUAGCCUAACUUCAUACUUUACUUUGAGCUAUUAGUAAUUUUUGAUACAGUAUUUGUUAAGCAGAAUAGUUUGAUCGUUUUAAGUAUAGCACAUACACUAAAAAAAAAAAUUGUUGAAAUAAUUUGAAAAUAAUGUGGCAGCUAAAAUCACAAUUUAUGCUAUGAAAUGUUUUAAAAAUUUAAAGUACUUAUAAUCUUUCUUUCUUUAAUAAUAUAAAAUUAUAGUUGUGGUUACCGGCGGAGAAAUAUGUUGUCGUACAUGUGAGAUAUGUAACUUUAUUAAUAUAUAUAUAUAUAUAUAUAUACACUAUACCAGAAAUAUUCGUGAAAAUGAUCUAUUAUUAUCAAGUUUAUUUGUAGCAUAAGGUUAUGAGAAUAGUAUAAAUGGGUUGUUUAUUGAAUAAAAUGAUAUAAGGAUAAAUUCAUAUCCAAUGCUGGCUACGGUAGCCAGUUAGUUAGAAAAUUUGCUGUUGCAAAAGUUUCGACCCAAAAAUGUUUUCGCGCAUCAGCUUCAUUAACAUGGCUAAUCUGAGUUCCACUGCAUGCCUUUGUUUGCGUUCAGCAACACUAUUCUGUUAUGGUGUUCCGGAUAUAAAUUACAUUACUUGAUCAGUUCUGAAAUUAUCAAAUCCGACGAGUUAAUUAAGCUUGAGCAUUAUAUUUGCUCUUCUGUGAUGCUUCUGUGCUUCUGGCAAUUAAGAAUAACCACUAAUGGGUUAGAAACCAUUUGCUGCACCAGUUAUGGGUUAUGUCUAAUCCUGUACCAGAUCCUACCCAUUAACACCCCUUUUGUUACAUGCUUUCAUCUUUUGAUACCUGAUUCUACAACACAUGAGCUUACAUUGCUUACAAUCUUAUUAUGAUUUACCAACUGAGGUGAAAGACACAUUAACGAACUAUAUUCAAAAGUUUAAUCUCAUUCGCUCAUUAAGCGAUGGAUGAGAUUAAGCCCUUCAUAUUUAAUUCGUCAGCGUAUCUUUCACUUGAGUCAGACACACAUUGUAUCUAUUUAUCGAUCUAUCACAGGUAAACGGUUUAUUUGUACUCGCUGGUAUCGGGCACCUGCAUUUCGGCCCCCCACCCGUCCUCGACGGCGGGGGCGGGCGGCAUGAUGCGCUUCCAGAGCCAGUGCCGCCUCCAGAGCAGCACCAUCUCCUCGAUCGGGAUGCCCUUCGUCUCCGGCAGAAAGACGUAGACGAACACCGUCAUGAUGGUGAUCCAGCCCGCGAAGAAGAGGAAGAUGCCGAACUUGAGGUUGCAGAGGAGGGAGAGGAACGCCUGCGCGAUCACGAAGGUGAAGAAGAGGUUGACGGCCACCGUGAUGCUCUGCCCGGCCGACCGCGUCUCCAGCGGGAAGAUCUCGCUCGGCACCGUCCACCCCAGCGGGCCCCACGACCACCCGAACGCCGCCACGAAGAGGCACACCACGACGACGACGAUGAUCGAGAACUCCUUCGACAGAUGCUUGUCGUUGCCGAAUUUCAGGCCCAGGAUGACAGCCACUAUGACCUGUUCCACAAAGUCGACGCCGAGUUCAGUCUGUCUUUGGAUUCUGAUACAGUUCUUGCUCAGUAGAGAGCUGUCAGGACAAAGUUACUGAUAACUUUAUCCAUCAAGAUCCACAAAAUGCUUUCUGAUCCAGUUAGAAGCAGAAUAUAAAAGCAAUUCACUGAUCCUACUAAAGCCAAAACCUGAAAUGAGCUUGAAAAUUUGAAUUCUAGCAGUUUUAAAAACCUCUAAUUCGAAGCUCCUAUUUCUAGCUGCCUCAUGCAAGAACUACAAGAAGUACUUAUCGCGGUGGCGGCGACCAUAAAUUUUCUUGAAAUUGAAGCUUCUGCUUUUAGAUAUAAACAUGUCCUGUUUCUUUAUGUCCUGACACAAAAAUUUACCUGACAUAUGAUCAUCUGAAUGCCGCCGCUUAUGAGCAGUACCCUCCGUCCCCACCGAUCGACGGUGGCGAUCGAGAUGAGCGUCGACAAGGCGAGCACGGCCCCUGUCAUGACCGACGAAUACAGCGACGCGUUCCCUCCAAAGCCCAUGCUCUGGAACAGCACGGGCGCGUAGAACAAUAUGGAGUUGAUCCCCGUGAGUAUCUGAAACGUCGGCAUGAAUAUCGCCAUCACGAGUUGUGGCCGGUUCCUCGCUUCUAGAAUGUUUCUGAUAUAAAACAACUGGUUACUCUAAAAACUUCGCUAGAUUUCUUAUGAUGUCGUGUAAAAUAACUGGUUAUUCUUGAAGCUUAGGCUGAUAGAGAGCGAUGCAUGACUAUUUAUUUUGUAGCAGCGAACACCUGAAAGGGUGCUUGAUGGAGUUUGCGAGCUCGCUCGCCUCGAUCAUGUCUUGGAACUCAGCCUCCACAUCGGCAGUGCCUCUGAUCCGUUCUAGGAUGCGGCGUCCCUCCUCGACACGGCCCUGCUCGAUGAGGCUGUUGGGGGUCUCCGGGAGGAGGAAGCCGCCGACGGUCAUCAGAAAAGCCGGGGCAGCCGCAAGGCCUAGGGAGAGACGCCACCCCCACGGCUUGAUCUUCCCGGUGCCGUAGUUGAUCAUGUUCGCGGUGAAGAUGCCGAGGGUGGUCGCGAGCUGGAACAUCAUGUUCAGGCCGCCACGAAGGUGCGCCGGUGCCAUCUCCGACAAGUAGAGUGGGACGGCCUUCAGAAAUCAAGGAAACACAUAGUUACGUGAUAAAUCUCAUGAAACGCACGUAACGAAUUUUCUAUUCAUCGCUGACAUGACUUAGCCAGACCGACUUCUGAAAUUUCUAUUCAAAUCAAAGAUUAAAAUAAGUUUUAUAUUGUUGAAGAAAUAAAGUCAUGUCAGUAGUGAGUAGAAAAUUUCUGCUAUGAUGCACAAAUAGUACCUGGUUACCGAAGCCAAUGCCGACGCCGAGCAUGAUGCGGCCCAGGAGCAGCAUGGCGAGGUUGGCGGCGGCGGCGUUGAGGGUGGCGCCGAUGAGGAAGCUGAUGCCGCCGCAGAUGAUGCUGACUCUGCGGCCGUACUUUCGGGUGACGGGGGAGGCGCCGAUGGAAGCGACGAGGCCGGCAAGAUAAAGAGAGGACGUGAAGGCGGCGAGGCCCUGGUUGUCGUACUUGCAGUAGUUGUUCUGGCUGCCGGAGUUUUUCCGGCGGUAGACCACCGGAAAGAACUUCUCCAGAAAUGGGUCCAUGGAUGUCACCCCGCCUUGCAGUAGUUCAAAUCAAAGUCAAAUGUUAGAUUAGAAAAAGAAAAAAAAAUAGUAAAUUUGAAUGUGAAUUAAAUUUGAUUUGCAUACAUGCAUGGAUGUAAAACUAUCACGUUUGUUCAUUCAUGUGAAAAUUUAAAAGUAUAAAGAGAUUUCUAAAUAUCUCUGCUUCUCUUUAUAAAUAUCUCUGCUAUAUAUAGAUACGAGAAAUUUUUCUUCAAAAGCUUAACGUAUCGACAAUAUGAUGAGAUUCGAAAUUAGACCAUCCUACUUUUAAUGUCAUAUCAAAUUAUAUGAAUAUUUAUUUUUCUUCAUAGGUUUAAGUUGCUGAAGAACGAUAUUUUUCAUAUAUAUAUAUAUAUAUAUAUAGAAUUAGGCUACUAUACUAUUAAUAGCACCAAGUUAUUGGUGCUACCAAGUUUUUGACCAUUGGAUUAAAAAAUGUGUGGCUAGGAUGAUGUGGGCCCCCAAGGGUUAAGUGGAUGGUUGGUUGAAUAGUAUGAUCUAACGGGUGAAAAUAAUCAAAAGGGUAGAUCUAACGGUAAAAAACUUGAUAGCACCAAAUACUUCGUGCUAUUAAUAGCAUACCAGCCGGACUAUAUAUAUAUAUAUAUAUAUAUAUAUAUAUAUAUAUAUAUAUAUAUAUAUUAUAUAUAUAUAUAUAUAUAUAUAUAUAUUCAGUAUGUUUUGGAUCAUCCAUAUAUACAUAUAUAUUAUUCGGUCUAAAUUUAUGGAUCUGAAAUUUUAGUUUGAGAAAUUUCUAAUAGAUUUUAUGAUAUCAUUGGCGUCAACCAUUAAUUCCAAAAGUUCGAGCUGUUAGAAAAAUAUGACUAAUUCACUUAAAGCGUAUAAACAUAGCGUCUACGAGUUUGGACUGUGACUCAGCUCAACCAACCUCUAGCUAUUUCGAACAUGACUUGGUCCAAUCCGACCUUCCGUAAUUUCGAACGUGACUUGACCUAAUCUGGCCUCUCGCCACAGGGCAAAAUGUUGGCUCUCUUAAACUAAGAGGUAUGUUAUAUGAAAAUAAAAAUUAAAGUACCUAUAAAAUUAAACGAGAUUGUUUACUUCCACUUUAUUUCUAGGGAUGGGGCAUCGCUAUUGAUAAUCGGGACGUUAAACACAAUUUAGACUAAUUGAACUUCAUAUAAACCAAAUAUUAUAAAGUUUAAGAUAUCAGUUAUCUAGUGAUCAAGAGAUAUUAAAUCGACCUUAUAUUAUUAGCCAUUAAAGCUUUAUAUGGAUGUCGGAAUAAAAUAUCAAAUAAUUAUUUAUUCAAUAUAAAAUAAUUUUUUAUAUGAUUGGAAGUAAGUAGUUUAAUUUUUUAUUUUUUAAAAAAUUUUGAUUUUAAAAAAUAACAUAUUUCACCGGCGAGACGAUUUAUAUUAUUCUAAAAAUAUAAAAUAAAAAUCAAAUAUUACAUUCAUUUUAGAUAUUUGAUUAUAUUUCUUAUUUACCAAAUACUACACAUAUUUUGAGUAAAUCUAAAAAUCAUACAAGAUAAGAUGUUUAUACAUCCAUGUGUGACAAAAAACGAUUAAUUUUGAAACCACUCGAUUAUUAAGCAAAUAUUGUGGAGAAAACUAGCUGUCUCAUUAAAAUAUCGAGCCGAAAAAUUCAACUCGUGCUCGGCUCGUUAAUAAACAAGCCGGACACGAGUUGGCCAACAAAUAAUAAGUUAAAUGGAUUAGAUUAAAUAUAUAUAAAAAAUAAAUUUAUAAAAUCUUACCAUUAGACUUUGAUCUAGUGGUUGAAAUUUUACAUACAAAUGAGUCUUUUAACUCGAUUUUAUAUUUUUUGCAAAAAAUUAAAUAAUAAAAAUAUAUAUAUAUAUAUAUUAUAUAUAAUUAUUUAUUUAUAUAUAUAAAUAUAAAUUAAAUAAAUUAUAUAAAUAUAAAAUAUAUGUAUUCGAGCUGUUAUUGAGCCAAACACGAGCAAGUUGACACCGGCUCGUAUUCGGCUCGUUUAUUAAACAAGCUGAAAAAUUCAGCUUGUUUUUGGCUCAUUUACUAAACGAGCAAUUCGAUUUCGAGCUCACUUCAAGCCAAAUACGAGUUGGCUCGCGAACAACGAGCUGGAUUGUUACCCUACUCCUAACCUGGUGGCUGGAGUGGGUGUAGAAAAUAUUCUCUAAUCUUGCAACUUUUUUUUUACUAUUAUUCAAAAACGCACACCUUAUGCAUUACACCUAAAAUUUGAUAAUUAGUAUGUGAAAUUAAAAUCUUAUUAAUUUCUAAAAUCACCAGUAGAGAUAGAUCCACUGUUUGAUUUAUAAAAAAAUUACUAUUCAAACUUUAUCUGUACUGUAUUAUUAUUAUUGCUAAUAUGGCAACAAUAUUGGAAACAACCAAAUUUAAAUAAUUAGAAAAGGUUUAGAACUGAAUUGCGAUAUUAGAAGGUUAGGGAUUCAAUUGAAACUUAAGUAAAAGAUUAGAGACCUCCAUUUAGUUUAAUUUAGUUUAAGGAAUAGCAGUGCUGUUGAAAAAAAAUAUUGUAGAAAAUAACACUGUACUAUUAAAAAAGUUGUAGAACAUUUGGCUAUUUUUGUAAAAAUAUUAUGGAAAUUAAGUUGUUUGGUGAUAACUGUAAUAAUAAUUAUUAUAAACUAGUAAAAAAUGUAUUAAAAAAUAUAAAUUUAAUUUAGUGGUCCGAUUAGUUAUUUUCUAACAACAAUUUAAAAUUAAAAUUUAAAUGCAUUGGAGUUUAAAUUUGAAAUUAAAAAAUUAAUUUUAUAUCUAAAUUGAAUUUAAAAUCGAAAUUCAGAUUCACAUAUAUAUUUGAAAUUCAAAAUAAAAAAUUAAAAUUAAAAAUAGAAAUAAAAUUUAAAUUCCAAAAUAAAAUACUUAAAUUUAAAAUUUGAAUCCAAAAUAAAAAUUUACAUUUAAAAUUUGAAUCCAAAAUCAAAAAUUACAUUUAAAAUUUGAAUCCAAAAUCAAAUUUAAUAAACUUCAAAAUCAGAAUUUUAAUUUGAAAUUAGUAUAUAUCAAAUUUAAAUUAAAAAUAUUUAACAAUAAAUUUUAAAAUUUAAUUUAAUAUGUGAUUUAGUUUUAGAAUUUAAGUAUAAAUAUAAAUAUAAAUUUUAUUAAUUUUAGAUUAAAAAAAACAAACUUCUCAAAAAUAAAUUGGGGAACAAGAUAAAAAAAAACUUGUAAAUAUUGUGGACAAACAUUAUUAUUAAUCUAAAUUUCUACCGUAAAACAAGAAUUUAAGUUCCUAUCAGUACAAGCUAUAUCUAAUAUGCCGUAUCGCGCCAACAAAAUAUUACACAAUAUAGUCUCUGUGCCGAUAGCACAGCUCAAAACUUUUUAUUCCUUAAAUUAGUAGGUAGUUUUCUCAAUAAAAUUCAAAAUAUUUGAUAAAAAUAUAUAAUAAAUAGUUAUAAUAUUUUAUUACGAAAGAAAAUGAAUAUUUCAUGUUAUUAUAUAUCGGCAUACAUAUAUUUUUGAUGACCGAUACACAUCGAUACGGUCCAACACGCACCAUAUCGUGACUUGCCAGAAAAUUUAUAGCAUAACUCUAUAUCACGGCACUUAAAUUUUUGCUGUAAAAGCUCUGGCAAUAGAGCAUCUAGGAUCGAAAGGCGGUAGGGUGGAGAACGCAAUUUUUUAUAUUCACUCUCUCCGCCAAAUGCUCUCCAUUGGAGAAUAGUCCAUUGAAGUCAGGCCAAACAGGUACUUAGAAAGUCUUAGAACGUUUUUAAAAUGCAAAGCAUUUUCCAUUAAGAAAAUAGGUCAGGUAUAUGAGAGUCAGAGUGACUAUCUCAUGCUAACCACUAGUGGCUAAAAAUUAAAAAUGAUCUCAUUUUGUCACACAUUAAAGAUGCUAGAUCUUUUGUCUUUUUCCUUGCUUCCUUAAGUAAUUUUGCCUAUGUGACUUACUAAUUACUAGUAGAUAUAUUAAUGUACAUCUCAUCAGUUGUGUACUACACUAAUUUAUAUCUUUUAAUAUUUAAAUUUGCAGUUUCCAUUCAACCAUUCUAAGUCAAAUGUAUUUGUUUAAACAUGUAACAUCUAAAUGGCUUAGAUUUAAAGAUAUGAUGACAUUAAAAAACGAUGAGUUUGGAGCAAUUGCUUAUAUAUCUCUGAAAAAUUUUCGACUUUCUAAUUUACCUCUCUUAAAAGGUUAAUAUUAAAAAUACCAUUUUUACAUUCCAAAUUAUAAAGUUAAAUUCAAUUAGCAAUAGCCGUUAUACCUAUGAAAUUACUAUUUUACCCUUUCAAAUAUACACUUCUUCCAUCACUAAUUUUUCUUAUUUGUCUAAGUUAGAGGUAAAUUUUGUUAGCAAUAGCAGUUAUCUCUGUGAAAUUACUACUUUGCCCUAAAAAGUAUUUUAAUUUUUGAUCUUUUCAAAUAUACUAAAUUUUUUUAUUUGCUCUUAAGUUAAGAAUAAAAGAGGUAUAUUGAUUAUUUUUUAACUCUUGCUAGAAAUUUAACUCACGAAAUAACUUAACGGGUGGUAACUAUAGGAGUAUUUUUGAAUAACGAAAAAAUAUAUAAGAAAUAUAUUGGAAACAAAAAAAAUAAAAAUAAAUUAGAUAUUUUUGAAAUUUUAAGAAAUAUAUAUAUAGAGAAUUAUUCCUUGAAAUUAUCUAGAAGCCAAAUCGCUUGUGGUAAGAUAUCCUCCCAAAGUUAAUCCGAAGUGUGCGUAAAUUUGAGGUUGACCCUCGAAUUUUAUAUAAUUAAGUUUCGGGAUUUUAUGAUUUUCUUUUUUUAUUAUUUUGGACUCUGAAACCCAUGGACUGUUUAAAACUUAAUUAAAAUGAAAAAUUAAAAUGAGGCUCGCAUUUACAUGCUACAUGUCACUUUGGGGUGAAUUCAAAGAGUUGACGAGUCCCUUCCCUUCAAAAUAAUUACUAGUUUUAAACAUAUAAUUUUGACAGAUUUUUUAAAUUUCUAAAUUCAAAAAGAAAAAGCUUUUUCUUUUCAUUGGAAGCUCGAAUAAAUGAGGAAAGAGAGCAUUCCGAGGGUGUUUGGUUUCUCAAAAAAUUCUAUAAAAUUAUAUUUUGCAAAAAAAAUAACUUUUUUUUUUAAUAAUUUUUGUUCUCCAGAUAAAAAAUCUAAAAAAUAAAAAUAAAACUUUUUCAUAAACUCAAAAGAAUUCUAAAAAACUAUUCUUUAAAAAAAACUAAACAACCUUUUCAACUGAAAAUACCUACUCUUUAAAAGGCUCCACAAGUACCAAUGUUUAUUACCACCAAUUAAUGAGCUUAAAAAAAUAAUAACAACCAUAAUUAAUGUGUACAGAGUGAAAGAUUUUAGAACGUAGUUAUACUGGUGAUAAGACUGUCUCCAACCAAUCAAAUGAAUCUUUUUUUAGUUAAUCUAUAAUAUUAUAAUUAUAUAAAAAUAUUUUUAUUAUAUAUAUAUUUUUAAAAGGAGUGAUGCGAUCGAUUUAUUAUUACUGAUGUAGUUUAAGUGCGUGCAAUUCUUAAAACUAAUGGAAAAGUAAAAAACGAAAAAUAAAAAAGCAGCGAUUGUGUCAUUGUGACAACCAUAAACCGCCAAACUCAAGGAAGUCUGUCGCACUAAUGCGACAGUAACGUCUACCCCCAAGCGCACUCCGUUCACACCACCUACCUCUAUAAAAAUAUCCCCAAUUAUUCAGAAUCUAAAAUUUAGUUCUUUACAUCAAUUAAAGAACUCUUAUCUUAUAAUGAAUGAUGCAUUUUACUAUCCGUGCUGCUUGAAGAUUCGAAUUUUUUCUUUGUUUUUUUUUUUUUUUUGUAGAUUAAUUAAAGGGAAGUAGGUAGGUAGGUACCAGAUAUGCCGAUGUCGUAGCCGAAGAUGGAGCCUCCGACGGCGGCGACGAUGCAGGCCAUGACGACGAACGGCGUCACCCGCCCUUUGUACUGCGCCGCCCGCUCCUUCUUGAUUCCGAUCGGCGCGGCCCCUCCGCCCGCCAUCUCUUCUUCUUCUUCUUCUCCUCCCCUUCACCAAAAAUUCUCAACAAACCCAAUUAAACUCGAUCUCUAGCUAAUUAACACUCACUACAAAUUAAUAACAAGUAUACGUGUAUAUAUAUAUAUAAAGCUGGAUAUAUCAUGAACUAAUAAUUAAGAACUCUCGUUGACCCAGCUUUUUUUUUUUUUUCCCUGGCUUUCUCUCUCUUCUCUUGAAUAUAUAUAUAUAUAUAUAUAUAUAUNGGGGUGAGAGAGAGAGAGAGAGAGAGAGAGAGAGAGAGAGGGGGAGGAGAGCAUUAAAUAGCGAUCGAGUAAGUUGGGAACGCAGAGCACAUGGACAAUUCCGGCUUUGUCCGGCUGUUGGCCUUUUUCUUUUUCCUUUUAAGUUGGAUUUUUUUAAAAAAUAAAAACUCAGAAGUGGGAUGUGGAAUUGUGGAUGAGAAGGAGACGUCACCCACAGCAAAUUAAGCACGGAAAGGUGUAUAAUAUACACUCUCUUGUUCUAACAUAUAGAAAACAAGUUUUUCUUAAUAAAAAUUUAGGUAAACUUCAAAUGCUAUCAUGUGAUUUCGCACUUUUCUAUUUUAAUAUUUUAUAAUAAUUUAAAGUGUACCAAAUUUAUAUCACGUGGUUUCAUUUUUAUCUUUUCGUCAGCUUUUUCGUUAAUAUUUCGUUAAAUUAUAUACAAAAAAUUUCAGAUACUCCAUCUAAAUUUAUUGAAUAUUUACUUUAGCACCUUUUAGUUUUAACUUGUCACUGAUUUAACGAAAAUAAUUAGUGAAAUCGAUAAUAAAAUGAUAAAAAUAAAAUCACAGAGCACUAAAUUGAUACACUUUAAACCAUAAAAUACUGAAGUGAAAAAAUGUGUACGUAACUACAGAAGUGGUAUUCGAAGUUUUCCCUAAAAGCUUGUUUGUGGAUCUCUUUACAUGCAACCAAAUACUCAGAGAAAGCGAAAUGAAUUAGAUUUUUUUUUUUUCCUCCUCUAUGGUAUAUUAUUGGUUGGAAUAAAUGGCGUUCGAGCCUUAAUAAAAUUUUAUAUAUAGCAUUGGAGGAGGCAUCAAUCCCAUAUAACCAUUUUGGGUUAAAUAUUUUAUAAUUAUCAAAACUUUCGUCGGGUUACAGGAAACCACCUAAUAUUUUAAAAGUUCAUAUGUACAGUCCGAAGUUUUAAAAUAUUAUAAUUAGUUCAUACUUCAUCAAUCUAAAGUGAUCAAUAUUAGCCAAUCACACAAGAAAUAACAAAAAAUACAUACCAGUGAUAUAGAUAAGCUUUUUUAUAUCAAAUAUAAUUGCUUUUUUUUUUUUUUUUUUUUAGAGAGAGAGAUUAAAAAAAAUGCUAAAUUAUAGAAAACUCUCAUGUCAAAAUUCGAUUUUUCACUUUUUCCCCCCUGUCAUUUAAAAACUUACAGUUUGCCCCCUUGUGAAAUAAAAAAUAUUCAUUUUACCCCCUACCGUCAGUGAUCCGUUAGGAUUCCGUUAUAAAAUAUUUUUUAUGCCAAAAAUACCCUCCGCCUUCUCUAUUGUGUUUCGCCCUCUUCCGCCUCACCGCCUCGCCCUCCUCCGCCUCACCGCCUCGCCCUCCUCCACUGUCUCGCCCUCGCCCACAUCUCCGUCCGCGCCCACAAACACCCUUCGCCCUCCUCUGCCGCCUCGCCUUCGCCCUCGUUGCCCUUGCCCACCUUUCCAUCCAUGCCCACCUCGAUCGAUUUCCUCUCCACUGUCGCCGAAAUGGAGGGGCGACGAGGGUGCAGGAGGAGAAGGGAAGCAGGUGGAGAAGAAAAUGGAGAGGAACAGCGACUGAUCGAGACGCGAAUCGCGGCUGAUCGAGGCGGCGGAUGAACAAGAUGAGAGAGGAGACGAAAAUGAUGAGGGGCAAAAUAAUCAUUUUAUCAUCACAGUUCACACAGUACCCCCUGUGAAUAUUUUUAUUUUACAAUAAGGCAAAAUAUAAGUUUUUAAAUGACAGAAGAAAAAAGUGAAAAAUAAAAUUUUGACAAGAAAAUUUUAUAUAAUUUAGCCGGAAAAAAAGGGGUAGAAAUAAGAUACUAGUAGGCCCACUGACAUUUGCUAUCAAUAUCACCCAUGUCUUUCUUUAUCUUCCAAUCUCUAUCACCCCCAGAAUUCAAACUCAAUCUAUGCACAUCAGUUUGCCAAGUAAUUCAAAAAACAACCAAAGCCACAAAUUAGAAUUUAAGCAUACUUGGCAAAAUGAGGAGCAUCAAUUACUUCAAGUACUUAAUAUGCAUCUAAUAAAAUGAAGAAUUUCUGUUCUCAACGAUUGUGCCUAGCGUAGUUGGCCAAGACAGAAGUCCAAUUGUUUUACAUUUAUCGUUCUCUUUCAAUAAAAAAAAAAAAAAAAAUCUAAUCUCUCCUCUUGUCUACAUUUAAUUUGAGAAAGCAUCUGCAAAGUCAAUGAGUCGGUUUCGCAACAACAAUUUUAACAGUAAACUAGCAGAAGUUAGCUCCAAGGGUAUAAGAAAGAACUUAGAACUUUAAACGGACAGAUUUCAUUACUUUACGUGAAAAAGAAUUCGGAAACUAAGUCAAUAGUUAUUCUAGCAUGCAUUUUGCCCCAAGAAUUUGAAAACAAGGGCAAAAGAGGAGCACCCCACAGAGAAUAAUAUUCUGUACUUUUUUUAAGGAUUAAUUUCAUAUAGGUCCCUCAAAAUAUAAUGAAUUACAAAUGUAUCCCUAUAAAGUUCAAUUUUUAUAUGUUGAUUUUACAAAAAUCCUAAUUUUUCAAAUAUAUCCUUGUCGUUAUGAUUCGUUAGAAAAAAUUAAUUAACCAUAGGUAAAUUAAGGUUUAAAGUGCCGUGGCACGGGGGCGUGCUGCUAUCUACCUGACACGGUACGGCGCCGGCACGCUUCCAUACCGACCAUGAUACGCUUGUGUGGCGAUGGAUAUAUACGACCUUCUACUGGUACGCUUUGGCAUGGACUUAUUUCAGUUUUUUUAGUUUCAAUAAGCUCUUAUAAUAUUAUUUGAAAAGAUUUAAUCAAAUAAUUAUAAAUAUUUGUUAUAUAUAACUUACUAUACUCAUUAAUUAAUAUAUUUGUAAAUUUUUUUGUAUGUAAAGUAUAAUUAUAUCUGAUACAGAAUAGAAAUUUUUAUAUGUUAAAUUUUUAAAAUGUAAAGACAUUUUUUUUUCUUUUUUUCUUUUAACCAUAUUACAGUUUUUCUUUUAUAAAAUACAAAAAAAAAAAUUUAAAAAUUAUUUUUAAAAAUUAUUUUAAAAAGUAUUUGAAAAAAAUUAUUUUUUUAAUUAAUUUUAAAAAAAUUAGUAGAUCUAUCAAAAAAAUUAAGUAAUAUGGUUUAAGCAUCAAUUGAUUUAAUUUAACUUUUAAUUUUUUCAGUAAUUUUAAUUUUCUAGCGCAAAAAUAAAAUUUUAUAUUUGAUGUGACUCAAAAUUUGUUUAUUGAGUUCGAUUUUGUUCCCUUAAUUCGCCUUAUUUGUGAAGAAAAAAUACAUAUCUGUGGUGAAAGCGGAGGGUUCAGACAAAUUUUUUGUCCGUAUAUUGAUAAACAAAAAAAAAUUAAAUUAUAACUUUUUUAACUUACCUAAUAAGUAAAUUUUAAUUUGCAAUAUCUUUGGGGGACGUAGAGUACCCAGAAUGUUUUGAAUAUCCCAAAGAACAAAAUAAAAAAAAAUAUUAAAAAAAAAGUAAAAAAAAUAUUAGCACAGUGCCGUGCCGGCACUGUGCCGUGGCACGCUGCCUCGUGCCACUCUGUCUCGUGCGGCACAGCGCUGUGUACUGCAACACGGAGGGGGGUCCGUGACCCCUACCCUCCUGUACCGUGCCACCUUCUUGGUGGCACAGAACGCACCGCCCCGUGCCGUACCACACGGUACAACACUUUAAACCUUGGGUAAAAUACUUAAUCCUUGCUAGUUAAUGAGGUGUACCUCUUCACCCCUUUUCAAUUAACAGUUGAGACUUUUGGAAGGUCAUAUUUGUGAUGGCAAAAAAGUCAUUUCACUUAUAAAAUAAACAGUUCUUUAAUGAUAACAAAUAUUUGAAAGUAUUAAGAUUUUUAUAAGGACAACAUAUAAAAAUUAAACUUUGUAAGAAUAUAUUUGUAAUUUAUUAAGUUUACAGAGAUCUGUAUAAAAUUAACUUUUUUUUAAAUAUUGCUCCUCUUUCCAAACCAUAGAAAGUGACUGGUUUGAAUGUUUUGUAGGCAUUUGACUUCAUUAGUAUAUUUGGUAGAUUCAUUGUUAGAAAUUCUCCUUAAAAUGGAUAGAAAAAGCCCCAAGUUACCAUAAAAGAAUAUAUGGUUUACAGCUGAUCCAGCAAUGCUUUUAUUAAUUAAUUAGACUAGCAUGUGGAGAUUGUUGAGCCCAGGAAGUAUGCGAAGAGACUUAUUCUACACAUCACUACUCUCUCUCUCUCUACUUAUACUAGAACAUAUUGUAAUGAAUUUAUUAUGGCAAAAGUGAGAGAUGAGUUUAUUAAAGUCGAAGAUGAAGAACAAAAUCGCACACCAGGUUUAAGUCCACGGAGGGUCACUUAAUUCCUAUAGUAGUAUGAUCAACAUCAAUGAUUCGGUCGAUCAGAUUAUUUGGAUGCAUAAACAUCUCUAUUAUCGAGUUGAGCUCUUGUGCUUUUCAAUAAGCUCAUGAGUUUAACGUAUUUAUAAUUUGUUAAUCUUCGGAUGGCCUCAAAAUCUGUGCAAACUACUAGUAAAUGAGACUUACUGGUACACACCGUUAAUAGCACUGAAUGAAUCUUGAAACGAUCCGGUGGCUGAAAGGUUACAAGCACAAAUGCUUCUGUACUUUCAAAAGCACAUGAGCUCAAUUCUCUUUUAACAAAUUCAUUUUGUUUGCUCGAAAGAGUUGCUUGAUAGAAUGUAUAAAAAAAAGUACACAAGCGUAUAAUACAUUUCUAAGUGUUUUUUUUCCCUCAAAAAUACGAUAAAUUAGUUCAUAGGUUGAACACUUAUUGUGGAAGAUCAAGUUUAACCUCUUAUUUUGUAAUUACAAUAAAAAAAAAAUCUCACAUAUUGCAAUUUUAGUGGAUUAUAGGGGUGGAAACGAGCCGAGCUCGAGCGAGCUUACCUUGGCUCAAAUUCGGCUUGAAAUUAAUUUCGAGCAUAAAUUUAAGCUCAAGCUUGGAUUGAAAUUAAUUCGAGCUGAGCUCGAGCGAGCCUAAUUUCGAGUCGAACGAGCUCGAGCCCUAAACGAGUCGCUUGAAAUUCUCAACAUCAUACGAUCAAUAGUUUAAUUUGUAUAGAAUAUUAUCUAUAAUUUGAUACAAAAAUAUAUCUAAUAGUUUAAAGUACAAAAUAAUUAUAUAAAAUAUAGUAUUAUAAUAUGAAGAAAAAUAAUUUAUGAGUUGAAUACUUAAUCUUUUCAGGCUCACAUGUCUUCUCUUCCGCAUUCAAUUUUCAUAUUAUUCAUUUUUAUUUAUGCAAUCAAAAAUAAAUAAAUUAUAUAAAUAAAUAUUGGAUUAAACUAUCCAAUUAUAUAUAACUAAAAUUAAAAUUUUAUAUAAAUAAUAACUUUUUACUUUAAAAAUAUUCUGUAUAUUUUCUCAAGCAUACAAUUAAUAGAAAGGUAAGCAACGACGGGCAUAUACUGUUUUUUUUUUUAGAGAUAGGUAGCACGCUACCCGCUUCGUUUAUUUCAUUUAGAAAUAAACUUAACUGAAAAUAUGAAUCAACUAGGAUUCGAACUUGGGUCUCAGGUACCAACCAUCAAGCCCUUUGCCACUUGCUCUACGGCGAGCAUAUACUAUUAUUUGGUAACUUGAAGGGCUUCCAGCUUGGCUACUUAGGGUGAGAGACAGGAAAAAAGAAAGAGAAAAACAUAUUGAAAUUUUAGAACUCUGUGAAAGAAAGAAAGAAAAUAAAAAUGUAUAAAUUUAAUGAAAUUUUGCUCUUUUAUUUGUCGAUUGGAUUUGUUUUUAUGGGCCAACAACAUUGGUUCAAUUUUAACUAAACUCAGGUUAACCACCCACUCAAUCUUAGAGGACCAUUAUCAUUCUAAUUGCGCAUCUUUUCAUCCAACGGCCAAAAACUCAAUAGUACCAAGGACUUGAUACUAUUGAUAGUAUAGCAGCAUAAUUCUAUAUAUAUAUAAAAUAUAUAUAUUAUAUAUAUAUAUAAUAUUAUAUAUAAUAUAAUAUAUAUAUAGCGAGAGAGAGAGAAAGGAGAAGAUGGAUGAGAAGAGAGAGAGAGAAGUGGUGAUCUACUAUGUACGAAGCACGCGAGUGGCUACCUGUUCCACCUGUUUUUCGAAUGUUUGCGUACUUUCACAUCGAUCGAUCUGCCUCCUGUUAAACUUGAUCUAGAGUAUUUGAAGUACCCUUAGAAAAUAAAUUUUAUAUUUUACGAUAUAUUUUGCCUACUUGAAUCGAACGGGACUCAAAAUAACGGCUGAGGAAAUAAAAAUAGACCCAAAUAUAAUAAUAUGACAUAAAUUUUAAAUCAAAGAUAUGUUGAUCUUUUUUUAUUAUAUAAAAAUUUCUAUCAAAUUUCACGUGAUUGGAUUAUUUAUACACCGUUUAAACUUGCAAACGGCUCACUUACGGCCAUUGAAUUUUGUUGAUUUGUGAGCACUUCAUCAUAAGUACAUGAUAUCGAAAAAAUAUAAAAUUAAUUUUUACGUUACGUCUAACAUAUCUAGAGUCAAUUUAAACGGAAGCUCGCGACGAUUUGAAAGUCGCCAACAUUUGAAACGAGAUGGAAGCACGGAAGACUCCGUGCUUCCGAUAGAUAUGUGCCCACUCUAUUAUAUAUAUAUAUAUAAUAUAUAUAUAUAUAUAUAUAGUGUAGAACUACUAUUCUAUAUAUGUAGAACUAUUAUGCUAUCGAAAAUAUAGAGGAUUUGAUGUUUCCGAAUUUUUGACUCUUUGAUUAAAAAUUGUAUGGUUGGGAUGAUUGCGGUCCCCCCUAAGAUUAAAUAAUACCCCUAUGAUUGAGUGGUCCCUGCAAGGUAAUAAUAGUAUUAAUCCAAAGAUAAGAAAUGAUUAAAGGGGUUGAUCUAAGAAUCAAAAAAUCGAAAGCACCAAAUCCUCUAUACUUUCGAUAACAUAGUAGCUCUACUAUAUAUAUAUAUAUAUAUAUAGAAUUAGGCUGGAAUACUAUUAAUAGUAAAACGCUCUUUUUGCUAUCAAGUUUUUAACCCAUUGGAUGAAAAAUUGUAGGAUCAGGAUGAUAUUAGUCGGUUAGAGUUGAGUGGUCCCCCUAGGGUUGAGUGGUCCCCACUGGGUUAUAGUAUUUAAUCCAAUGGUUAGAAAUAAUGAAAAGAGCUGAUCCAAAGGCUAAAAAACUGAUAGCAACAAUGGUAUAUUCGAGCAUUUCGAGCUUUUCGAGCCUAAUUCGAACGAGCCGAGUAAUACUCAAGCUUGGCUUGAAAUGAAUUUCAAGUCUUUUUUUUUUGUUCAAGCUCGACUUAUUUAAUUUCGAGUCGAGCUCGAGCGAGCCAAAUAUCGAGUCGAAUGCGAGUCGAACGCGAACCGGCUUGCUCAUUUGCCAGCCCUAGUGGAUUACCUGUUCCGAUAACCAAACAGGCCCUGAGAUGAAUAUAGACUAACAAAUUAUAAGGCCUGUAUAUAUGCAUGUAGAAAUUAUUAAAGCAUGUAAUAACUAAGCUAUAUAAUAACUUUGAUUACAUGACUUAUUAGAGCAACAUUUUAUAAUUGUCUAUAACUGAUUUAAUAUUUGAAUAAUUGUCUUAUAUUACUAGAAUUUUUCUUUCCUUUGAGCCGUAUAGUCUGUAAUAUUUAAAAAGGCUUAAUCUUCUAUUGAAUAUGAUCAAGCCUUAAGCAUACAUGCUUUAAGAGUCCGGCUAUUACACUCUUAUAAGUACAAUCACUUUCAUACUUACAAAUCGUUUUUUAUAAUAUAGCUUCCAAAUCGACGGUCCAUACCGUUAAUCAUUAUCUAGAUCAUUCGAAACUUCUAGAAAUCAAAUUUUAUAAUUUUUUAACAUCAUUUACCUUACGAUCAGAAGAUCUUAAAAUUAAUAAUUUUUAACAAUCGGUAUAGAAUACUUGCUAGUUUAACGGUGUAAAAAAAAACGAAAUCAAUUGAAUUUUUGAUAGAAAAUUCUAUUAACUAUCUAGAUAAAGAUCAAUAACUCCGAUCUUAAAUUGAAGUAUAUAAUCCUUUAUUUUUAGAAAGUCGUUUAAUUUUGAUUGUUCAUUUUAUGCCCGCUUGAUGAACUUUACUAUAAUUUUAAAAAAAUUAUGAAAUUUAUUUUCUAUAAAUUUUAAACGCACUAGAUUAUAUUUAACGGUAUGGAUCAUCAAUUCGAAAACUCUUUUAUUAAAAAUAACUUAUCGUACGAAGGGCUUUAUACUCAUAAGAGUAUAAUAGUCCUACUCCAAACUUUAAUUUCACGACAUUAGAGCCUACUAAAUAAUACAAAACAACUGUUAUUCUCUAAAAUAUAUUUAAUAUUUAACACCCCCCACACUCGGGAUCGAGACUUUUUGACGAGCCAAUAACGUGGACUUGAAUUAAAUAGGAGGAAAUAAAUUAUAUUAGGAGUUAGAUGUGACUCGAACUCAGAAUCUCUUGCUGUGAUAUCAUAUUAAAUAAUACGAAAUAACCGUUAUCCUUAAAAAAUUUAAACUAGUAAAGAACGUAUUUUUAUAUUUUUAUAUUUUUAUAUUUAACGGAGCCGAAGCAGCCAAAAAAUUCUAUUCAAGUUGUAAACUAAACUUAGUAAUUAGAGACACGUCAGCCUCCUAGGUUAAGGUAUACAAUCAUGUCAUAUAAUUCUUUAAAAUUAUAUAGAACGAUAUUUUCAUCCUUUUCACCGAUUUAAUAAUUAAAUAAAUAGUUGUCUUAUAUUAUUAGAAUUUUUUUUUCUUUUUAAUCAUGUAGUUAUAAUAAUACAUUUCGAUGAAAAAAGAAGAUACCAUCCAAAUGCGCUGUAAGUGGUGGUAGUCGUGAACAUCUAACUCCAUACUAGACCAAUAAAUAAAUGCAUUAUGGGUAGUUGUAAAAAAUUAGUUCAAACUUGAAUACUAUAAAACUUGAACACCCAAAAUGUGGCCACUUGAUCUAAAUUAGUCAUUGCUUUUUCUUCACCAUUAUUACCAGUAAUAUUUAUAUAAAUAGGUAUUAAAUGCUCUUAUCUGAUAGCAAGCGUGCAAAAGAAAGUAAAAUUUGGUAGGUCGGCAUUUACUUUAAAAUUAAUUUCAUACAUAUUCCUAUCAACAUAAUAAAUUACAAAUAUGUCUCUACAAAGUUCAACUUUUAUAUAUUGUUCCUGUACAAAUCUUAAUGUUUUCAAAUAUAUCCCUCUGAUUUGUUGACGUUAAAGCACUGUUUACUUUAUAAGUAAAAUAAUAUUUUUACCAUCACAAACAUAUCCCUACAAAAUUUACAACUGUUAAUUAAAAAAGAAUAAAAAAGUCAAUUCACCUUAUUAACUAACUACGGUUAACUAAAUUUUUCUAACGGAUUAUAACAGCAGGGAUAUAAUUGAAAGCAUCAGAACUUUUACGGGGGCAACAUAUGAAAGUUUGAAUUUUGAUAGGAAUAUAUUUGUAAUUAACUAUAUUUGCAGGAACCUAUAUGCAAUUAACCCUUUACUUUAUCCUAACCUUGCUUGCAAUACUUGUGCAAGCAAUCUAUAAAUUGUAUGGAAGUGUGCAAGCAACCUAUAAAUUGUAUGGCGUCCAGUUUAUGAAAACUAAUCCACUUACAGUUGUUAUUAUUUAGUUGAAGAAUCUCUCACCUCCAGAUCAUUCUUAAAUAGAAUACUUAGAAUUUAUUCUUCUGGAUUGACACUACUCAACUAUCGACGCAAUUAAGUAAUUUUUAUCGACUAAAUUGAGAAUUUUGUUAAAUUUACGAGAAAUUUUAUCAAACUUUUGAUCUGGUUUGAUAAUGUAGUGGCUAAUGCACUCUACCUUUAUAAUCGGAAAGACUUUAGGGUGCGUUUGGUUCGCACUAUGAAAAAUUACUAGGAGCAAAAAGAUAUCCGAGAAUCUUAUUCCUAUUUAUCCUAUUACUAAGAAUGUAGUAUUUCGAUAUUUGGUUCGUACGGUCAUAUUAUUUAGUCAUGUUAUUUAAAAUUACCAAAAAUAUACAAUUUAUUUAUUUAUUUAAUUUUAAAUAAUACUAUAAAAAAUUUUAAUAUUUUUUUAGAAAAAAGAGAAAGAGAAUAUAGGUUAGAAAGAGAGAGCAUAAUUAAAGAAAUAGAAAGAAAAAUAGAGUCGAGAUUAGAGAGAAUAAGAGAGUUGAAAUUUUAGAAAAAGAGGGAAAGAAAUAACAAUUUAGAAAGAGAAAAAGAGUUGAAGUUUAGAAAGAAAAAGAUAAGUUUAGAGAGAAAUAUGAGAUUAUACUGUAAAGAAAAAUAAUAUCAACUAACCGGCAGGCCGGAAGAAAAAAAAAGAUUAGACAUAUUAUAAUUACUCCAAUCUAUUAAUACAAGGAUAUUCACCCUUCCUCAAAGAAAUGAGAUUAGUACUUUGAGAUGCAUCUCAUUCCCAAAUAAAUCCAGUAUUACCAUCUAGAUUACUUAGUGCGUUUAGCCAAACACCGUCAUAUGUUUUUAUUCUUAUUGGAUUACUAGAAAUCUUAAAAAUAUAGCGCGAACAAAACGUACCCUUAAUAUUAUAAAACUGCGGUGGCAACUAGAGAAGCAUAUAACAACAUGCUUCUCCAAUAAUAAUUUUACAGCACAAAUAGAGAAUAGAUUUAAAGAACUUCACAAUUUUUUGAACCAUCCAUAUAAAAAAUGGGUGCUUUUAGCCACCAAAUUACCAAUAACUUCAAACACUUCUUAACAAGUAAAACUAGAACAGCUAACAACUAAUAACUAUAAAAUUAUUAUAAAAUUAAAAAAAAUAACUUAACUAACUAGAAAAUGCUGAAAUUAAAAAAAUAAUAAUAAAAGUUAAGAGGGAUGUCAAUAAAAAAAAGAAAAAAAAAAAUUUUAAAAAUGCAGAGGAAUUUUAAAAAUGGCUCAAUUUAGACAAGCAAAAGCAUCAUUUUUUUAAGAGAAAUAGAUAGCAACUACUCGCUUCGUUUAUUUCAUUUAGAAAUAAACUUAGCUGAAUAUGUGAAUCAACUAGGAUUCGAAUUUGGGUCUCGGAUACCAACCACCAAUCAGAAGCAUCAUUACAAUUCAUGUCAUACGUUUCCUAUGACUUUUUCAUGACAAAUAAAUGUACCAUGCACUAGCCAUCAGCAUUUACUAUAAACUUCAAGAAGCUUUACUAGUGAAAAUUUUGUGCAAGUAGAUCAAAUAUUUUCUUCUCUUAAUAAUGGUAUUAUAUAGCAAGCUUUUAGACCCUUUCAAAAUCAUCUUAAUCACAUGUUCCAUCUCUAUAUAAACAUGGGCAUCUGACCCUACAAAAUUGAAUCAAUUCAUAACAAGUCUUUUCCAUCUAAAUGUGCAGAAUCAUGUUGAAAACAUGCAUAAAAAAAAUAACAAAACAAGUGUUGAAACAUACAUUUAGUCGUCAGUAUAGUUAAAUCUUAAAAAUAAUUCGUACACGAUCAAAAAGGUCAGCAAUAAACACCAGAUGGGCCUCUGUGCAAUACCGACAAAUAGCAGAACUUUUGAGUGACAUAUAUAUAUCCUCUAUUCCCUUCACGGAUGCAAACAAACAUCUUUAUAUCACAAUAUUGAGGCACAGUUCUCAUCAAAUUAGGUUAUCGAGAGAAUUUGACUGUGUAAGAUAUGUUCUUUGCAAAAUCUCCUUUCUCUAAAUGUUUUGAUGUAUGCAUCAACGAAUCAUCCUGAUAUAAAUUCAUUUUCAAGAAUGAUCUUACCACUGUUCAACAACCAACAAAAGCACAAAAUGCACAGCUGCGUAGUAUAAUCCCGCAAAAAUGCAGCAAGAAAAUCUUGAAGAAAUUAUGACGAGAAAAAAAGCAAAAAAGCAAACAGUAAAUAGUAGUCACGACAAGAAUAGAAAGCCAACAUAUAAAUCUGACCCACAUAUCCCUCAGAAUGCCUGGUAUCAACAACAAGUCAUAAAAUCCCGGUUCCUCAACCUCACCAACAUACUUGAUGAGAGAGCACCAGUUAUCCAUGAUUCUAAUGGCUGUUCAGAUUACUAAACUUUUCAUCACAGGGAUACUGGAUCAUGUCAAAAAAUAAAAAAAAUAAUAAAAAUAAUAAAAAAGGAGAAUAAACUCAAUCUCUCGAUCCACGAACUCUAGAAAAGUACAUCAAUCUUUCAUAUCCUAUACAAAUUCACAUGUCAUAGAAGUUCUAUUUGUGUAACUCUAUUCGGACAGCAACCUUCUAAUUACUGUUCCAAUCUGUUCCUUUUUAAAGUUUCAGCUUGGUAUCAGAUGCAUAUUUGCAAAACUGAGGUGACGAACAAUAUGAUUGAAUGAUUGAAUUAUCAGUAAUUUAAUCGUUAACUAAGCCAUCCUAUGAGUAUAAAAUGGAAACAAGAAAAUAUGAUCAAACAUAAGGAAUACAAACAAUAUAGACCAUCAUCGCCUAUCUUUCAUCAUCGGAACCAGCCAACCAGUAUAUUAUCUUCUUAUCCAACUCUAAUAACAGUGAGAAGUUUAGGAGAGUUGCCAGGAUACUUGUUAUCCAACUCGAAUUACGGCAAGAGGUUUAUGAGGGUUGGAUUCGGUGCUAUCAUGGAGUAACUACAAUGAGGGUGCAAGCAGUUUUGACCUCUCUUGCAUACGAGUUGGCUGUCUUCCAAUUUCUCGUCGAGGAAUACAUUUACAUAUGCAUGGUGAAGAGAAAUCGUCAAAGGGAUUAACGUACUAGUUUAUCCCAUUGUUAUGUGACUUGCCAAUAUGGCUAGUUUUGCAAAAUAUAAUGUAGAAUGCAUCCGCUCCUGAUCACUGCCAUGCUAAAACUGAUUGUAACCUUCUAAUUGAAGAAUGUACAUUCUACCACUGUAGACCAGCUAUUGGGAGUUUUCAAAUUCGAAAGUUAAUACUUGUAUUGACACACAAAAGCAGGUCCAGCAAAUUUAUACAAUCCUCAAAGCUAAUUAAAGAUAAAAUAUGACUAUGUUACACUGUAGUUGCCAGUCCCUUUACUCCAAGGCCUAGUUUGGUAUUGCAUUUCCAAAAGCUCCCACAUUCAUGCUUUGGAAGGUCCAAAAACUCCAAACGCGUUUUCAAUCUUCCCUUCUCGAAGUGCUUUCAAUCUUCCCUCCUCUUAUAUUAUAAAACUGUCGUGGCAACCAUCUUAAAAGAAGCAUGUAACCACAAGUUUCUCCAAUGGCAGCUAUCACCACAAUUUUAUAGCAUAGAAGGGAAAAAGGGAAGAGUUUUUACUCUUUUCUUUUCGUUUGGUGUGUGUGUGUUUUUUUUUUGUGGGGGGGUGUUGGGUUUGUUGGUGGUGGGGGUGAGGGGAGGAUGGGGUUGUCUAAAGCCUGAUCGCAGGUGCUUUUAGCCCCCACAAUACCAAAGAGGCCUAUGACUAAGUAUAGACUACAAUCUAACAUAAACCAUAAACCAAUGAAUGUAAUGAGAGAAUAAAAAAAGUAUUUGUUUCUCAUAAAAACCCUUUGUUGUAACUAUCUGGCAAACUACACAUCCCAUUUCAGUUUUCUCUUUUUUAAUUUCCUUUCUAGAAUGGACAAUUCUGCUUCUUUUUCCUGUUUUUUUUUUCAAUUUAUUCUCUACGACUGUUUAUUAUGGACGGCUGAAUGGCCGCACAUUUAGAAUGGAUCCUUUUCACUACAUAUUCCAUGGCUACAAACCCAAAGGUCAAUAUACUACAUAUUCCAUGGCUACAAACCCAAAGGUCAAUAUAGCUACCAGUUGUUGGCACUAAUUUACUGCCUUUGAUAUACAAUGUACAAUUUAACUUGGAGUUCACGGGAGCCUUCUGACUAUACUGGAGUUGCAUUCAGUGCAAUAAACAGAGACAACUAAGAUAAGUUAUAGACAGGAAAGAAAUUACAAGAUGAUGAAACUCAAGUGAAAAGAAAACUAAACAUCGCAGAGAGGUUUCAAAAUAUAGCGUAGUUAUAAAUAAUAGCGAACGAAAUAAAAAAACAACACCAAAUCCAAGCAAGUAACAAUAGAAUGAAAGCAACAAAUGCUACAAACUAGUACUUCUGAAAUACGAUUUAAUACAAACUGCAUUAGAGUUCUGGACUACAGGUAUCACAUAAGAGACUAAGCAAAAUAAAGAGGUAACGAAAGAAAAGAAAUCUAAGCCUAUCCGUUCUAUAGCACAUCUUAACACAGGUCCAAUUAGUCGGAAGAAAGUGGUUACUACUCUAAGCUACAUAAAUUGAAAAAAAUAUACUAGGAGCACAUACAUGACAUUAUUAAUUUAGAAGCACGGCAAACUAGGUAGCUGAUGAUGAUGAUACAGAUUGAGAUAUCGUGAAAUUAUCAUUUCCUGCUAAUUCUUCAAAUAUGUUUUGGACAAGGAAACUCCUCAUCAUCAAGAUAGCUCAAUCUAAUUUCACUGAUGAGAAGAGGUAGUGAACAAACCAGAAAGAAGAAAGGAAUCCGACUGUGCCAGUGGCAAGCAUGACAGCAAUGACCAUGAAGAGCGAGUAGCCUAAGUAGAGGGUCGCUGAAAUAGGCCCGCUUAAGCUCUUGAGAUCAAAAACAAGAUAGUUGACCGAGUACAAGAAGAUGUAGAUUGCUACCGAGCCCGAUGCAAAGAAUGACUUCCACCACCAUUUCCAAUCCUCCACGCAAAGAUGCAUGUAAGUGAGAACUAAAGAGACCUCCGCACAUACAACAACAAGAAGUAUCAACACGACGAAGAGAAAGCCAAAUACAUAAUAUACACGGCCCAUCCAAAUGCUCGACAUUAUGAAGAAUAACUCGAUGAAAAGGGUGCCAAAGGGUAGCGUUCCUGCUCCAAGCACUAACAACCAAGAUGGGUACUUUUGAGGAGGGAUUUCGCGCGGAAUUUGGUUCGUCCGAACGGGGAAUUCAAUGUGCGGAGCCUUUGCCCCAAGAGAUCCACCGAGAAGAGUGAGAGGGACCGAAAUGCAGAACCAAAGCAAAAGCAGGAUGACGAACAAAGAGAAGGGAAUCGCGCCGGUGCUGUGGCUACCCCACAAGAGGAAAUUGAGAGUGGUGAGAAUCAGAAAGGCAACGCCGGGGAAGAAGCAAGCGACGCGCCAGGAAACCGACACCCAUCCGGAGUGAUCACCGCCCUUUAUCGUCUUCCAAAGCCUAACAGCAGCAUACCCAGCCGCGAUUCCGAGAACCAGGUAGAAGAAGAGCAUCCCGGUGACGAGAGUUCCCCUCGAGGCGGGCGACAUGAACCCGAGCGCGGCAAACAGAAUGGUCACCACCGCCAUACCCAGAAUCUGAACCCCGUCCCCGACCAUCGCGCAAAGCAGCAGCGGAUGGCUCGGCGCCCUGAACACAUCGCCGACCACCAGCUUCCACCCCGAGAGCUCCUCGUUCAUCUGUUCCUGCGCCUCCUUGUCGAGCUCCUCGUACCGCGCCAGAUCCCUCCGGACGGUCCUCAGCAGGAUCACCAACACGAUCCCCGCGAGGAACGCGAUCACCAUGAGCGAAUUGAGGAUCGAGAACCAGUGAACCUUGGCCCCCUCCAUCUUCAGAUACGCGUCCCACCGCGACGGCCACUUGACGUCGCUCUCGACGAAGGCGACCUCGUAAGUGAACACGAUCGGCUGGUUCUCCCCGACGGCCAUGGCGACCACGGAGGGAUCGCACUCGAUCCUCCCCGGGUACUUAUCGUACAUCCUCAAGCUCUUCACGGACUCCGAAUCGUGCGCGACGCUGCAGGGCACGACCUCGAACCCGACGACCAUCCACCCGGGGGGCUCAUUUUGCGUCUUCUCCUCGUACCUAUGCACCAACACCGUAAACUUCAAAUGAUUGAACACGUAGUAGGCGCCGCCAUCGCGGACAUGAAUUCCGACCGGAUAACCGGUCCACCGGAGGGAGUAGCCGUCGUCGUUCCUGGUGUAGCGGAUCGCGGGGAGGUUGUCGAGGAUGAGAUUGACCUGGUACAGCUCGUCGAUCCGCUCCUUGAGGAGGGCGAGAGCGUCGGGGGCGAGCGGGUCGGAGCGACACAGCAUAACAGCGGAGUCGUUGACGUGCAUGUUGAAGCGGUAGGGGGAGUUCUCGAUGCGGUCGCCGAGGAGGAUCUCGCCGAGGUUCUCGGCGCUGUCUUUGAUGCCGCCGGGGGGGCGGCAGAAGAAGGGCAGAGAGUAGUAGCCGAAGGGCAUCUCGGUGCCGACGGAGGUCAGGGAGUUCACCUUCACGGAGAGGGCGUCGCCGGCGGCGUAGCGGUGCGGGUAGCUGCCGGGGAGGUAGAAGGCGGCGGCGAGCGGGAGGGCGGAGAUGAAGGAGAAGAUGAAGACCGCGGCGAGCGGGAAGUGAAACUUCAUCUUUGAUCCGGCGAGGAAAUGCGGUGUGUAGGGUUUUUGGGGCAGAGGAAGAAGAGAGGGGUCGGAGUGAAUACUUGUCGGUGAUGGAGGGGCAUUUACAACUAGUGCAGUUGCACCCACCGUUCCGGGAGCAUGUGGCAAAGAAUUUGACGGUUGGACUUCAAAAUUUAAAUUUGAAUUCUAAUUGAUUCAUCUUUCUAACUAAAUUUAUUUUUAAAUAAAAUAAAAAAAUUUCAAAAAUCUCUCUUCGUAGUUUUUCACUUUGCCCCCCUGUGAUUUAAAAUGUAUUAAUUUGCCCCCCUGUGGUUUUUCUUUUUUCUCUUUUUCUUAUCAAUUUUAUUAUAUUUUUUUUUAAAUUAGUGAUAAAGUUAAAAUUAAAGAGUACUAAAAUAAAUAUUUGAUAAAUUUAAAUGGGUAUCUGAAGUUUUUUAUAUAUAAUUUAAUGAAAUAUUAACGAAAAAUCUACCGAAAAGAUAAAAACCAAACCACAUGGGGACAAAUUAAGAUAUUUUAAACCACAGAGGGGCAAAGUGAGAAACUACAAAACCACAGGGGGGUUUUUGAAGUUUUUUUUAAAAUAAACGAAACGGAAAGCGUGCUACCUAUCUCUCUCAAAAGAAAAAAAAAAAAAGGAAAACUAAAAAACUAGUGCAGUUGUAAAAUUAGGUAAUUUCAAUUUUUGUCUAUGAAAAUAAUUGAAUAUGAUUUGUGAUUUAUUUAUACUAUAUGUAAUGCCGCGCAAAUACAGAUGAGAUAAAUGCUCGCAAGGAGUCGCACAAGUCGAAAUGCUCGCAAGGAGUGCAGAGUAGUAGGUCUUUUGUAAUCACUUCCCACCGAACCGGAGUCCAACCAGAAUAUUUGGUUCGGUUCAAGUUUGAUCGGUAGAAACUCGUACACUAAACUAGCUGCAUUUUUUUUUGUAAUAAGCAUUAGGCUUAAUUACAGAAGAGUUCUCUCAUAUAAAUGCCCAUUUUCACUUUUUUUUCUAUAAAAAAAUAAAUUUUAAUUUAUUUCUGUCAUUUUGAAGGUCAUUUUCGGUAUAAUAUAAGAAAUAAACGGAAUAAUAAUGUAACCCUGAUGUAAGGGAGGCUAAAACCAACAACUUGAAAUAUUGAUGAGAUAAGAAAAAGUAAAAAACGGAUAUUUAUAGAGAAAUUUUCUGUAAUUUAGCCUAAGAAUUAUGCUAAAAUAAAAUUCAUAAAAAAAUUUUUGCAAAUGCUUUUAUUUUUAUUUUUCACUCUGACUUUUAAAACCUUUAUAUUUUAUCUUCUUAAAAUUUUAAAAUUAUAUUCAAAAGAUUAUAGUAUUAAUGGAAAGGGCAAAAUGAUCAAAUUAUCUUUACUUGUUUUAUAAAAAAAAAAUAUUUUUUAAUAUUUUUAUAGAUACUUUUUAUGUAAAUUAUAAGAAAUAGGUGGAAUGGUGAUGAUUAAAUAUAUCAACUUAAAAUUUUGAGAAGAUAAAUUUUUGAAAGUUAUGAAAAAAAAAAAAAAAAAAACAGAUAUUCACAAACGAAUUUCUGUAUUUUAGCCUAAAAGUUAAGUUAGAAUAGUCUUCAAAGAUAAAUAAUUAUUUUACUAAGAGACACUUUCAAAUACUAAGUUUUUGAAUUGAAGAUAUGUACAGUUAAAUACAUUAUAAAAAAAAUUAUUAUCUAAAUCACUUUAGCUUAAAAAUCCUAACCACUAUUUGCACAACGAUGGUGUACUUAAUUAUUUUUGGCCAAUUUGCAUAAAAAAUCUACUUAUUUUGGGCUUUUGCAAAACCGGGUCAUCUUUUUCGUUUUUGCAGAUUCAGUCCGCUUUUUCAGCAAACUGGGCGGAAACGGUCCGUCUCGCUUCUCGCCCUCGCCUUUGCCCUUGCCCUCGUCCACGCACCCCCCACCUUCUUCGCCUCCAAUCCCGCCAAGACCGCGCCGCGACUUUUUUUUUUUUUUACUUUUUUCUUUUCUUUUCUUCUCCGACUCUUCUCCACCGUCUCCGACGACGACGCCUCUCUCGUCUUUCCCCGCCCUUCUCAUCUCUCCCUCUCCUUCAUUCUCUGCCGCCUCCGACGACGAUGCAUCUUCGCCGGCGCCGACGUCGACACUGUGGAGGUCACUACGGCGCUACAGGCUCGGAGCGGGGGUCCUUAGCGGCGUUGUCGCCGGCACCGUGGCUGUUGGCAGAGAGGGUGACAAAAAAAAAUUAUAAAAAAAACAGAAAAAAAAAUAAAGAUAAAAAAUCAUAUAAAAAGAAGGAUGAACAUGAAAUUGCAUCGUUAACUGCAAAAAAAAUUAUAAGUUGCACUACUUAAGAUGUAAACUGCAGCUUUAAGAUGAAAACUACACUCUUUAAACGAAAAUUACACUCUUUGAGAGAUAUUUACACUGUUUCUCUUCUUAUUACACUCUUUCAGAUGUAAACUGUAUUCAUUAAAAUGGAAGUUACACUCUUUAAAAAAAAGUUGCACUGUUUCUCGUCUUGUUGCACCAUUUUUCCUCUUGUUACACUAUUUUUUUAUCUUAAACUGCACCCUUUUAAAAGAUAUUUAUACUGUUUCUCCUCUUGUUGCACUGUUUCUCAUCUUGUUGCACCAUUUCUGUGUAAACAAGAGAAGAAAUAGUGCAACAAGAGGAGAAACUACACUGUUUUAAGAGAUAAAUAUACUGUUUCUCCUCUUGUUGCACCAUUUCUGUAUAAAUAGGAAGAGAAAUAGUGCAACAAGAGAAGAAACUACACUGUUUUAAGAGAUAUAUCUACUGUUUCUUCUUUUGUUGCACUGUUUCUCCACUUGUUGCACCAUUUCUGUGUAAACAAUAGGAGAAAUAGUGCAACAAGAGGAGAAACAAUGCAAUAAGAGGAGAAACUGCACCCUUUUAAGAGAUAUUUAUAUUAUUUCUACUCUUGUUGCACUGUUUCUCCUCUUGUUGCACCAUUUCUAUGUAAACAAUAGGAUAAAUAGUGCAACAAGAGGAGGAACAGUGCAAUAAGAGGAGAAACAGUAUAAAUAUCACUUAAAAGGAUGCAGUUUAAGAUAAAAAAUAGUAUAAUUUUCGUUCAAAGAGUAUAAUUUUUAUCUUAAAGCAGCAGUUUCCAUCUUAAAUAGUACAACUUAUAAUUUUUUUUGUAAUUAACGAUACAAUUUCAUCUUCAUCCUUCUUUUUAUAUAAUUUUUUAUCUUUAUUUUUUUUUCUGUUUUUCUAUAAUUUUUUUUGUCACCUUCUCUGCCAACAGCUACGGCGCCGGUGACGACGCCGCUAAGGACCCCCCCUCUCCGAGGCUGUAACGCCGCAGUGACCUCUACGGUGUCGACGUCGGCGCCGGCGAAGAUAAAUUGUCGUCGGAUAUGGCAGAAAAGAAGGGAGAGGGAGAGAUGAGAAGGGCGGGGAAGGGCGAGAGGCGUCGUCGUCGGAGACGGUGGAGAAGAGUCGGAGAAGAAAAGAAAAGAAAAAAGCAAAAAAAAAAAAGUCGCGGCGCGGCCUGGGCGGGGUCGGAAGCGAGGAAGGUGGGGGGUGCAUGGACGAGGGCAAGGGCGAGGGCGAGAGCAUGAGGGUGAGAGGCGAGACGGAUCGUUUCUGCCUCCGCUCUGCCGGCGAGAAAAAAAAAAAGAACAAGAGAAACGAAGAAGAGAGAGAAACAGGAAAGAGAAAAAGUAAUAAGGGUAUUUUGGUUAGUUUGCUGAAAAAGCGGACCGAAUCUGCAAAAACGAAAAAGGUGGUCCGGUUUUACAAAAGUCCAAAAUAAGUAGAUUUUUUAUGCAAAUUGGCCAUUAUUUUUCCUUCAAUCAAUUGUCUUAUUUUGGUACAGUUUUUAUCCACAAAUUGUACAAAUGGUACCAAACCGAAUCGUCAACACACCCACAAAUUCCUAUGGCUUGGUCUAAAAAUGGUUUUUUAUAUUCUUUUACGUAACCCUGUAUAUCAUUUUCAUAUCCACGUAGUCAUUUAUUGUGAAUUAAGCAACAUUUAUAUAGCAUACGUUUUGUUGGGUUUCAUUAAAAAAAAAAAAAAAGAAAAAGAAAAUACGAAUGGCAUUGUUCCAACUAUUGUUUUGUUUUUAUUUUUUAAUGGAAAAACUUCAAAAAACCCCCUUGUGGUUUCACUUUUUUUCACUUUAGUACCCUGUGGUUUAAAAUGUAUCAAGUUAGUACCCUGUGGUUUAUCACUUUAUCACUUUAGUACCCUAUGAUUUAAAGUGUAUCAAGUUAGUACCUUGUGGUUUUGCACUUUAUUACUUCAGUACCCUGUGGUUUCGCACUUUAUCACUUUAGCAUCCUGUGGGUUUAAAAAUCACAUGGUACUAACUUGAUACAAAAUUAAAACCACAGGGUACUGAAGUGAUAAAGUGCAAAACCACAGGGUACUAACUUGAUAUACUUUAAACCACAUGGUACUAACUUGAUACACUUUAAAUCACAGGGUACUAAAGUGAUAAAGUGAUAAACCACAGGGUACUAACUUGAUAUACUUUAAACCACAGAGUACUAAAGUGAUAAAGUAUGAAACCACAGAGGGGAUUUUUGAAGUUUUCCCUUUUUUAAAACGUUUUUUUUUUGCUUUUUAGGUGAUGCAAUUUAGGUGCACGAAUACCCUUUGACAUCGAGAACUAUUGUUUGCAAAAGAUUGGAUCUUUGGUCCUUAAAUUAUGACAUGGGUGACAUUUUUGUCCUUAAAUAUUAAUUUAUUUUAUUUUUUGAAUCGAAUUUUAAGAAUUAUUAUAAUUUUAUAAUUUAAUUUAGUUGAUUAAAUAUUGACUCUGUACUAAUAUAAAAAUAAUAUGAUAUUUUAAUUAUUGACAUAUUAUUACUAAUCACAAUGCUAUUAUAUUACUUUCACAUUAAUAAUGCACCAAUAUUAUCUCUAAAAAAAUAAUAAUAAUAAUACACCAAUAUUUAGUCAACUAAAUUAAGAUACAGAACUUAAUUAUAAUAAUAUUUAAAGUAGUAGCUAGAAAUUAACUAUAAUAAACUAAAAUUUAAGGAUUGAAGUGUCAUCACCGUCAUAGUUGCUAGUUGAGGACCACGCAGUCAAUGUACCAGUACUGGAAUAAGAAAAGUUUCUUUGAGUGGUUAAAUUUAAAUUUUGAAAUACUAGUUACAAUUAAAAGUUAUGCUUUGAUUUUAUAUAUAUAGAGAGAGAAGAGAGAAAUGAUUCGGUACCUUACUUUAUAAAAAAUAAAAAAAAAUCUUAACCCUUGAUUAAUGAAGGUUAAAAAUAUCAUUUUAUUAUGUAGUAGGUUAAAAGUUUAUUUUAUGUGAGGGUAUUUUUAUAAUUAAACUAAGCAAAAUUUUAAAAAAGUUUUGAAUAAUAUCCCAAAUUUAGCAUAAAUUUUACAACUAAUUUAAGCAUUAAUUUAAAACAUGAUUGAUAUCCCAAAUUUUAGCAUUAAUUUUAGAAAUUUUAGAAUUCUUCUAAUAUAGGCAUUAAUUUAAAUUUUAGGAAUUUUAGAAAUAGCAGUAAAUAUGUUGAAUUUAAAUAUUUAAUAUUUAAAUUUAAAAUUAAAUAAGAGAAAUUUUGUAUUACUAUUUUAACAAAUUUAAUGUUGAUAAUAAUGAAUUCAACAUAUUUAAUUUGUUUAAGAAAAUUUUAAAUUACUCUAGUUUAGAUAUUAAUUUUUUAUCACAAUCUUUAAAAAAAUUUGAAUGUAGGUAAAAAAAAUUAAAAUUCAACGUAUUUAAUAUAUUGUAAUAUUUUUUAAUAAAAUAUUUGCGGAUUACGGAUAUGAAAUGAUAAAAUAUCUUUGGGUUAUGGAUGUCAAUAGUUACGAAUAUCCAUAAUUUUAUCUGAAUCCGAAUCCAAAGCCGAAAGCAAACGUAGUAGAUUUACCUAUGCUUAAUGGAUAUAGUUUUGGAUGUGGAUAUAAAAAAUGAAAAUCCGAUGAAUUUAAAUUCGGAUGCGGAUUUUGAUUAUAUCUGAUCCGAACCUAAAACCGACCGAAACCAAAAUUUAUUUUACAUUAUAUAUAAUAUAUAUAAAUGUUUGAUGUUAUAGCUGAAUAUGUAUUUUUAAAAUUUAGAUUUAAUUUAAUAUAUUUUAAAAUAUUGUAAAGAAAAAUAAAUGUUUCGAGUUCGGAUUUUCAGGUUCGGAUUAGGGUCGGGUUUUGGAUUUUUAGUCAGGUACGGGUAUAAAUAUGAUUUUCUAAAAUUCGUCGGAUUUGGGUUCAGGUUCGGGUUUCAGCCGAUUUGAUAGUCGAGUUUGUGUUUGGGUUCGAAUUUUUAAAAAUUUGCUCAGAAUCCUACCCUUUUAUAUCUGUACUGUAGAUGAAGAGGAAAGAUAGAGAGAGAAAAAGAAAACAAAAAGAGAAUAAAGAUUUGAUUUUUUUAUAGUGGAGAUAAAAUUACUAAAUUAUCCAUAUAUUAAAAGACCAAAAUAUCUUUUUUGGGGUAUCUGGUAAUCGGUAUCUCUCUCAAAGUGACUUGUUAUUGCGGGUCAUAAUUUUAAAAAAAAUUAAAUCCGAACUGUAGAAUAGAAAUGACUGAAUAAUAUCAAAAACUAACAAAUAUAGAAACAUUACUCAUAUAUAUAUAUAUAUNAGUCCGGCUACUAUACUCUUAGGAGUACGAUCGACUUCGUACCCAUAAGUUGUUUUCGAUGAUAGAGCUUCCGAAUCGACGAUCCAUACCGUUAAACAUUAUCUAGAGCAUUUAAAAUUUCUAGAAAUCAAAUUUUAUAAUUUUUUAAUAUCAUUUACCUUACGAUUAAAAGCUCACAAAAUUGACAAUUUUUAAUGGCCGGUAUGAGAUAUUUACUAGUUUAACGGUGAAAUAGAAUCGGCUGUAGUAUCCUUGGUAUUCUGCAGCCGUGAGAUUUCAGCAUCUGAGACUUGUCGACACAUCUGAAGAGUGUCAGGACAAGUCCGAGUCGUUUUGGCGUGAUAUAGACGCAAAACAGACUCAGUAUGACGCGAGAGCAGGAAUUUAGCACUAAAAUCUGCAAAUUGCAGGUUGUCAGCAUUGAAUACUGGUACUACACAUGGGAGUACCGGUAUCCCAGUCUAAUUUUUUGAUUUAUGCUCUCGGGUUGCGAAGGCUGAUGCGGGGUACGGGUACGGCAUCGGCCUGGUACCAGUAUUCCAGGGUAGGUGAGGAGCCUUUUGGUCUUUUGAUGCCUCGAUCAUUUCACCCUUAUCUCCCGCCGCCUAUAUAGUAUAGAGGAUUUGAGAGAGAGCUUUUGUUUACUCUUCCCUCUCUCUCUCUAGAUUGAAGCCGUGCGCUUGGUGGUGGUCGCGGUUGGAGCUCGGAUCGACGUCGACUUCACGCCGGGGAACCGUUUGAGCACGUGAGCGUCGUAGUUGCAUCGUUGGGAGGCCGAGUGAGCGCGUGGUUCCUCUUCUGUCGACUUUUUGCCGGAGUUGAAUUAGCAUUCGAGGUGGGUUGAAGUUUACCGAAUUCUUCGAAUUUCCUCCUAAGCCUAGUUUGUUGUCAGCAUGUAUUUUUGGCUUCGUAUAUUAUGUUUAGUAGCUCGAUUCGUCGAUUUGCAUUGUUCUUCAAUGAAAUCUGAAUUAGAGAUUUAGUUUAUUAUACAUAUUGGACUUGGAAUUGACUUAGGAGAAAACUAUAGGUUCUACACUGUCAUUUUCUUAAAACUAUCAGAUUUAGCUUUAGGAGCCGCAGUUUGUUUGUAUCGGCGCAGUUUGUAGGCGGUAGAUACCGAGAAUAGUGUAGAAUGAAUUUACGCUCGUGCUGGAAUACCGAGUUUAUUUUUACAGUAGUGUAUAGACUGUUCCGGACUGUCGAGUGCCGUCGCGGCUGACAGUGGACCCAGAUUUCUGUAUUUUGCAUAAAAUUGUGCCGAGGGCACGUGAGUUAUGGUUGUUAGACUAGUUAGACACUUCUGCUUUGACUAUAGUCUGUGAGAGCCUGAUUGAGCUCGGUAGAGAUACGCUUGCAUACUCGAUUGGGUAACGCCCACGAGUGCCACUCCGGAGUCGGACUUUGUGCUUUUGCGUUGUUGUCAUUAUGUCCUGGUUGGACUCGCUCUCCACUGACGACUAAGCAUGGUGGUAGUUAGUAUAACUUCGACAUGCGGGACAGGUGUGUUCACAGUCCCUAGUGAGAUUAGGUCAGAGUUUGUGUAGUGACCCUGGAAUUCAGCAUUUGAGGCUUGUCGACAGCUCUGGAUAGUGUCGGGAUGAGUCCAAGUCCUAUUAGCGCGAAAUAGAUGCAAACUGCACUCAGCGAGACACGAGAGCAGAGAGUUAGCAUUGCAAUCUGCAAAUUGCAGAAUUUCAGCAAUUGGUACCGGUACCACAUAGGGGCGUACCGGUACCCGGUGCAAUUUUCUGCGCAGACUGCUCUCGGGUUGCCCAUUCUGCUGCGCGGUACCGUUACAACAUUGGAUUGGUACCGGUACUCCAGGGUUGGUGAGGGGCUGAAUGGUCUUUUGACUGCCUCGUUGUCUUCACCCUCACCUACUCUCCUUAUAUACGUGUAGAGGAGCAAGGAUGGAGGGUUUUGCAGCUUCUUCUUCUCCUCUCUCUCUAGCUUGUGCCGUACGUGGUGGAGCUCUCCGGUGGAAUCGGAGCGACGUCGACGUUGUGCCGCGGAGCCGUUCGAGCGUGCGUUCGUCGUGGUAGCGUCGUGGGAAGGCCGAGCGAGCGUGUGGUUCCGCUUUUGUCAACUUCUCGCCGUUGUUGGACGCGCUUUCGAGGUGGGUCAAAGUGAUGCUUACGGAAUUUCGCGGAUUUUCCUCCUAAUUCUAUAUAUUGACAGCAUGUGUUUUUUUAGCUUCGUUUAGCAUAUUGUUUAGCUCAAUAUUUGGAUUUGCAUGUUAUUGAUCUUGAAUUGGAGCUUAAAAUACUAGCUAAAUUAUACAUGUUGGACUUGAUUUUUGACUUAGGAGAAAACUGGCGUUUCUACACUGUCAUAUGUUAAAACUACCAGAUUUAGCUCUAAGAGCCGUAGUUUGUUAGUAUCGCCGCAGUUUGUGGGCGGUGAAUAUCCAGAAUAGUGUAGAAUAUAUUUACGCUAGUGCUGAGGUAUCGAGUGUAUUUUUACAGCAGUAUUUAGGCUGUUCCGGAUUGUCGGUGUCGUUGAGGUUGACGGUGGACCCAGAUUGCUGUUUUUGCAUCAGAUUCUGCCGAAGGCACGUGAGUUCAGCUGUUAGACUCUGUUUACUUGACUAUAGCCUAUGAGAGCCUGAUUGAGCUUGACAGAGACAUCCUUGCAUACUCGGUUGGGUAGCACCCAUGAGUGCCACUCCAGAGUCGAGCUUUGUGCGUUUGCGUUGGUGUCGUUUUGUCCUAGUUGGACUUGCUCUCCACUGAUGACCUGGUUUGGUGUCAAUUAGUGUAGCUUCGACAGGCGAAUUGUUGUGUUAGAGCAUGAUAGUAUGGUGGCAUUUAGUUGUAGAUUUAUUCCAGCCUUCCUUACUAUCCCUACUUACUUCUGUAGACUUAGUGGGUGAGCCAUUGAGGUCGGUAGCGGUGCCCACUGAGGACUAUUUCUUUUUGCAGUAGUUCUCAUGCCUAGUUGUUGAAACCUUUUGCAGAGCCAUCUUCUUCAACUGCUGUUGCUGCUGAGUCUGAUCGUGGAAAGGGCGUGGCGAGUUAGAGCCCUUCCUGACGAGUUGCAGAGCUAGAGGAGUAUCAGCUAUAGAUAGUUGUAGUUUUUGGGUUAUGAUACAUACUAAUGCUUGUAUCUCGCUGGAGCGAGUAUUUUUUUGUUUACCUGAAUGUGACGUACGUAUAGUGAACCUCUGAUGUUAUAUAUGUUUUAUUUCGGCAGCUCUAUACUGCUGGUUGUAGUGUUGUAUGAUUACAGGUACACCUAUCGCUUCGUAUAUAGGAAAAGUUUUUUUUAUACGACGGAUUUGUCGGCGUGCCCGGGGAAACGAGUAAUCCGGGGCGUGACAGUUUGCAUUUUCUACAGAUAGUUAGUGUUGGUUAGCGAUAGUAUAAUAACAUAUAGUUGUAGAGUUUUUUCAGCUUCCUUUACUAUUCUUGAGCAUACCUUCUGUAGACUUAGUGGGUGAGCCGUUGAGGUCGGUAGCAGUUCCCACUGAGGACUACUUCUUUUUGCAAUAGUUCUCAUACCUAGUUGUUGACCCCUUUUUGCAGAGCCUCCUUCUUCGGCUGUUGCUGUUGCUGUUGCUGAUUCUGAUCGUGGAAAGGGAGUCGCGAGCUAGAUCCCUUCCAGUUUUGUUGCUGCUUAAAGGAGUACCAACUACAAGUAGUUUUGGAUUUUUGGGUCAUGUACAUGCUGAUGUUAGAUCCUCGCUGGAGCGAGUAUUUUGUAUCUGGAGACUAUGUAUGUAUUGUGAACCCGAUGCUUAUUUUUAUAUGUUACAGUUCUGUUAGCAGCUCUAUACUAUUAGUUGUAGUUUUGUAUGAUUAUAGGUACAGGUACAGCUAUCGCUUCGUAUAUAGGAAAAUUUUUUUUUAUACGGCGGAUUUGUCGGCGUGCCCGAGGAAACGAGUAAUCCGGGGCGUGACAUCGGAAUAGCUUGGAUUUUUGAUAGAAAUUUCUAUUCACUACCUAAAUAAAGAUCAAUAACUCCGAUCUUAAAUUGAAAGAUCCGAUCAUCUAUUUUUAGGAUGUCGUUCUAUACCCCCUUGAUAGACUUUAUAAUGAUUUCGAAAAAUUACGAAAUUUAUUUUCUAGAAGUUUCAAAUACUCUAAAUCAUGUUUAAUGGUGUGGAUCCUCGAUUUGAAGAGCCCAACAGCGAAAACAACUUAUGAGUACGAAGGGCUGUAUACUCAUAAGAGUAUAGUAGCCCUACUAUAUAUAUAUAUAUAUAUAUAUAUAUAUAUAUAUAUAUAUAUAUAUAUAUAUAUAUAUAUAUAUAACUAGGCUGGAANUUUUUUGAAAAAAUAAUUAGCAAAGUACACAUUUUCAAAAUAAAAAGUAUUAGUACAAAUUAGUAAAGAUUUUUUUUUAGAGAAAAUAUAAUAGCAUUCUGUUACUGUUCACUUCGUUUAUCUUUUUAAAGAGAAUAAACUCAUUUAGAACUAUUUAUUUAGUGUUUAAUUUGAGUGCACUUCGAUGUGACACGCACCGCAAGACCAAAUUAUCUCCACGUGCUUGUUUGACUAUGUGGGCUAAUGCUAGAAACGAAAGAUGCAAACAAAUUUAAUUUGGUUGAGCUAUGAAAAGCACUUGUUACUAUCAAUUAGGUUGGUGAACUUCCCAAUGAAUUGAGGUCUAAAUAAUGUAGACAUAAUAUAUAUAUAUAUAUAUGUUUUAUUAGAUCGAGUAUCUAUAUAGUGUUCUAGGGAGUCAAAAUCUAGUUUACUAGCUCAUUCAUUGGCUUCCAUGCUAUAUAUAUAGGUUUCCAUGGUUUCUUAGCAUCAAAGAAGAGAAAAAAAUAAAAAGGAGGGAUCUAAUUAUGCACUAAUAAUAUAGAUCUAAUCAUAUUCAUUUUUGAAAAAAAAAAAACUUAUAUAUAUAUAUAUACCACAUAUAUAUUUUUAAGAACACAAUUCUACUGUUUGAAGUGCAGAAAUUUACAAUAUGCAGAAUUAUAAAAUACAAAAAUUAUAUCUAUACUUCCUAUGAGUAAUUAUUUUUUGGUGUUUUCUUACCGUGAUUCUAUUAAAUUAGAAUGUUUGUUCAAAUAGGAAAAGAUUUUUAAUACCUAAGGCAAUGUUUUUUUAUUGUGUUUUAUUUUUUUUAUCUUUUUAAAUAAAGUUUUGUAUAUCAAAAGAUAUAGAAGUGAACAGUGUAUUGCUUGCAAUGCUUUUAUCCAAAAUAUUUACUUAACAAUAAAAAAUUAAAUCUUAAAAAUAAUUUUUUUUUCUUUCAUUUUUUUUUAAAAAAUUGUCAUUCAUUACUGGACUGGAUACAUUGUAAGCUAACUCACUAUAGAAAUAAAAAAAAAAAAGUUUUUUCUUCCAAUACAUCAAAUUAUAUAUAUAUAUAUAUAUAUAUAUAUAAUGUUAAAAAAUAUAAAAAUGAUAAUGAUACCAAACAAGUCCUGAGUUUUAUAUUUUUAUAUUUUUGAUUCUCUUAUUUUACAUUUCUUAAACAAGGCUGCCAAGUGACAACUGAGUUGCAUGUUUGUCUCUGAUCUAAGCUUGAACAGCAGUAACAGGAAAAUUCAUAAUUCAUAAUUACAAUAUUUGAAAAUACAACAAUGAUUAAUAUGAUUAAUCUAUGGAAACAAUGAUUUUGAGGUCCCACCUUAAAAGGGACACAACAACAACUUCAACUUAGCCCCCACAUCUUUCAAAUAAAUACAAGUUGUUAGAUUAAAAAAAUGAGCAGGAAAAUGAAAGGGAAAGUUCCUUUGAAUAGCUUUAUACAUAUGGGCCUUACUGAAGGAAAAAAAUUGCAAUGGACCCCCAUAUAUAUAUAUAUAGAGAGAGAGAGAGAGAGAGAGAGAGAGAGAGAGAAAGAGAGAGUGAGGCUAGUAUGCUUCUGGAAGCACAGAGUGCUCCGUGCUUUCAAGUCGUUUUCGACGUUAGGACUUUCGAAUCGAUGAUCGGCUUCGUUAGAGUGCCUAGUGAUUGAAGGGGCUCAAAAUCAACGGCUGAAAAUAAAAAUCUUACAAAAUUUAUUUUCUCGGUACUUUAAAUACUCUAGAUCACUCUAUAUAUGUAAUAUACUGAAUCUUAGCAAAUUAGCAAGGUUACAGUAUAAGUUAUGCUUGAUUGAGUUGGAGACGUUUUGCGCAAAAUAGACGUAAAAGCGGACUUUGAAACUUAAGAUUUAUAUUGUAGAGGACUAAAGUUGAAUGCUAGAGUAGGUGAGGGGCUUUUGGACAAUUGUUUCCUUUCAACCUUAUCCCCACCGCCUUAAUUAGGAUAGGGAGGCUGUAAGGGAUUUAAUUAACUUUCUUCUCUCUUUCACUCUAAUUUAGCUCGUGGGCACGAUGGAGAGCUCGAGCUCGGGAGAUUUUCGUUGUCGUUUCGGAGAGCCGUUCGAGCGUGCGUUCGUCGUGGUAGCGCCGUUGGAGAAAAUUGACUUUUCUACGCCGCCAUUUGAACAAACUAUCAGAUUUAGCUUUAGGAGCCGUAGUUUGAUUGUAUUAUCGCAGUUUGUGGGCGGUGGAUACCCAGAAUAGUGUAGAAUAUAUUUACACUCGUGCUGAAGUGCCGAGUGUAUUUUUACAGCAGUGUUUAGGCUGUUCAGAAUUGUCGGGUGCUGUUGAGGUUGACGGUGGACCCAGAUUGCUAUUUUUGCAUCAGCUUGUGCCGAGGGCACGUGAGUUCAAUUGUUAGACCCUGUUUACUUGACUAUAGCCCGUGAGAGCCUGAUUGAGCUCGACAGAGAUACGCUUGCAUACUAGGUUGGAUAGCGCCCACGAGUGCCACUCCGGAGUCGGGCUUUGUGCGUUUGCGUUGGUGUCGUUGUGUCCUGGUUGGACUUGCUCUCCACGGACUGCUUAGUGUGGAGGUAGCUGUUUAGCUUCAACAGGCUGGGACGGGUGUUUUCACAGUCCCUGGGACCGGUGUGUUCAUAGUCCCUAGUGAGAUUGGGUCAAAUUGUACUUUUCUACAGAUAGUGGGUGAUAGACCGGGAUAGUAUAGGUGCAUAUAGCUGUAGAUUUAUUCCAGCUUUCUUACUAUACUUGUUUACAUCUAUAGACUUAAUGGGUGAGCUGUUGGGGUCUGUAGCGGUACCCACUGAGGACUACUUUUUACAGUAGUUCUCACGCCCAGUUAUUGGAAUCUUUUGCAGAGCCUUCUUCUUCGGCUGCUGCUGCUGCUGAUUCGGACCGUGGAAAGGGAGUCGCGAGUUAGAUCCCUUCCCAGUUGCUGCUAAGCUAGAAUAUACUAACUACAGGUAGUGAUAGUUUUUGAGUUCAUAUACAUAAUUAUGUUCUAUCUCGCUGGAGCGAGCGUUUUGUACACCUGGAUUUGAUGUAUGUAUAGUGAACUUCUGUUUUUAUAUUUGUUCUCUUUUAGCAGCUCUAUACUACUGGUUGUAGUAUUGUAUGAUUACAGGUACAGCUAUCGCUUCGUAUACAGGAAAAAUUCCUUUGUAUAUGACGGAUUUGUCGGCGUGCCCGAAAAAACGAGGAAUCCGGGGCGUGACAAUAUAUAUAUAUAUAUAUAUAUAUAGAGAGAGAGAGAGAGAGAGAGAGAGAGAGAGAGAGAGAAAGAGAGAGUUUUGCUAGAAUACUAUUGGUAGUAAACGGCUCGGUUUACUACCGAUUUGUUUUCGAUGAUAGAGCUUCCCAAUUGAUGAUCGGCACCGUUAAACAUGAUCUAAACUAUUUAAACUAUCUGAAAAUCAAAUUUCACACAUUUUCGAUAUUGUUCUCUUGUCCAUCAAAUGAACAGAAAAAUGAAUGGCUGGAAAUGAAUAUCCUUCAAAAAGUUAUGAUACAAUUUUUAUAUUUGAGAUCUAGAGUCUAGAUCUUAUUUUAAAUAGUUUAAAAAAAUUUUUAACAAAAAUUUAGUCUAUACCGUUAAACGAGCAAACGCACCAUAUCGGCCAUUAAAAUUAUAGAUUUUGUGACCCUUUGAUCGUUCAGUUAGUGAUGCCAAAAAAAUCAUAAAAUUUGAUUUCUAGAUAAUUUAAAUGGUCUAGAUCAUGUUCAACGGUGCCGAUCGUCGAUUUGGAAGCUCUAUCAUAAAAAACAAAUCGAUAGUAACGAGCAGUUUACUACUGAUAGUAGCCCGGUCAAAACACUCUCUCUCUCUCUCUCCUCUCUCUCUCCUCCCUCUCUCUCUCUCUCUUCUCUCUCCCCUCUCGCUCUCUCUCUCUCUCCGUCUCUCUCUCUUAUAUAAUAUAUAUAUAUAUAUAUAUAUAUAUAUAUUAUGAUAGCUGGAAUAACUAUUAAUAGUAAAACGCUCUUUUUGCUAUCAAUUUUUCCUUGGAGAAAAAUUGUAAGGUCAGGAUGAUAUUAGUCGUUAGAGUUGAGGGUCCCCACUGGUUAUAGUAUUUAAUCCAAUGGUUAGAAAUAAUGAAAAGAGUUUAUCCAAAGGCUAAAAAACUGGUAGCAACAAUAGGAUUUUGCUACUAAUAGUAGCCCAGUCCAACUAAUAUAUAUAUAUAUAUAUAUAUAAUAUAUAUAUAGUGAGGCUAGUAUGCUUUUGGAAGCACGAAGCGCUCUGUGCUUUCAAGUUGUUUUCGAUGUUAGGACUUUCGAAUCGAUGAUCGGCUCCGUUAGAGUUGAUCUAGAGUAUUUAAAGUACCGAGAAAAUAAAUUUUGUGAUUUUUCAAUAUCAUAUGCCUAGUGAUCGAAGGUGCUCAAAUCAAUAAUUUUAAUGGCCGUAGUGAGCCGUUUGCAAGUUUAACGGUGUAUAAAUAUCCAAAUCACAUGAAAUUUUGAUAGAAAAUUUUUUAUACCAUAUAAAACAAGAUUAAUAACUUUGAUCUAAAAUUUUAAUGUCAUAUCAUCAAUAUUUGUAAGAUUUUUAUUUUCAGCCGUUGAUUUUGAGCCACUUCGAUUACUAGGCAAAUGAUACCGAAAAAUCGUAAAAUUUAUUUUCUAGAUAUUUCAAAUACUCUAGAUCAAGUCUAAUGGAGCCGAUCGUCGAUUCGAAAGUCCGAACAUUGAAAACAACUUGGAAGCACGGAAGCAUGCCAGACGCACUAUAUAUAUAUAUAUAUAUAUAUAUAUAUAUAUAUAGCAGGGCUGCUGCUCUGAGCCGUUUUUGAUGAUGGAGUUUUCGAAUCGACGAUCGGCUCGUUAAACUUGAUCUAGCGUAUUUAAAGUUUCUAGAAAAUAAUUUUUGCGAUUUUUCGAUAUCAUUUACCUAGCAAUCGAAAUGAUUCAAAAUCAAUAAUUUUUAACGACUGAAAAUAAAAAUUCUAUAAAAAGUAGUGUAUAGCACUAAAAUUUCGAUCAGAAAUAGAUCUUGUUGUAGAUAGUAUAAAGAAUUUUCUAUCAAAAUUUCAUCUGAUUUGAAUACUUCUACACCGUUAAACUUGAAAACGGCAGAUAUAAACCAUUAAAAAUUAUGGAUGUUGAAUCCUUUCGAUCACUAGGUAAAUAAUAUCGAAAAAUCACAAAAAUUAUUUUCUAGAAACUUCAAAUGCGCUAGAUCAAGUCUAACGGAGCCGAUCGUUGAUUCGAAAAUUCCAUCAUCGAAAACAGCUCAGGAGCACGGAGGCCUCCGUCUCCUGAGAGCACAGCAGCCUGCUCUCUCUCUCUCUCUCUUCCCUUCUCUCUCUCUCUCUCUCUCUCUCCUCUCUAUAUAUAUAUAUAAUUAUAUAUAUAUAUAUAUAUAUAUAUAGAGCUAGUCUCAUAUACUAUCUAUAUACCAAGGCUACCCGGUAUUAUAGUCUUGGUUUUGAUCUUAGGGUAUUCAAAUCAACGAUCCACACAGUUAAAACUGAUCUUGGGUAUUUAAAGUUUUUAGAAAUAAAAUUUUAUAAUUUUUCAACAUAAUUUACUUUAUGAUUAAAUCAUUUCGAAAUUGUCAGUUUUCAGUGACUACUAUAGCGAGUUUGGAGUUUAACUAUGUAGAAGAAUCUAAAUUUCUUCAAAUUUUGAUAGAAAAUACUUUAAACUAUCUAGAUUAAGGUUAACAUUCUUGAUCUUAAAUUUAAAAGUCCUAUGCUCAAAUUUUAAAGGUUAUUCAAUUUCCACCGUUCAUUUUAACAUACUUUAUUUACCAAGUAAACGAUAUCGAAAAAACUAAAAUUUUAUUCAUAAAAACUUCAUAUACCCUAAAUUUUAUAUAUAUAUAUAUAUAGGAAGGCCAAGUUCUCCCUUGCUUGUCCAGUUGGGUCAUGUUGUCAUCCCUCUAUGUACUCAAGCCCAAAAAUAAAAGCUUAAAUAUUUAAAUUGUCUAUUAUUAUUAUUAUAGUACUGGAACUGCUACAAUCUAUCUUCUAUAUUCUAUAUUCUAUAUAUAAAAGUUUAAUUUCGAAUGUUGAUGUGGAGGCUUCUCCUUAUUUUGGGCCAAGUGGAGCCCAUCUUCAACAAAAUUUUUUAUAUAUACAUAUUUAUGUAUAACUCUGGCAUCUGUUGCCAUUCUCCCUUCUUACGCUCUUCAUCUCCACAUUACAUUUUUUUAUAUAUAUAUGUAUAUCUCUAUCCAGCAAACUCAGGUUUAGUAAGGCUGCAGCUCCUCUCUCAACCUAUACCCUUCCACUAGGGUUUUUUUUUUUUUAUAUAUAUAUAUAUAUAUAUAUAUAUAUAUAUAUAUAUAUAUAUAUAUGUAUUUAUCUGAUGCGUCUAAUUUGGCGUUAGAAUUUAUGAAGAAGCUUGAUCUAAUCAAAUUGGACCAAAAAAUUUAGUGAAUUCAGCAAUUUUUACGAACAGUCCGAAAUAUUCUUUACAUCGUUAUAACUUUUUGCAUAGCUGUUUAUUUUCAGCAUGCAACUCUAAUUCGAAAACAAGUUUUCGAGAUCUAUGCGCGGAAUGGCGCGCAUUGCCAUUUUGGUCUAGGUUGGAAUCUAACUAUAAUUAUUUAGACCUUCCAAUUUAUCUUUUUUAGGCUGCUUUUUGAGAAGUUUUUAUAAUUUUUUUCUAUUUUGAGUCAGUUAGAUUAGUCAGUUAUAAUCUAUGGUAAAUUGCUCUACUAGCUUGAGUACUUUUACAGAAGUUGUACUACAGCUUCUAACAUUUUAAUGUGAAUUUAACUGUUUACAAACAUUUACAAAUGUAUCAAAUGAUCUAUUGUUAAAACUAUUGACUGAGAUUAAGAUAAUUUAUUAAACCCACAUUGGUAUCAAAAGUGCGAAUUAGGCCUUAUUUCGGAGCAAAGCUCAUUUUGAUAUACAAUUACUUUUUUUUUUUUUUCAGAUAGAAAGAAAUAUUUUACAAUUAAGUUUUCCAUCAAAAAAAAAUGUUACCGGAUAUUCGCUUAUCAGACUUUAUGCUACCAAAUUCAACUUUAAAUGACAACAGACGAAUUUGAUAUAUUUGUGAAAAUUCAAAAGAAACUAAAUGACUUGAGAAAAAUUAACGUAAACUAAAUGUGUCAAAAGAGUUAAUUAAAAGGAUUAAUUUCAUAUAGACUCCUACAAAUAUAUUUUUACAAAGUUCAACUUUUAUAUAUUGUUUCUGCAAAAGUCCUGAUAUUUUUUCAAAUAUAUCUUUCUAGUUUGUUACCAUUAAAAAAAUAUUUAUAUUUUAUAUUUUGCCAUCACAAAUAUAUCUUUCCGAAAGGCAUAACAGUAUAUUAUAAAAGUAUAAAAAUAUCAAAAACUAACCGAGCUAAAUUUUUCUAACAGAUUCUUACAGCAGGAAUAUAUUUGAAAAUAUCAAGACUUUUGCAGGAACAACGUAUAAAAGUUGAACUUCGUAAAAAUAUAUUUGGUAUUCACUAUAUUUACAGAAGCUUGUAUGAAAUUAAUCCUAAUUAAAAACAAUGUGUUAAUUCGAAUUUGAUCUGGAAAGAAAAUAUAGGAAUAAUAAUAUCUUUUCAUUAAUAAUAAGGGUGGGAGAGAUUAUUAAGGGCAAGUGACAAUGAGUGAGUACAAAACUUUUCCAGUGACAUCCAAUGUCCUGCUCCCAAAAAAGAUUGCACUCGCCUGAACAGUAAAUAAAAAAAAAAAAAAUUCUACCAUAUGCGCCUCUCAUUUCUCAUUAUCAUCAAAUAUCACUCAAGUUCGUAUCUCAAAACAACUUUAGUGGUAUCCGUGAUAAAGAUCACGUCUGAAUUGUCUGAUAGAAUUUUUUUUUUGUUUUCACUUUUAUUUUUCUGGAAAAAAAAACAACAACAACAACAACGAUCUGCAGCCUACUUCUUCUACUCAUCCCUUAGAGCGUAAAAUUGAUGAUAAAACUCCGACAUGCGGUGAAGACGCGAUCUUAGCUUUGUUCCACGAUCGUCGAACUGGGUAUGAUAUCGUCCUCGUACACGCACCGCACGUACCGGUCGCGGCAGCGGAGCGGUGGAGCGCGCAUUUGCAAUCUCGGUGAUACGGCCGGCGCUCCCUAUCGCCGUGCGAGGCGUCGAUGCAGCCCUCAAAGACGGGCCGGAGCAGCCGCCUCCCGGCGGCGGCGGCUCCGGCAGCCAUCGUCGACGUGCGAGAGAUCGAGCCCCCGCCGCCACCCCCGCAGCUAUAUAACGAUAGUAUUCUAUUGCUUUUAUGGUCAACCACGUUCUUCGCCGAGAGUGGUGGGGUGGUGUAUAUAUAUAUACACACACGUAGAAUGGUGGCCGGAUAAAUACAAGGGGCUUAGAGGUAUCCGCGGGAGAGCUUUUUACACAAGGUGAUCCUAUUCUUGUGCCUUGUAUAUUAUAUUGAGGAGUACAAAAUAUGUUGUUGGGUUGUGGGAGAAGGAGACGAAUUAACGUUCGUGAUUAGAGAGAGGGGCAUAGGACAUGUAAAUAUAUUAUAAGGUAAAUAAAUAGGCGUAAAAUUUAUUCGAAUUAUAAAUUAUUUUGAAUUAAUUGUUUAAUUUUUUAAAGUUUUUAUUUUAUUAUCUAAUCUUUGAAUUUGUUCGGUAUAAAUUAAUAAAGUCAUAUAAAUUUCCUUCAAGGGAUAAAAGGAAAUAAGAAAUAACAACUCCUUUAUAAGUCAUUAUAAUAUAAAUGAUCAAAAGUUUGAUCGAAGAACUAAAAAAUUAGAAACAACAACUCCUUUAUGCUUUCAAAGCACCGUAGUCGAACUUCAUUAACUAAUAUUUAUAUUAUUUGCAUAACUAAUAUUUUAAUUUAUCAAAUUAAUAUAUUAACUAAAAAUAUAAUUGAUUAAAUAAUUUAUUAAUAUUAAUAUAUUGAUUUGUUUUUUUUAUAGUUAUUCACUAAUUAACAUUAUUCUUCAUCAUCUCAUAUAGUAUUCCCAAUUAAUUAAUUUAUUACUUAUUAAAAAAUUAUUUUAUGAAUAUUAGGUGCUUAUUAUUUAGACAAAUUAUUUUUUCCAAUCGUAAUUAUUUUUAUUUCUACCAUUUCAACCCAAUCAUCCAAAUUUAAUUUUUCGUAUCUCCCACAAUAUCUAGAGUCUCAUUCAAAUAUAACAUUGAUCUAAUUCCUGCUUAUCUCAGAAAAUAUACCCAUUCCAAGAAUAAGUAAGAAUAACUUGUUCCCGAACCAAAUAGUUCCUAAUUUAAAAUUUGAAUGCUCCAUAUAAUUUUUCAUAUUUAUCUAUUAUACUUUAUGAAAUUCUCAUAAUUAUAAAUUUAUUAAAAUAAGUAAUUAGCUUAAAUUUUAAAGUUAAAGUAUCGACUCAAAUCAAACAAAUUGAAAGGUUGGAUAGUAAAAUCAAAAUUUUGAAAGAUAAAAUAGCCGAUUUAAAAUGAUCUGUAGUUUAGAUAAUUUAUGUAUAUUAUUAUCAUUUAUUAAUUAUUUUGAUCAUGGUAAGUGAGAGGGUUGUGGA
rnacentral:lncRNA from 1 species